rnacentral:lncRNA from 1 species
CAAAUAGGAUCAUUUUCUUCUCGAGACCUUUUACUUUUUUUCAUCAUGUGGGAGUUCGAAUUAAUUCCCGUUUAUCUACUUCUAUCCAUGUGGGGGGGAAAGAAACGUCUGUACUCGGCUACAAAAUUUAUUUUGUACACUGCGGGGGGUUCCAUUUUUUUAUUAAUAGGAGUUUUGGGUAUCGGUUUAUACGGUUCUAAUGAACCAACAUUAAAUUUUGAAACAUUAGCUAAUCAAUCGUAUCCUGUCGCACUGGAAAUCAUAUUCUAUAUUGGAUUUCUUAUUGCUUUUGCUGUCAAAUCGCCGAUUAUACCCUUACAUACGUGGUUACCAGACACCCAUGGGGAGGCACAUUACAGUACUUGUAUGCUUCUAGCCGGAAUUUUAUUAAAAAUGGGAGCGUAUGGAUUAGUUCGCAUCAAUAUGGAAUUAUUACCCCACGCUCAUUCCAUAUUUUCUCCCUGGUUGAUAAUAGUGGGUACAAUGCAAAUAAUUUAUGCAGCUUCAACAUCUCUUGGUCAACGGAAUUUAAAAAAAAGAAUAGCCUAUUCCUCCGUAUCUCAUAUGGGUUUCAUAAUUAUAGGAAUUGGCUCUAUAACUGAUACGGGACUCAACGGAGCUAUUUUACAAAUAAUAUCUCAUGGAUUUAUCGGUGCUGCACUUUUUUUCUUGGCAGGAACGAGUUAUGAUAGAAUGCGUCUUUUUUAUCUCGACGAAAUGGGUGGAAUGGCUAUUCCGAUUCCAAAAAUAUUUACGAUGUUCAGUAUCUUAUCGAUGGCUUCUCUUGCAUUACCGGGCAUGAGUGGUUUUGUUGCAGAGUUGAUAGUCUUUUUUGGAAUAAUUACCAGCCAAAAAUAUUUUUUAAUGCCAAAAAUACUAAUUACUUUCGUAAUGUCAAUUGGAAUGAUAUUAACUCCUAUUUAUUCAUUAUCUAUGUCACGUCAAAUGUUCUAUGGAUACAAGCUAUUUAAUGCUCAAAAUUCUCUCUUUUUCUUUUUUUUUUUAUUCUUGAUCACGAUAGUUAUUUGUUUUGAUUUCUAUCUUUCUACCCCAAUAAUAGAUGUUGGUAUUUAUCUUGAUUUUGUCCCUUCAUUAUCAUGUGAAAAGCUCGAAGCUAUUCUAUAUAAUUAUUUUUAUAGAUAGUUUUCAUGAAUAAAAUAAAAAAUAAAAAAUAAAAAAAUAAUCCUAUAAUUUUUAAUAUUGUUCAUUAUAUAGUGAGAAAAAAAAAGUCUUUUUUCUUCUUUGAAGUUUAAGUUAAAUAAAAAAGCGUAAAUGAAUUAAAUUGAAUUUUAAUAAAAUAUCUUUCGUUUUUGUUGGGAUCUUUUGAAUCACUGCACUACUUAAUACAAAAGGUUCUUGAUAGCUUAUAAAAGUUUUCUUAUAUAUAUAUAUAUAUAUAUAUAUAUAUAUAUAUAUAUUGUCUUAUCUUAAUAUAAUAGCAUUUCUAAAACACAUCGUUACUAUUUUUAAAAAAUUCUGCUAACGUUUUAGUGGCUUUUUUUUUUAAAGAAAUGCCACUACAAAUGCUUCUCUUAUGAUGUCAAAAAAUUUAACGGUAUUUUUCAGAAAACAUAGUUAAAUUUAAAGCAUUUUUAUAUUUAGUGCCAUUUCUUAGAUGCAUAAAUUUAAAAUUCAAAAAUAAAACUUUUUACAUAUUUAACAGCAUUUAUAAAAAUAAAUGCUACUCAAUAUUCAUAUUUAGGGCUUUAGACUUUUACAAAGGCCAUUAAAUUUUUUAUUUAAUAACGUUUAUCCAAGAAAAGCCACCAACUUUUUUAAUAUUAAUUUUUUAUAUAUAUAGUUGCAAAAAAUAAAAUGUCAGAUUUUUUUACUACAAUUACAUUUAAUAUUAAAAUAUGUUAUAAAAACAAAUAAAAUUUAAUUCAAUUUUAUUAAUUAAAUAAGAUAAAAUAAUACAUUAUUGUCUGAAUAAAUAAAUAUAGAAGUGAAUACAGAAAUCGACCAAUGCGCCCGAUACAAGAAUAGCACCAGCUAUUAUAAAAUAAUAAUAAAUUGUCCAAAUAAAAAUACAUAGACCAAUGCGCCCGACGCAAGAAUUGCAUCAAGUGGGAAUAAAAACUUCCAAAGCUCAUACACACCUUCGAAGAGAUGCAAGGUAGUCCUCGCUUGACAAAUUCUACAUCUCUUCAAGAUCCCAAGUAUAGUCAGUGACCUAGGCGUAAUUUUCCAUGCUUUAGAACGUUAAAUUUCAGACAAAUAACGAUUAAAGAAUUGAGGUGAAGAUUUAAACAUUUAGGCAUUUAAUGUCCCUUGCAAGUGUCACGAGGCUCAGCAUCAAACAAUUCUUGCAAAGAUUUGUUUUCGCGGCUUGAUGAUUGAGUUAGUGUCUGACCUUUUGGUGUUCGUGCUCACGCGGGGUGUGACAUAGUUAAUGUGGGAAACAUAUAAGCAUUCAAUUAGUACCAAGCGCAACAAACAUGAAGCCAUAAAAGCAUCUAAUUCGUCAAAUUUUACUGCAACAUGAUAUUAGCCUGCAAGUAUAAUUCAAAAGAGAAAUGCAGAAUAGAUGUCUCUUCUAAUACUUGCAUUCAUGAUCUUUGCAAAGACACCUGGACAAAAGUAUUUUUUUGAAUAUUUUUUCCUCGUUUUAACCGUAAAUUUGUCUUUUUUAGGUUUUUUCUUGAAAAUACUAGUUUUUUCGUUUCUAAGUUUUCCACAAAAAAUUUUCUUUUUUAAACAAAUAGAUUUUUUUUUUUUUUGUUUAUUGCAACCAAAUUCUAAAUCAUUUUUUUAUAAAUUUUAGUAUAUUAUUUAUAAUUAAAUUUAGACUUUACCUGUUUGAUAACUUUUUGCUUAAAGUAGUAUUCUGUAAUCUGAUCAUGUAUAUAUUUUAUGCCACAGCCAAGGGUAUCAUAUAAUUCAAAACUUGGAUUUGCAGCAUUUGAAUUUUUUAUUUUUAUCUCAAGAUAGGUAGUAUAAUUUUGAAAAUAUAAUUCAUUAUUGUAAGGAAAGUUUUAAGAAAAAUUAUUAUUAUCAAAAUUUUGAAUGUUUUUCAUCUAAUUUUUUGUAUUCAGGAAAUAUAUUUUUUACAAAAAUCAUCUAUGUGAUAGAUAUCACAUAAUUUUAAUUUAAAAUAUAAUUGAGCUUGGAAUACAAAGUUUUUGUACUCUUACAAAAUUUAUUUUUUAAGAUAUGUGUUAAAUUUUUUAGUAACUGAGCAAAAAUAUAUCUUUUUGAUUAUUUUUUAAAGUUACAUUUUCUUAUUUUUUGAGAAACUGCAAGACAUUUUCUUACCAAGUAUCAUAAAAAUAAUUAAGAAAAUUUCUUUUUAUUUAGACGUUUUUAUAACCUGUAACAACAAUAGAUGCUUUUAUGUCUUCAUGUUUUCGUAAAAUGUGGUUACCUGUAACAAUGAUGCUUUUAUGUCUUCGUUAUUCUCGCUCCUUAUCCGUCAGACGCCAAUCAUCGAACACAUCAAAGACGUCAAAUGUGCCUUUCAAAUUUUUACCUCCAAUUUGUCCUUACUCACAAGGAUAAUAAACUAUAAUUCCAAAAUUCCAAAUAGAUGGGUCCUCAAACUUUACUUACUUUUGCAGCCCAGGCAUAUCUCCAUUCAAACUGGAUAGGGUCUCCUAGGCUUAAGUUUUAUAACCACAUAUAAACUAUAAUUUAUUUUGGGCAGUCAACUAAAAGACCAAUCUUGCUAACAGGCGAUAAUCUGACUGGCAAAGUUUUUCGGCAAGAAAACAGAUCAUGACAGAUCAUGACAGAUAUGAUUCUUUGUAGUACAACAAUGACUUAUUUUAAGACAUGACUAGAGCGUGUGGUGCCAACAGCCAUCGGGGCUAUGGUUUCAUGCCAACACAGUUUAUGAAGUAGAGAGCUGAGAAAGGACGAAUGACCUAAUAAAAUGACCAGUUUUUAACAAAAUACAUGGAUAUACAAUAAAAUGACCCAAAAUCCAAGAAUGAGAUCAUCAACUAUGCAACAAAAUAGCAAUUUUAUUUUUCUUUUCUAAAAUUUCACUAUCAUGAUAAAUUUAAGAAAACAUACCUCUACAAGAAAAGAUUUUUAAAAAGAUAAGAAAUAUAAAGAGAUGAUAUUGAAAUCAAUACCUUUAAAUUCCAUUUGCUAGUUCCAAGCGGAUCACUGAAGAAGAAGAAAAUGCACCGCAAACAUGAAAAAGCACUCUUGAGUUUUUCUAUUUCUACUAUUGACUUUUAUUUUUUAGUCUUCCCUUCAUAAAAUCCUAUCAAACAAAAAUUUAUAGGCAUCUAAGCCUCCCAAAAGUGCAUAUAAAACACAUUAAACAGAUAUAAAACCAUCAUAUUUCUCUAUGACUACUUUUCUUUUAGGUUAUAUUUUCUAUUCCUUUAAUUGGGAUGUUACCAUAUCUUCAACCUUCGGAAGCUAUUUUCUGAAAAUAAACCACAGGAUCUUCAAAACCCUUCGACAUUCUAGAAUUGAAAGGAAAGAAUUAUGGAAAUCGCUGGGAAAAUCUUUCCGGAGAAAAGGAAAUAGUGAAAAGGAGAAGAGAAAGGGAGGAGAGAAGAAACACUAUAGAAACAUAUGAAAAGCCUAUUUCUAUGUAAUAAGAGUUAAUUCCUAACAUAUGAAACAUAUUUGUCUAUCUAUCCAAAUUUGAAUACAUUAUUAUUGUUUUAGUUGAUUUCAAAUCAUGAAAGCAAAUAUAUAAAAAUAUUUUAAUCAAACCAAAAAAAAUUAUAAGUUCAUAUACAUAAAAGUAACUUGAUUAAUUAAUAUAAACAAAAAUAAAUUAAAACCAACAAUCUAGAUUCUAGAAUCUCAAUUAAUUAAGUAAAGGACAAAGGCGAAAUCAUUAAAAAAGUUUCUUUUAAUCCCGUCAAACUAAUCUAAAUAAAAUACUUGACAGUUGAGACCUCACGUUGGCAUUUAUAUAUUAAGACUGACAUAACCUUGUUAAAACAAAUUAAUAAAUAAAUAAUAGAAUCAUAUAAAAUAACAAAACCUCCCCUUUGCAUUUACUUUAUUUUUCUUGUGAGCACUUCUCAAUUUUAUGAAAUUGGAUUGUUUUGCAAUAUCAAUAGCCAACCUGCAUAUCGUACAUAAUGUCUAGCAAAAGGUUACUUAGACAGGCUCGGGGCUUUCCAUACUUUCUUUUCUUCUUACGGAGGUAGACUUAGUUCAUAAAUUUGAUCACCAGACAUAAAAUAAAAAUUAUCUACUUAUAUGAUUAGUCUUAAUUUAUCCUUUUUAAAGAUUGACUUGGUUAAGAAUUCCUUUAAAAAAAAUAGAUCAUAAUUUAUUAACCAAAACUAAUUUAGAAGCUCGAUUAUAUAAGAAAAGGUAUUAUAACACUUUACAACGUUCGUCUAAAUACGAUAUCAAUUAAUUUUAAAUUAUUAUUAAAAUUUUGAUUAAAUGGUCAUUUUAUUUUUUUAGUUUUACUUGAUUUCAUGUUAUAAUUUAAAUAUUGAAAUAAAGUUUUAAUUUUUCACUAUUCUUAUGUGAAAUUUUUAAAUUUUUUUCUCAACUCAAAAAUAUUUAACAAAACUCACUCAUUAUGUUCUUUUGUCAAAUUUAUUAAAUAUUUUAAUUAUUUUUAUUCUCAACUAAUUAUAUAAUUUUCUUUUCUUUCCUAAAAUCUUUUAUCUUUAUUUUAUUUUAUAUUAUUAUUAAAAAUAUAUUUAAAAUUUUUACUAUUUUGAAAAUAUUUAAAAAUAUUUUCUCACCCAUAAAUUUUUUAGAAAAUCAACCAUUAUUGAUUUUUUAAAAUUUCAUCAUCGAAUUUACUUUAUUUUAUCUCUUUUUUUGAAAGGUUUAAAGUUUAAUUUCAAAUUUUAUUAUAUUGUUUUUUUUUUGUUAUUUUUGUGCUUGAAAAUAAAUUUUAAUUAUUAUUGUUAAAAUUUUGUCUAAUUUUUUUACCAUUUUGAAAAUAUUUAGAAAAAUAUCUUCCUGAAAAAAUUCUAAAAAAAACCCAUUUGUGAUUUUUAAAAUUUCAUCAUUUGAAUAAUUUUCAUCCAUUUUCAAAAUUUUUGAAGUUUUUCAUUUUAUUUUUACUUUUGCUUGAAAAUAAUUAUCAAUUAUUGUUAUUGAAAUUUUAACCAAAAUUUUUACCAUUCUAAAAAUAUUUUUAAAAAACUUAUCACCUAAAAAUUUCUAAAAAAUCAUCCAAUCAUGAUUUUUUAGAAUUUCAUAAACAGGAUAAUUUUCAUUUGUUUUCCAAAAUCUUAAAUUUUACUUUAUUUAUAUACCUUUUUAUUAAUUGAAAAUAAAUGUCAAUUAUUAUUAUUAAAAUUUUAAUCGAAAUUAUCCACCAUUUUGGAAAAAUUAGAGAAAAACUUCCCACCUAAAAAUUAUUAAAAAACUCUAACCAUUUUUUAUAAUUUCCAUUACUUUCUAAAAAUUGAAAUAAUUGCCAUUUACUUUUAAAAAUUUUGGAAAAAUUAUAUUUUAUUUAAUUUUAAAAAAUUUCAAAUACUUCUUUUAAUAAAGAAAAUCUCUAAUCUAAAAUUUUAAAUAUAUAAAAAAAAAACAAAUGAAUAGAAUAAUAAAUUUCAAUUAUUAUUGUUAAAAUUUUAUAUAAUUUUUUACCACUAUGAAAAUAUUUAGAAAACUUCUUACAAAAAAAUUCUAAAGAAAUCACCUAUUCGUGGUUUUUAGAAUUUGAUCAUUUGUAUAAUUUUCAUCGAUUUUCAAAUUUCUAAAGUUUCUCAUUUUAUUUUUACUUUUGUUUAAAAACAAAUAUCAAUUAUUAUUAUUGAAAUUUUAACAAAAAUUUUCACCAUUUAAAAAAUGCUUAGAAAAAACUUCUCACUUAAAAAUUUUUUAAAAAAAUUAGAGAAAAACUCCUCACCUUAAAUUUUUUUAAAAAACUAUCUUUUUAUAAUUUCCAUUACUUUCUAAAAAUAAAAAUAAUUAUCAUUUACUUUUAAAAAUUGUAAAAUUAUAAAAUUAUAUUCUAUUUAAUUUUUCAAAAUUUUCGAAUACUUCUUUUAAUAAAGAAAAUCACUAAUCUAAAAUUAUAAAUAUACAAUAAAAAAAUGAAUAGAAUAAUAAAUUUAAGCACUUAUGCCUAAUGUCUUUAACAAAUUAAUUUUGAAUGGCAUGAAAUCUUGAAGUGCAAACAAUUAAGAACGAUUUUUGGACCACAUAAAAACAACAUAUAAGGUAAAUGCUUUCAAUUUUCUAACCCACAUAAGAUAAAUAUCUUUGUCAACUGUCAACAUGUAUGAAUUCGUAAUUUAACAUGGUACAUAUUUUACAUUCAUCAAAUUGAUUAAUUGAUACCGAAAUGCAGUACUUGAAGCAUCAAAGAUUUUAUUUAUUAAUUUAUUUAUUUUAUUUUUAUUAUUAUUAUUAUUAUUAUUAUUAUUAUUAUUAUGCUUUAACUAAGCAAGCAAGAAGUUAGAUGAAAAAGGAACAAUAAUUGAAAAAACAAGUGACUGCUAAUGAAAUCAUUGGCAGAAAGUUUUUAACUUACCAAGAUAUAGCCCAGAAAAGAACUUUUGUGAUGAAAGAAAAUAUAAAUUCACACGGUUCAGUUGUCUUCUCAUCCAAAAGCCUUGCAAAAAGCAGUGCAGCUGUAGAAAUCAAUUCCCAAAGACAUGAAUGCUACGAGUGGGAGUGUUGUAGUCAAAAGAGUUUAUUUUUCUUAUUUUUGUUAUUUCUGUUAUAGUCUGUUAUUCUGCUGUUUCUGUUAAUUUCUGUUACAAGAGGCAGUUACAGGAUUCAAUUAAAACGAUAAAAGAGGUUGGAAGUGAAUGGAAAAUGACAAGAAACAUUUCAAGAAAUUUUGAAAAUUUCUUUUGGUCAUUCUCUCAACAUUUCUUCUUUCUUUAGAGCUUUCUUGUCUAGGUUUUCAUUUAUAGUCUUGGUAGAAGCUACAUCAUUGAUAUCAAAGCCCAAUCUUGGCUAUGGGUGAGUAACGACGAGCUGAGUUGCACCAAUUCAUCGAACAUGUUAUGGCAAGAAUAGAUGCCAUAUUCGAUAAAUACAAAAGGAAGCCUGAUACUACAAAGCAACUAUCGAUGGUCUAGAAGCUUGAUAACCAAGUCACCAUUGAAAAUUUUUGAGCAAAGAUGAGCAGACUGAUCCCAUGGAUGAACUGGUGAAUCUAAUCAAGGUAGAUACCACAAAUACCACAAAUCUCUCUCCGUUAUCCUCAAUUGCUAAAUUACCGAUGACUAGUCUUUUUGACGAUAAAGGAAAAGCGGUGAAGAGCAUUGGAUUUGCAGCUACUAGCUCACUUAUGGAUGUGGAUGCAUAUGGCUCUCCUCCAGUGGACAAGGAUGAACAAGAAGGUGCAGGUAAUGUAGCAGUGGAUAGCAAUGUUCUUAAAUCAAUUACUGGGUCUUUGGUUACUGAGACUAGAUUUGAGUCUAUUUGGGUUGAAAACAAUGGAAAAUUGGCUAAAACUAUCAUUUUGGGGGCUAUUGAUGUGUAUGGAAAGCUUGAAGGAGUUUAUUCAAUGGCAUUUGUAAAUGGGCACAAGCUAUUUGUGGUUUGUGACUCAAACGGGUUUAGACUUUUGGUAAUGAGAGGUGGAAUAAUGAAUAAAGAAAACGAUGACAGCUCUAGUAUUUUUUCCUCAAUCAGAUAAACAAGAAAAUGAAUACCUCAUCAAUCUUUUUGAUUUUUUUUGAGCAUGUUGAUUUUUCAUCUUAGGUCAAAGUUGCUUCAUCUACUGAGUUGGACAGUUAGGCAAUUACCCUAACCAAUUUUACUAAAAUGUAUAUGCCAAAAUUGGGAGUUGAUGAGGCGAAGAUGAUGGAAAAUCUUUGGGGUGAAAAUUGUUUUGAUUCUGUUACUAAGAAGUGGACCACCAAAAACAUUGGUUUUGCCACCUGCAAGCAUAAAUUUGUUCAAUUAUGUUAUGAACCCAGCAAACGGUUCAUUAACACUUGUAUGAAUGACCAGAGGGAUAAGCUCUGGCCCAUGUUGCAAAAGGUUGGUGUCAGUGUCACCAUGAAGUUUGAUGAGAAGGAUUUGUUGGUAGGGGUUUUCAUGAAGUGUGUAAUGCAAACCUGGUUCCCUGCAAUCAAUGCUUUCCUGGAAAUAAUGACUUUCUAGCUUCAUUCUUUUGAUUCAUGCUUACAAGCAGGUUUUGUCUUUACCACUAAUAUUAACACUGUAUUUGCCUUGGGAUAUUCUGGGACUAUCAUGGUCCCUCUUGGCUGGAUGGGAGGUGUAAUUAGUUUACUUUUAGCCACCAAGUUAUCCUUAUACACACAUCUGCUUGUUGCCAAGCUCCAUGAAUUUGAGAAAAAGAGGCAUAUCAGAUACAAAGAUCUUGCAGCGUAGAUAUAUGGUAGGAAAGCGUAUUCUAUUACAUGGGUAUUGUGAAAUGUCAACAUUGGAUAUCUCAAUUUGGAUGGUUCUGCUUUAAAGGCUUCUUAUGCCCUCUUCAAGAAUGACCAUACCAUGACGCUUCCAUACUUUAUUACCAUAGCUGGAGUUGUGUGUACUUUGUUUGCCUGCUGCAAAGAAAGUUAUCUUGUUUUUCAUAUCUCACAAUUGAAAAAAAAAGAAAAAUGUGGGAGUGCUGCUAGCAUUGCAGCAUCUUCUUUUAGUGGAUGCAAGGGAAAUUUUGCUAAGAACAUGUGGUCAGUUUGGAAAAAAGGAUGGAUAAGAUGAAGGGUCUUGCUAUAACUGAAGUUUUGGUGCAAUGGCGCAAUUUUUUUUUUUCCAGAAGAUGGUACUUGAGAGAUUUUAUUUGAUUUACAGAGGAGGUUUCCUUCAUUCAGUCCUUGAGGCCAAGGAUUGCUUCAAGAGGAGGGUAUUGUUACGAGCGGGAGUGUUGUAGUCAAAAGAGUUUACUUUUCUUAUUUCUGCUAUUUCUAUUAUAAUUUGUUAUUCUGCUAUUUUGUUAAUUUCUAUUACAAGAGGUAGUUACAGGAUUCAAUUAAAACGAUAAAAGAGGUUGGAAGUGAAUGGAAAAUGAUAAAGAAAUAUUUCAAGAAAUUUUGAAAUUCUCUUUUGCUCAUUCCCUCAUCUCUUCUUUUUUCUUUAGAUUUUUUUUCUAGGUUUUCAUUUACAGUCUUGGUAGAAGCCUACAUUUAUCUUUUUGAAAGUUUUGAACAAUCAAUAAGUAAAGAUGAAGUGGUGGAGUUAGAUGAUAAAUCUUUGGCAUAAGUACAUCAAUAUGUUUUUUUUUUCAUCAUGACUCAAUUGAAUCAUUUCGCACAUAAGUUAUUCAUGAGAAAAAAUCAUUCAUUCUAUUAAACAUAAUUUAUAAACUUUCCUUCUUACUGUUAAUACUUUAUUUUGAUGCAUGUAGUGAGUAUAGAAACAAUUUGAGAGUUCAUGCAAAUUAUUGACGAUCAAACAUUCGAGAGCUUGAUAAGUUGUUCACCUUAAAUUUUCAUGAGUGGUUAGGAAAAACUGUAAGUAAUACCAUAAUUUUUAUUUUAAGAAUUAUACAUAGAAUGCCUAAGAUAUAAAUAAAAUUAAUAACAUAUAUUUUAUUUCACUUUUAUAGGUUUGGAGUGGAAGACUUGUUAGUGAAGAGGUGAAGUGUCUUUCACAAGGUCCGAAUAAGAUUGUUAAAUGAUACAAAGGGUUCAUCAUAAAUGGAUUUAGAUUUUAUAUUAAAUCUUGUGAAAAAAGUAGAAUAACACAAAAUUCAGGAGUUGUUGUUAUUUCAUCAACUACUAGCUAUGCUAGUGCUGGGAUAUAAACUUUUUGGGAGGAAAUGUUGACUACUAUGGCAUAAUUAAUGACAUCAUUGAGUUGGAUUAUUAUGGCAAGAGAAAGGUUAUCUCAUUUCGAUGUGAUUGGGCUGAUGUUAAUAGUAUGAAGGAAAUUAAGAAAGAUCAAUUUGGAUUUACAAUCGUGAAUUUUUCUCUAAUAAUUCACACCGAAUAACAACUUAUUAAUGAACCUUAUGUUUUUUCCUCUUAAGUCAAAUAAGUUUUUUAUUUUGGAGACCCUAAAGAAUUGGGUUAGUUUGUUGUUCUUCAUAACACACCUAGGGACUUAUUUGAUAUGGGGUUAGAUACCAAAGAUGAUGUUAAAUAUAAAAUUGAAUGUUUUCUUUUUACUGACCAAAACUUGGAUGGAAAUAUCUUUAAUACCUCUACUCAGUGGGUUCGCAAAGAUGUUGAUGAAGACAUUUAUAAACGAUGAUGGAUAAUCUAUAUUUUGUAAUUAGAAUGUUCAAAACAUAAUGUAAGAAAUGAUUUUAUGUAAUUUAUGUGAUAUUCGCUUUUGUAUAUUUAUUGUGUUGUAAAUUAUAAAUAAUCUUUUAAUUUAAUUAAAUCGAUAUGUUCUUUAUAUAUCGUUGGUUAUGAUUUUUUAACUUCUCAAUGUCUAUUUAUGUUAUUUAGAUAUGUUUUUUUUUAUAUAGUUGGUUAUAUAUACAAUGUCUGAACGUUUCAAUUUUUAACUAAUUUUUUUUUAUAAUGCAGCUAAGUUACAAUGUCGAGGAAUAGAUUGAGGGGAGUAUAUAUCAGAGAUAUUAGUUUAGAAUCAUCUAUGACACCUAUUGAUCUUGGCCAUAGACUAAAUCAUUUAGAGGGAAAUGUGCCUACUGCCAGUUCUAACAUAGUCACUUCUAAUCUUUCAACUGAUAUUUGAUCUGGUAAUAUGAAAGGUCCAAGUUUAGAUAGUAUCCCACCAAUUGUUUUGCUUCUAAUUUGAAUACAGGUAUCGUAAACCCUAUAUUUAGAUUUUAAUUAUAAUCAUUAAAGUAUUGGUAAUUUACUAAUUGACAUUUUAUUUUUUGCAAUUGAUAACAAUGGUCAAUGGAGGACCAGAGACAGGACAACUUUGAAAGAAUUAUGGAUAGUACCUCCGAACGAGCGUAUUGUAGUGUCUGCAAACUCUGAUAGGCAACCAAUUAUUGAAGAGUGUUAAUUGUUAGCUAGAUUUUUAGGAAUGAUUGCCUGUAAUGGCAUGAAAUUGCCUAUUCAUUAUGAAACAUGGCAUAAAGUUCUAGCAAAAGUUAAGGCCAAAGCUUGAAACUUUGUUGAGGUAUUAGUAUAAUUAAUUACAUAUUAAAAAUAUUAAUUCUUUUAAAGUUAGUCUAUAAAUUGUAACUUUUCUUUUUGUAUUGUUACAGUCAAGAUUUUUACUUGAACUACCUACUUCAUUUGUGCUUAAGUCAUUGGAAAAGAAAUGGAAAGCUUAUAAGCAUAAUUUGAAGGAAAAGUAUUUUGAUCAAAAUAGUACUGUAAAUGCCAAUAUAGAUAAUCUACCUCACGGUGUGAUUAGGUGGCAAUAUGAGCAGUUGAUUAGAUUUUGAUUCUCAAAGAAAAGAAAGGUACUAAUUUACAAGUUUUAAUAUUAUUUUUAAUAAAAAAGGUGUUUUAUGUUUUUAGUUGGUAAUAUUUGUAUUUUUGCUAUAUAAGGGAUUGUUUUUUAUGAUAGGAAAGAGAAAAAAUUGAACUUGCUAGCCAAAAGCAAUAGAAAUAUAGCCAUACGAGUGGAUCAAAAAGUUUUGAAAGAAAGCAAAAAGAAAAGGUAAGUAAUGCAUCAAAUAAGAAAGUUGUCGUUUAUAUCCGUUUAGUGCUUUUGUGUCAUUAAAGGAUAAAAAUGUAAAUAUGUAGUUAUUUUUUGUUUUAAUAAUUUGAAUAGCUUCAAUACAUUAUAUUAAACUUGUAUGAAUUAUUGAACUUGAUUUUCACGGUUGAUAUGUGUGAAAAGUUACCGUUUAUAUCUUUUUAGAACUUUUUUGUGCUAUUAAAAGGCAAAAAAUGUAAAUAUGCAGUUAUAUUUAUGUUGUAAUAGUUUGGAUAGCUUAAAUACAUUAUAUUAAAUUUGUUCAAAUGAUUGAACUUAGUUUUCAUGAUUGAUGUGAGAAAAAGUUAUUGUUUAUGUCUGUUUAGCACUUUUUUGUACCGUUAAAAGGCCAAAAUGCAAAUUGGCUUUUAUUAUUUUGUUUUAAUAGUUUAGAUAGCUUCAAUAAAUGAUAUUAAACUUGUUUGAAUGAUUAAACUUACUUUGUAUGUUGAUAUAUGUGAAAAGGUUGUCGUUUAUAUCUAUUUAGGAUUUUUUAUGCUGUUAAAAGGCCAAAAUGUAUAUUUAUGUUUAUUAUUCUAUUUUAAUAGUUUAGAUAGUUUCAAUACAUAAUAUUAAACUUAUCUAGAUAAUUGAACUUAGUUUUCAUAAUUGAUAUGUACAAAAAAAUUACCGCUUAUGUUUUUUGAGGACUUUGUUAUGCUAUUAAAGGGUAAAAAUGUCAUUUUACAUUUAUUUUUAUGCUUUAAUAGUUUAGAUAGCUUAAAUACAUUAUAUUAAACUUUUCUGAAUGAUUGAACUUGGUUUUCAUGAAUGAUAUAUAUGAAAAAGUUACUGUUUAUAUCUAUUUAGCACUUUUUUGUGUCGUUAAAAGGCCAAAAUGCAAAUUAUGUUUAUUAUUCUAUUUUAACAGUUUAGAUAGCUUCAAUACAUAAUAUUAAAUUUAUCCAAAUGAUUGAUUAAACUUGAUUUCCAUGGCUAAUAUGUGUAAAAAUAUUAUCGUUUAUGUCUUUUUAGGACUUUGUUAUGCCAUUAAAGGGCAAAAAUAUAAUUUUGCAGUUGUAUUUAUAUUUCAACAAUUUAGAUAGAUUCAAUGCAUGAUAUUAAACUUGUAGAAUGAUUGAAUUUGAUUUUCAUGAUUUGAUAUGUAUGAAUAAGUUACGAUUUAUUUCUAUUUAUAACUUUUUGUAACGUUAAAAGACAAAAAUAUAAAUUUAUAAUUAUUCUGUUUUAAUGGUUUAGAUAGCUUCUAUUACAUUUUAUUAAAUGUGUCCAAUCAUUAUUGCCACACUUGAUACACAUAAUUAAGUUAUGGUUGAUGUGUGUUUAACAAAAAUAGUGUUUAUUUAUGUAAGAGAUUAACUUGGGUGAAAAUUUGGAUGUGUGAAACUUUUUCGAUUAACCCACAAAAAAAAUGAAUCUUAUUUGAAUGUCGAAACACAAGAAAUUGUAAUAAUUUUUUAGAAUCAUUUUUUAUAAGGUGUUAAUAUUUACUAUUUCAAAUAUAUUAUGAAUUAAUUAUUAAAUUUUAUAGCUUUAUUUGGUUAAUUUUAUAUAAGAAAGCAAAAGAAAAAAUGACCAUUGAAAUAGAAGUAACAUUCGAUUGUUCUAUCAACAUGCAAGAAUUGAAAAACCAGAUUUUCACAAAAGUUAGCGAAAAAGAAAGAUAUGGACAGGUUCGAGACCUUGGAUUGGGUCCAACACAAUCUAACUAUUAUGAAAAUAGCUUCCAACAAUUUACAUUCUCAACAAGUCAAUCUUCACGAGAAAUCUCAAUAUUGAAAAAGAGGUUGCAAACUAUGCAACAACGUGUGCAACAAAGGGAAGCAGAAAAAGCUGAGGAGCGUGCUAAAAUAGAUGAGGAGCAUAAGCAAUUGCAUGAUUGAUUCAACACUCUUAUGAAUUUUGUGCAAUAACAAUUUUCAGAAAAUAAUCUAAAUAGUCCACCAACUCAGGUAUUAUAUUUAGUAAUAAUUUAUAUUUUUUAAUAUUAGAAAUAGUUUAUUAUUAAGUGUAAAAACUUGUUUUACUUUUUUCAGUAGAUUCUUAAGCAAGCUAAUGAUUGUGAUAGAAAAAAUGCUUCAUCAAAUGACAGUGCUCAAAAUCUGAAUGGUCAUUAAUUUUAUACAUUUUAAAUUUUUAGUUAAUGUACUAAAACAAUUUGAAUGUUAAUGUAUUAAACUUUGUAUUACAUGUAAACUGGAACAAAUUAUGUAUUUAUAUUUUUAAAUAUUUAUAAUAUUUAGUUUAUAAAUUUAAAUUCAUUUUUACGAUUUUGAAAAUAUUUAUCUAUUUUUUUAUUUAAUUAUGUAGUAAAUCUUAAAAAAAAAGUAAAUUCUCUCAUAUAGUGACGUUUUUUAUGCAAAAACACUGUUAAAUUAACGACGUUUUUAUAAAAAUAUUGCCAAGUUUAGCAGUGUUUGUAGACACAAACGAUGCUAAGUUAGUGUCAUUUGUGUCUACAAAUGCCGUUAAUUUAAUGGCAUUUGUGUCUUAAAAUGUUAUUAUGUUAGUGGCGUUUGUGACUUUAAAUGUCGUUAAUUUAGUGGCAUUUUUUCUUAAAACGUUACUAUUUUUUUUUAUGCGAGAAUAACUAGCAGUUUUAGUGGUUUUUGACAUAUGCCAUAAAUCGUAUAAUGGCGUUUAUAAACACUGCUAAACAUGAAAAAAAUGCUACUAAAAACCUAUUUUCCUAUAGUGAUUAUUAUUUAUAUUAUUUAGUAAGAUAGUUAAAAUAAUAUAUACAGAUCUUAUUAUUACUUGUUUUUUUAAUUGAAUUGAUAUAUGGAAAAUAUAAUAAUUUGAAUGCAAUUUGAAUAUUUAUGAUAGCUUUUAUGAUUUUUUGGAGAUGUUUUUCCAGUUAUUUUUUUUGCUUUUUUUCUUUUUUUAUUAGAGUUAUCAUUAAUUACUUAGUUUUGUUUCUUAAAUUGAAAUGUGUAUUAAUUUUAUAAUUUAAUAUGAUAUGGCAUUUGUAUAUGACCAAUGAGGGUAUGUAUGCAAAAGUCAAUUCUUGAAUUCUUUCAAACACAGCCUUUUAUGGUCUCUAUAAUUGGAUUAAUUAAGCCAAUACAAAAGGGCAUAACAUAUGAUAAUUUAAUAUGAUAUGGCAUUUGUAUAUGACCAAUGAGGGUCUAUAUGCAAAAAUCAAUUCUUGAAUUCUUUCAAACAUAGCCUUUUAUGGUCUCUAUAGUUGGAUUAAUUAAGCCAAUACAAAAGGGCAUAACAUAUGAUAAUUUAAUAUGAUAUGGCAUUUGUAUAUGACCAAUAAGGGUAUGUAUGCAAAAAUCAAUUCUUGAAUUCUUUCAAACAUAGCCAUUUGUGGUCUCUAUAGUUGGAUUAAUUAAGCCAAUACAAAAGGGCAUAACAUAUAUAUAUAUAUAUAUAUAUAUAUUUGAGAUUUAACAAAAAUUCUUUUUGUGGUAUAGAUAGAAAAUCACUUUCGUGAGCUAAUUUUAUGCAGUUAUUAUAAUAAUAUAUAUAUAUUUUAUUAUAAUAUAAUAUUUAAGUAUUAAUUAAUCUCGUGCUAUGUACAUUGAUAAAAAAAUAGUACAUAAUUUUAAAAUAGGGUAUAAAUAAAUAUUGAAACAGAUGAUAUUAUAUUCAUAUAUUCACAUAAACAUAUAACAAAAACAAUAUUUUAUUUUUGAAGUUACUUAAUAAUCAUACAGAGUAGUUAUUGAAAUUAAUUUAAGUGAAGUUGAUUUCCUAUAUUUUUAGUUGGGUUUUAAAACGUCAAAGCAAACAUAUAAAAAUAUUUUUAAUCAAAUCAGAACAAAUAAUUUAUAAUAGUUAUAAACAUACAAGUAACUUAAUUAAUUUCAAAGAAAAAUAAAUUUGGUCUAUUUAGAAAUUCUCUUUUUCUCUUUUUUUUCUUGGAAAGAAAAUAAUAUGAUAAUUAUUGUUAUUGAAAUUUCAUCUAAAUUAUUCCACCAUUUUGGUCAAAUUUAGAGAAAAUUUCUCACCUAGAGAUUUUUUAAAAAUUUAUCAUUGAAUUCUAAGAAUCUCUUUAGAUAAUUAUCAAAUAUUUUCAAUCCAAAUUUUAUUUGGAAAAAAUACAAUUACUUGUAUUGAAAUUUCAUCUAAAUUAUUUCACAAUUUGGGUCAAAUUUAAAGAAAAUUUCUCACCUAGAGAUUUCUUAGGAAUUUACCAUUUGAAAUUUUUAAGAAUCUCAUCUUUGGGUAAUUUAUAUUUAAUUUCAAAAUUUUUUAUAUUUUUAUGCUUUUUAUGUUUUUAAUUUUUCCUUUUUGGUUUGAAAAUAAAUAUUAAUUAUUGUUAUUGAAAUUUUAUCUAUAUUAUUCCACCAUUUGGGAUAAAUUUAGACAAAAUUUCUCACCUAAGAAUUUUAUAAAAAUUUACCAUUUGAAAUUUUUAUAAAUUCCAUCAUUGGAUAAUUAAUAUUUAUUCUCAAAAAUUUUAUUGUUAUUAUUUUAUUUUGAUAAAUAAAACAAAACAAGUAAAACAAAUAAAAUAAAUAAGAACAUACCAAAAAUCCAAAAACGGCUCGGCUCAGGCUUGGGAUACGGCUUGGUUCAAGACCAAAAAUCACAGCUCAGAUGCGCGACUAGGGAUCUCGGCUCGACUGAAACCCAGGCGGAGAAACGGGUUGCUGGUUCGGGUGCCCUAUGGGUCGGAUCGGAUUUUGACAAAAUGAACGGAUCUUUUGGUUUUACUAAUGUAAAAACGAUGUCGUUUUGGGAGGGUAUAUAAGGCUGAAGAUCGAUUUUUUUUUAGAAUUCCCUUCUCCUCUUCUCUUUUUCCUUUCUUUUCUCUCUAAACAAUUCCAGAUUUUAGUUGAAUUCCUACCGAAAUCUGAAAAAAGUCAUCGAAAACUUCAAAUCUGAUCGAAAAACUCGUCGAAAAAUUCAAACUUCGUCGAAAAAUUUCAUCGAAUUUUAAAAAUUUUCUAAAAUUUUUCAGAAAAAGAACUCCAAAAAUUUGAAAAAAAAAUUCUAAAAAUCCUAUACUGCCUCUGAACACUUUUUGCUUCUGUUUCACCUCUUUGUUUUCUUUUUUCCUCUCUGAUUCCUUUGUGUCUUAUGUGUGAUUUAUGGACCUAUUUAUAGGGAUUGAUCAGAAAAGUUUCUGAUCAAUCCCAACUCCUUCUGGGAUUUGGAUUUAAUCUUUGAAUUCAAUCCCAACUCUGUCAGUUCUCAAAUCACAGCCAAAUUCAUUCCAAUUGUUUUUUUUAUAAUCCUAAUCUUAACCGAAAAUUAAUCAAAAUAAAAAAGAUAUAUAUAUUAAUAGAUAACAAAAAAAAUAGAUAAAUAAAAGAAAUAGAUAAAUAAUAAUAAAAAAAUAAAAGCAGAUAAAUAAUAAAAAUUAAUAGAUAAAAUAAAAAUAAAAAUAUAUAUUAAUAAAUAGACAAAUAAUAAAAAAUAAAAAUAAAAGCUAAUUGGAUCCUGAAUCGGACCCAAUAGGCUUAAGCCCAAACUCUAUUGGACCAGGCCCAAUGGCCUUAGGCCCAGACCAAAUAGGGUGUCUACAGCUGCCCCUCUUUGCACAUUUUCUCUUAAACAGGAAUUGUGCAAAGACGUAGACACCCAUUCAAGACUCAACUUGACAUUUUUUGCCCUUUUUUUUUUAUCAAAGCUCCUUUAAGUAAAGGCUCUACGACUUUGAAAAAAUAAACAAAGCUCUUCUAAAUAGAGGCUCCAUAACCUUGAAAAUAAAUGGCUCCCCUAAUCAGAGGCUCAACGACUUUAAAAAAUAAACGGCUCUUCUAAUCAAAGGUUCAACGACUUUGAAAAAUAAAUAAAUUCUCUAAGCAGAAACACCAUGACUUCAAAAAUAAAUGCUCCUCUAAACAAAGGCACCACAACUUUGAAAUGUAAAUUGCUCCUCUAAAUAGAGGAAACCAUUAUUUUGAAAAAGAAAUUGCUCCUCUAAACAGAGGCACCACAACUUUGAAAAGUAAAUUGCUCAUCUAAAUAGAGAUAACAGAACUUUGGAAAAUAAAUUGCUCCUUAACAAUCAUGUCCAAAGGAGUUAUAGAUCGUGACUGAAGGAAUUUUGUAAUGGGAACUCAAGGAUUCACAAUUUGAGUUCAACAUUCAGAGGUUCAGAUUCACAAGAAUCUUUCAACUUCGUAAGAAUUUACUGAAAUUUGAUUCUCAAAAUUUUAGUUUCAUUCAAAUUUGUAAUAUCUCGAUAUUUGCAUUUGCAACUUGCAAGUCUCGUAUCCAACAUUUAAAGAUCCUUUUUUGAAUUUUGGAGAUUCACAUCCAAAAGUUCAAGGCUUUUCAAAGGUUCUCAUUUGGCAAACUUGGAAUUCAUAUCCAAAAAUCUAAAGCUUUUCAUUUGAAUUUUGGAGAUUCACAUCCAAAAAUUCAAAGCUUCUCAUUUGAGUUCAAAGGCUCACAUGCAAUAAAACUUAGAGUUUCACAUCUAAGUUCAAAGGUUCUCAUUUAAAACAUUAGAAAUUCAUAUCCAAAAAGUUGAAGCUUUGUAUUUUGGAGAUUCACAUCCAAAAGUUCAAAACUUUUCAUUUGUUCGAAGAUUCAUAUUCGAUGAACUUUAGGGUUUCACUCCUCAAAGAUUCUCAUUUUGAAACUCAAAGAUUCUCAUUUGAGUUCUCAAAAAUUCUCAUCAAAAUAUUCACAAUUUCUUUUUCAAGUGACUCAAAAAUUUACAUGAAUGAAUGUUAUGACCAAAAAUAUAAAUGCCUUCUUAAUGAUGCAAAUGCAACAACCUAGAUUCUCAUAGUGCCAUGCAUGUCCAAAAAAGUUUAAUUCAUCAAAUUAUAUGCAUGUACUAUUCAAGCAAUGAUGCCAACAUGAUACAUAUAAUACAGAUAUUAAUAAUGUCAUGAAAUCCUAAAUAAUUGUGGUAAUAUGGCUCUCAAAACUUCAUCAUUUCACAUUUCUUUCUUGUUCAGUUUCUCAAUACUUUGGGAUAAGUUUCAUCAAUUGAUCAUCACUUGACCAUCAUUCAUGGGCUUUUCAGCACUAAUAAAUUUUAGAACAAGUUUAUCCACCAUCACUGGGUCACUACUCAUAGGUGUCUCAACAUUAACCAUUCCGAACAAACUUCAUCGUCCGUCACUAGUUUACACUCAUAGGUUUCUCAACCCUAAUCACUUUAUCCAUUGAUCCAUAUUAUUUUUAUCAUUCAAUCAUAACUCGCAAGUCAUGUCGACCAAGUCAUCACUUGGUCAUAUCACCUCUUCAAGUUUUUGCAUUCUCUUCAUUUGUUGGCUAACCCAUCGUUAUUUUCAUCAUUUGACCACACCACGUGUUAUCUCAAAUCAUCCUUCUCAGGCUUCUACGAUCUCUUUAUUUUUUUUUAUCAUCUUGGAUUUCUUUUCAAAUGAAUGCAAGACUCUUUUAAGCACAUAUUCAUUCAUUCAUUAUCAUUUCAAUUCUUGACAAAUACAAUGCAAUCAAGCAUUUUCUCAAUUCAUUUUAGAGAUGUGAGAACAAAAGAACGGAAGGUGCAUUGAGAGAAUGAGAAGUGAGUCUUGGUACCAAAGCAAAUGGGGAAAGAAAUAAGUUGGAUGUAUGACAUUGGGACAAAUGAAUAUUCAAACAAUUUUGAACAUUAAUUCAAGAUUUUUUUUCAAAAACUCUUUCCAUUGAUUGUCAAAAUCAUUUUGAGCUCAUCAAAUUUUACCCCAGCUUUGGAUGUUCUUUAGAUGCAUUGAUCUUCUAUAUAUUUGAAUUGUUCAUCUAACUUUCAACUUAGAGAUUUGAUCUACCCAAAUUACCCUUUCAAAUUUUUAAUUUGAGUCUUUCUUUUUCUUCCUUUCAUCUUUUUUUCUCUUUUUUUAUUUUCUCUUUUUUUUUUCUUUUUUCACCUUUCACCUUUCACCUUUCACCAUUUUCUUUUCUUUUUUUUCAUCUUUCAUCCAUUGUUGAUAUCUCNNNNNNNNNNNNNNNNNNNNNNNNNNNNNNNNNNNNNNNNNNNNNNNNNNNNNNNNNNNNNNNNNNNNNNNNNNNNNNNNNNNNNNNNNNNNNNNNNNNNNNNNNNNNNNNNNNNNNNNNNNNNNNNNNNNNNNNNNNNNNNNNNNNNNNNNNNNNNNNNNNNNNNNNNNNNNNNNNNNNNNNNNNNNNNNNNNNNNNNNNNNNNNNNNNNNNNNNNNNNNNNNNNNNNNNNNNNNNNNNNNNNNNNNNNNNNNNNNNNNNNNNNNNNNNNNNNNNNNNNNNNNNNNNNNNNNNNNNNNNNNNNNNNNNNNNNNNNNNNNNNNNNNNNNNNNNNNNNNNNNNNNNNNNNNNNNNNNNNNNNNNNNNNNNNNNNNNNNNNNNNNNNNNNNNNNNNNNNNNNNNNNNNNNNNNNNNNNNNNNNNNNNNNNNNNNNNNNNNNNNNNNNNNNNNNNNNNNNNNNNNNNNNNNNNNNNNNNNNNNNNNNNNNNNNNNNNNNNNNNNNNNNNNNNNNNNNNNNNNNNNNNNNNNNNNNNNNNNNNNNNNNNNNNNNNNNNNNNNNNNNNNNNNNNNNNNNNNNNNNNNNNNNNNNNNNNNNNNNNNNNNNNNNNNNNNNNNNNNNNNNNNNNNNNNNNNNNNNNNNNNNNNNNNNNNNNNNNNNNNNNNNNNNNNNNNNNNNNNNNNNNNNNNNNNNNNNNNNNNNNNNNNNNNNNNNNNNNNNNNNNNNNNNNNNNNNNNNNNNNNNNNNNNNNNNNNNNNNNNNNNNNNNNNNNNNNNNNNNNNNNNNNNNNNNNNNNNNNNNNNNNNNNNNNNNNNNNNNNNNNNNNNNNNNNNNNNNNNNNNNNNNNNNNNNNNNNNNNNNNNNNNNNNNNNNNNNNNNNNNNNNNNNNNNNNNNNNNNNNNNNNNNNNNNNNNNNNNNNNNNNNNNNNNNNNNNNNNNNNNNNNNNNNNNNNNNNNNNNNNNNNNNNNNNNNNNNNNNNNNNNNNNNNNNNNNNNNNNNNNAAUUCUUGAAUUCUUCAAACACAGCCUUUUAUGGUCUCUAUAAUUGGAUUAAUUAAGCCAAUACAAAAGGGCAUAACAUAUGAUAAUUUAAUAUGAUAUGGCAUUUGUAUAUGACCAAUGAGGGUAUGUAUGCAAAAAUCAAUUCUUGAAUUCUUUCAAACAUAGCAUUUUGUGGUCUCUAUAGUUGGAUUAAUUAAGCCAAUACAAAAGGGCAUAACAUAUAUAUAUAUAUAAUAUAUAUAUUUGAGAUUUAACAAAAAUUCUUUUUGUGGUAUAGAUAGAAAAUCACUUUCGUGAGCUAAUUUUAUGCAGUUAUUAUAAUAUAAUAAUAUUAUAUUAUAAUAUUAUUUUUAUUAUAAUAUAAUAUUUAAGUAUUAAUUAAUCUCGUGCUAUGUACAUUGAUAAAAAAAUAGUACAUAAUUUUAAAAUAGGGUAUAAAUAAAUAUUGAAACAGAUGAUAUUAUAUUCAUAUAUUCACAUAAACAUAUAACAAAAACAAUAUUUUAUUUUUGAAGUUACUUAAUAAUCAUACAGAGUAGUUAUUGAAAUUAAUUUAAGUGAAGUUGAUUUCCUAUAUUUUUAGUUGGGUUUUAAAACGUCAAAGCAAACAUAUAAAAAUAUUUUUAAUCAAAUCAGAACAAAUAAUUUAUAAUAGUUAUAAACAUACAAGUAACUUAAUUAAUUUCAAAGAAAAAUAAAUUUGGUCUAUUUAGAAAUUCUCUUUUUCUCUUUUUUUUCUUGGAAAGAAAAUAAUAUGAUAAUUAUUUUUAUUGAAAUUUCAUCUAAAUUAUUUCACCAUUUGGGUCAAAUUUAGAGAAAAUUUCUCACCUAGAGAUUUUUUAAAAAUUUAUCAUUUGAAAUUUCUAAGAAUCUCAUCUUUAGAUAAUUAUCAAAUAUUUUCAAUCCAAAUUUUUAUUUGGAAAAAAAUACAAUUACUUGUAUUGAAAUUUCAUCUAAAUUAUUUCACAAUUUGGGUCAAAUUUAAAGAAAAUUUCUCACCUAGAGAUUUCUUAGGAAUUUACCAUUUGAAAUUUUUAAGAAUCUCAUCUUUGGGUAAUUUAUAUUUAAUUUCAAAAUUUUUUAUAUUUUUAUGCUUUUUAUGUUUUUAAUUUUUCCUUUUUGGUUUGAAAAUAAAUAUUAAUUAUUGUUAUUGAAAUUUUAUCUAUAUUAUUCCACCAUUUGGGACAAAUUUAGACAAAAUUUCUCACCUAAGAAUUUUAUAAAAAUUUACCAUUUGAAAUUUUUAUAAAUUCCAUCAUUAGAUAAUUAAUAUUUAUUCCCAAAAAUUUUAUUUUUAUUAUUUUAUUUUAUUUUGAUAAAAUAAAAAAAACAAGUAAAACAAAUAAAUAAAAUAAAAUAAAUAAGAAUAUACCAAAAAUCCAAAAACGGCUCGGCUCAGGCUUGGGAUACGGCUUGGUUCAAGACCAAAAAUCACGACUCAGAUGCGCGGCUAGGGAUCUCGGCUCGACUAGAACCCAGGUGGAGAAACGGGUCACUGGUUCGGGUGCGCUACGGGUCGGAUCGAAUCUUGACAAAAUGAAUAGAUCUUUUGGUUUUACUAACGUAAAAACGAUGUCGUUUUGGGGAAGGUAUAUAAGGCUGAAGAUCGAUUUUUUUUUAGAAUUCCCUUCUUCUCUUCUUUUUCUUCCUUUCUUUUCUCUCAUUUCUCUUUAAACAAUUCCAGAUUUCAAUUGAAUUCCUACCGAAAUAUGAAAAAAGCCAUUAAAAACUUCAAAUCUGAUUGAAAAACUUGUCGAAAAAUUCAAAGUUCGCCAAAAAAUUUCAUCAAAUUUCAAAAAUUUUCUAAAACUUUUUCAGAAAAAGAACUCCAAAAAUUUGAAAAAAAAACUUCUAAAAAUCCUAUACUGCCUCUGAACACUUUUGCUUCUGUUUCACCUCUCUAUUUUCUUUGUUUCCUCUCUGAUUCCCCUGUGUCUUAUGUGUGAUUUAUGGACCUAUUUAUAGGGAUUGAUCAGAAGAGUUUCUGAUCAAUCCCAACUCCUUCUGGGAUUUGGAUUUAAUCUUUGAAUUCAAUUUCAACUCUGCCAAUUCUCAAAUCACAGCCAAAUUCAUUCCAAUUGUUUUUUUUAUAAUCCUAAUCUUAACCGAAAAUUAAUCAAAAUAAAAAAGAUAUAUAUAUUAAUAGAUAACAAAAAAAAAUAGAUAAAUAAAAGAAAUAGAUAAAUAAUAAUAAAUAAUAAAAGCAGAUAAAUAAUAAAAAAUUAAUAGAUAAAAUAAACAUAAAAAUAUAUAUUAACAAAUAGACAAAUAAUAAAAAAUUAAAAUAAAAAUAAAAGCUAAUUGGGCCAACUAAUUGGAUCCUGAAUCGGACCCAAUAGGCUUAAGCCCAAACCCGAUUGGACCAAGCCCAAUGGCCUUAGGCCCGGACCAAAUAGAGUGUCUACAGCUGCCCCUCUUUGCACAUUUUCUCUGAAAUAGGAAUUGUGCAAAGACGUAGACACCCAUUCAAGACUUAACUUGACAUUUUUUGCACUUUUUUUUUAUCAAAGCUCCUCUAAGUAAAAGCUCUACAACUUUGAAAAAAUAAACAAAGCUCCUCUAAAUAGAGGCUCCAUAACCUUGAAAAUAAAUGGCUCCCCUAAUCAGAGGCUCAACGACUUUGAAAAAUAAAUGGCUCUUAUAAUCAAAGGUUCAACGACUUUGGAAAAUAAAUAAAUUCUUUAAGCAGAAGCACCAUGACUUCAAAAAUAAAUGCUCUUCUAAACAGAGGCACUACAACUUUGAAACGUAAAUUGCUCCUCUAAAUAGAGGCAACCAUGAUUUUGAAAAAUAAAUUGCUCCUCUAAACAGAGGCACCACAACUUUGAAAAGUAAAUUGCUCCUCUAAAUAGAGGCAACAGAACUUUGAAAAAUAAAUUGCUCCUUAACAAUCAUGUCUAAAUGAGUUAUAGAUCGUGACUGAAGGAAUUUUGUAAUGGAAACUCAAGGAUUCACAAUUUGAGUUCAACAUUCAGAGGUUCAGAUUCGCAAGAAUCUUUCAACUUCGUAAGAAUUUACUGAAAUUUAAUUCUCAAAAUUUUAGUUUCAUUCAAAUUUGUAAUAUCUCGAUAUUUGCAUUUGCAACUUGCAAGUCUCGCAUCCAACAUUUAAAGAUCUUUUUUUGAAUUUUGGAGAUUCACAUCCAAAAGUUCAAAGUUUUUCGAAGGUUCUCAUUUGGCAAACUUGGAAUUCAUAUCAAAAAAUCUAAAGCUUUUCAUUUGAAUUUUGGAGAUUCACAUCCAAAAAUUCAAAGCUUCUCAUUUGAGUUCAAAGGCUCACAUGCAAUAAAACUUAGAGUUUCACAUCUAAGUUCAAAGGUUCUCAUUUAAAACAUUAGAAAUUCAUAUCCAAAAAGUUGAAGCUUUGUAUUUUGGAAAUUCACGUCCAAAAGUUCAAAACUUUUCAUUUGUUCGAAGAUUCACAUUCGAUGAACUUUAGGGUUUCACUCCUCAAAGAUUCUCAUUUUAAAACUCAAAGAUUCUCAUUUGAGUUCUCAAAAAUUCUCAUCAAAAUAUUCACAAUUUGUUUUUCAAGUGACUCAAAAAUUUGCAUGAAUGAAUGUUAUGACCAAAAAUAUAAAUACCUUCUUAAUGAUGCAAAUGCAACAACCUAAAUUCUCAUAGUGCCAUGCAUGUCCAAAAAAAGUUUAAUUCAUCAAAUUAUGUGCAUGUACUAUUCAAGCAAUGAUGCCAACAUGAUACAUAUAAUACAGAUAUUAACAAUGUCAUGAAAUCCUAAAUAAUUGUGGUAAUAUGGCUCUCAAAACUCCACCAUUUCACAUUUCUUCCUUGUUCAAUUUCUCAAUACUUUGGGACAAGUUUCAUCAAUUGAUCACCACUUGACCAUCAUUCAUGGGCUUUUCAGCACUAAUAAAUUUUAGAAUAAGUUUUAUCCACCAUCACUGGGUCACUACUCAUAGGUGUCUCAACAUUAACCAUUCCGAUCAAACUUCAUCGUCCGUCACUAGUUUACACUCAUAGGUUUCUCAACCCUAAUCACUUUAUCCAUUGAUCCAUAUUAUUUUCAUCAUUCAAUCAUAACUCGCAAGUCAUGUCGACCAAGUCAUCACUUGGUCAUAUCACCUCUUCAAGUUUUUGCAUUCUCUUCAUUUGUUGGCUAACCCAUCGCUAUUUUCAUCAUUUGACCACACCACGUGUUAUCUCAAAUCAUCCUUUUCAGGCUUCUACGAUCUCUUCAUUUUUCUUUAUCAUCUUGGAUUUCUUUUCAAAUGAAUGCAAGACUCUUUUAAGCACAUAUUCAUUCAUUCAUUAUCAUUUCAAUUCUUGACAAAUACAAUGCAAUCAAGCAUUUUCUCAAUUCAUUUUAGAGAUGUGAGAACAAAAGAACGAAAUGUGCAUUGAGAGAAUGAGAAGUGAGUUUUGGUACCAAAGCAAAUGGGGAAAAAAAUAAGUUGGAUGUAUGACAUUGGGACAAAUGAAUAUUCAAACAAUUUCGAACAUUAAUUCAAGAUUUUUUUUCAAAAACUCAUUCCAUUGAUUAUUAAAAUCAUUUUGAGCUCAUCAAAUUUUACCCCAGCUUUAGAGGAUCUUUAGAUGCAUUGAUAUUCUAUAUAUUUGAACUGUUCAUUUAACUUUCAACUUAGAGAUUUGAUUUACCCAAAUUACCCUUUCAAAUUUUUAAUUUGAGUCUUUCUUUUUCCUCCUUUCAUCUUUUUUUUCUUUUUUUUUUUUUCCCUUUUUUUCCUUUUCUUUUUUUUCACCUUUCACCUUUCACCUUUCACCUUUCACCAUUUUUUUUUCUUUUUUCAUCUUUCAUCCAUUGUUGCUAUCUCUCACACAUUAAUCUUUAAGGCAAUAACAUGAUCCCUAUCAUGAGCACACUUUUGCCCAACAUAUGAUUAUUCAAUUCGAGCAUUCACACUUGAUCCAAAUAGAUUUUUCAAGGUUGUAAUAUAUGCCAUGGUAUGGGGUAAUAAAAGAAAUGGAUAAAAUAGGCUCAAUAUAUAUGUUUAAAAGGUCCAAAACCAAAUGAUCAUCACUUGAUGCAGCUUGGCAUUUUGCCCCACUCUAUAUUAUUUCACUACUUUUCCUUUUUUCUAUCUCAUUCUUCAUAAAAGAUUCUCAUUUCUUUGCCCCAAAUCAUUUGUGGCAUUUUUUUUGUUUUUUUUAAUCUUUUAGACUAUUUUCUUUUUUUAAAAAAUUACCCUCUAGUAUGGAGGGUGAUCCUUGGUCAAGGUUUUUAGAAAAAAAAAUCACAAUAGGCUCAAAGGGGUAGCAAUGAAUGGUUUUUCAAAUGUUAAAAGAAAGAUGGUCAUUUUUCAUCUCAAUAUGGAUACUUUUCUUGAACCUCAUCUAUUGAGCAAAAAUAAGCUCAUGGAUUUGUAAAAAAAAGAAAAAACUACUUAUCUUUAACAUAUAUGAAUCUCACAUCUGUUAGUAGCUGACUUUUUGUUACUCCAAUAAUCUCUUUAAAUCAAUGUGAAUGAGUUUUCAAAAUUAAAUUUCAAAAUUAUUGCUGCCAUUGUCUAAACAUUCAUCGUUCGAAAUUCAAGAAUGGGAACAAAAGUUAUGAAAGGUGACAAAGCAUGGAACAAUAGUUAAAUGAAAGAGAAAAUGUAAUGAAAUACAUUAAAUUACCUUUUAUUGAAAUGAUAACAAAUGAAAUCCUACUGCCUAAAAGAAACCUAACAUUACUUUAAAAAAAUCCUAAAAUGACAAGAAACUUUCAAUUAGCCUUAUCUCCAUUCUCCAAAAUUGUCCCCCUAUGCGAUCAAGUGAAGAAUCUUUAUUGACAUCUUACCCCUCAAUUCAUUGUGACUUUUCGGAUCUUUUCUGACCAAUGUGUUCUUGAUUUUCACUCAGAGCAUUAUGAUUUGGUAAUGGGUUGCCACUGACAUUAGGUGUUAUUGCUCUUCCUUGAUCAAAACUUACCAUUCAAUUAUUGAUUAACUAUUGCACUUUAUGCUUUAAAGCAGUGCAAUUUUUAGUAAAAUGGCCAGCAAUUCCAUAAUGGUAGUCGCAGUGGGAUGUAGGAUCAUACCACUUAGGAUAUGGUGGCUUGAGCGGCUUCACACGACUCGGGGCAAUCAAGUGGCUAUUAUAGAGUUCUCGAUAUAACUUCAUAUAAGUCAUGAGGAUUGGAUCAAAUACAGGUUUUUCUCGAAUAAUUCGUUACUCUCAUGAACCACUUACUAGGUUAGUAGGGUAAAUUUGAGGUCUUGCAGGAGUUUGAAUGUUAAAGCUAUAUGUAAGAUCUUGAGGGCUAAAAAUUGAUAUGUAUGUGGAUGAAUAAGGUGGUUGUGAAGCUAGCUGGUAUGGGUAGGAUGAGGCAUUAUUCACAGCAAUAUAGUAUGGAGAGUAACCUUGAGGUGGAUAGGGUUGAUAACCACUGAAUUAUUGCCUAUCAAAGCUCAUAGCUUGAGCUUCAAUUUUUUUUUUCUGAUACCUUCUUGGUUUCUCCUUUUUUCAACUUGCCAUUCUUGAUGGCACUUUCAAUAAUUUCUUCAGAGAUUACCAUGUCGAUGAAAUUUUUUGUUGUAUUCCUUAUCAUCUUUUCAUAAUAGGAAUAUUUCAAAGUGCUAACAAACAACACUGUAAUUUUUUUCUCAGUCAGAGGAGGUUGUACUUGAGAAACAAUAUCCCUCCACCUCUAGGCAUACUCCUUAAAAGUCUCAUUGGCCUUUUUCUCCAGGUUUUGUAAAAAUAAAUGAUCAGGGGCCAAAUCCAUGAUAUGUCAAUAUUAACUGAUAAAAUCAUGGGCCAUGUCACUCUAGGAACGGAUGCGAGUUCUGUCUAACUAGAUAUAUCACCUAACAACAAAACCAGUAAGACUAUCUUGAAAAACAUGCAUUAGUAGUUUUCAUCAUAAGCAUGGGCUAUCAUCUUUCGAUAAUACAUGGUAAUAUGAAUUUUUGGGCACUUUGUGCCAUCAUAUUUUUCAAAUUCUGAUACUUUAAACUUAGGAGGAAUGACUACAUCAGGGACUAAGCAAAGUCCAGCAGCAUCAACUGAACCAUAGAAACCAAUUCUUUCUACAGCUCGUAGCCUUUGUUCUAGCAUACUAAUUUUAAAGUUUUCCUGAUCUUUCACUUUUAUCUUUUCCUUAUUUUUUCCUUUCAGUUCAUCCAGAUUAGGGAUUUUAAUUGGUUCAACUACCUUUUCAGCAAAUACAAGAUUCACAUAGCUAUGGUAAUGCCCUGGAUUAGAGGCUGAUAGCAUUCCAAGAUAUGUAAGAUAUGUGAAGUAUUAUGGUGGAACUUUUUGUAUAGACUAGGCUUGAGGUAGACCAAAAUCAGGUGGAUAUAAGGGGUCAGUCACUUUUUACGAUGCAGUGCCUUAUUGGCUUGUGUUCUCUUUUACUUUUUUUCCCUUAUUUAAUUUGUUGAGAGCAUCCAAAAUUUUACUUAACUCAUUCUCAAUCUUUUCCUGAGCUUUUUCCAAUUUUUCAAAUCGAUGAAAACUUUUUUGCUCCAUUUGUCUGGCCUUGGCUCUUGUAUUAUAUCGGUAAAUGAGAUUUUUGCUGCAUGGAGCUAUCAUUGAACCUUUAGCAUCACAAUUACAAUUAGAAACUAUGUAUGAUAUGAAAAUGUAUGCAUGAAAUGUACUAAUAUUUGCCACAUCAUCGAUAUUGAUAAAAGAAAUCUCCAUUUGAAACUUUAAUAAAUACAAUUUUAAAAUUACAUCCUAAUAAAGUCAAAGCAAUAUUCUAAAGUCCUAAACAUCAUUCUUUAUUUCUUAUGCCUCCUUAUAAACUUCCUAGCUUGUUGGUAAUGAUUUUGUGCCUCAUCUUGGAAAUCAAGUAAAUGUCACCCAUGCACUCCUACUGGUUGCACCAUAGCCUUCACACUUUCUAUUUUUUCUUUCAUUUUUGAUGCUUUGUCUGCAACAAUGCAUAUCUGAUCAAACAAAUGCCUUAGAUGCCUUUGUUUCUCUAUACAUAUGUCUUUUCAUAACUUACUCUGUUGAGCUUGUUUCUUGCAUUCAUCAGACAAAGCUUGUACUUGUACUGUGCAUCGAUCCACUGUCUCUUGUAGCAUUCGGCUAUGUCUAUGUGCCAUAGCAGUAGCCUUUUGUUCUUUUUCCUCCCUCGCUUUUAACAAUUCAUUUUCUUUAAAAGUAGAGCAAGCUCAGGUGUGACUGACGAAUGUGUCAUAUCUAAAUUAUUAAAUAAAGCUCUCCAUUGAUCUUUUUGCUCUGUAAGCCUCUGGAUUUUCAAUUUUUAAAGUCAUGAACACUCUCUCAUUUUUAUCUUCAAUCGCUUGUUUUCUUGUUCUAACUCAUCUUUCUCAGACUGGAGUUUUCUCUUAACUGUUUCCAUUUUAAGCAAAAGAUCUUGAAGAAUAGGUUUUGGGGAAUGCCCUAACUGUUCACUAGGAAUCAUAAUGUCUUUUCCCCUCCUCGCAUGCCAUACACUAUAUUCUGGAGUGACGUCAUAAGUAAACCUCCCUUGGUUAACCCUGGUGGUUUGCUUCCAUGCUUUCUUGAUCUUUUCAACCAUUCCAUAUGCCCCUUUAUCAGUGAAUGAGAACUCCCCUUGGUUAAGUCCAUAGGUUUCUAGAAUGAAUUGCUCACACCCGGAUUAUUUUUUCACUAAAGCUGGAGCGUAAGUAACAGCACCCCAUAGGCCUAAUAAAAACACCUAUGGUUGAUUUCCACAAUUGUAUAACAUUGUAUCAUGACGCAUCCAAGGUGCUCUCCAAACUAUCCCUUGACUAUCAAAGGCUCAAAAAUAGAAAACCCAUUCCUCUUUUGACUUUGCUUGAGGCUAUGUGCUGUAACAAAAUUCUUUGAUGAAGAUACUGAAAUGAAUGUGUGGCUUGUGAAAUUGACUUUCUUUACAUUCCAUUGACUCUUGAUCCAUACAUAAAGCAACUGUAAACAUCCAUUAAAUCGACCUUUAUCAUUUUUGUGACAAAAAUUUAGAGAUCGAAUGAUUUUUGCCAAAAUGGUUGGUGCUGCAUUGACCUGAUAUGCUAAUUGAUCAACAAAAUCCACCACUACAACAUCAACAUAUCCGAUGACUUUCGAAAAAACCACUAAUCCAUAUAAAGUUAUAGCUAUAGCUACUAAUCCCUGAUCACCAUCUAUGUACCCCUGGAUGAAAUCUCACAAAAAAUUCCAUAGAAUAGCUUUACUUUCACCCUUUAUCUUGACACAUGAAUCUACUUGUGGUAAACUAAGUCCAAGCAUUUGCACUAGUUUUUUACGAUAGCCCACCUUGUUGGCCCAAUAAAUCUUGUCUGGGUUUGCUAGAUCGAAGUGAAGUAGGAUCAUAUACUCUUCGAUUGUGGGCACCAUGUAUGCUUCAUUGAAAACAAAACAUCUAUAUGAAGGAUCCCAAAACUAAAUGAUAGCUCUAAUCAAAUUAUUAUCCACUUGCACCUGUAGCAGUGAAGCUAUGUCUCCAUAUCUAUUCUCAAAUUCCUUCUGUCUUAUUCUAUUCAUGCAUUUUCAUAUUUGCUUAAGUCGGAUAGAUCAUUUUGUUGUAGCUCUAGAUGAACUCUUUCGGGUAAUGAUGAAAUAAAAUCCUUAGGCAAGCAAUCUCCUUAUUUUUUUUGACCCUCUUCUGACUUAAUUUUCAAUUGAUGAGCAGACUCAUAGUGGACUAAUGUAGACUUUAAUUGCAUUUAGCUUUUCACGGAUGUAAAUGUGAGAUCUGAUUUAUCAAUAACUGAUAUGCGGCAAAUAUUUUUUAUAUGAAAAUGAUGUAAACAAUAGUGUUAAAUAUGAUCAUGAUGUGAUAAUGCUAAAACAUGAUAAUAGAGAUGGUGCAUAGAAUGAAAUGCUAGAACAUGAGAAUGAAAUGACAUAUAGAUGCACAAAAUCAAGUAGACAAAAUGGUUAGAAAACAAAUUGUUCCUUCUUGUGUCUUAAUUUUGGGUUGUAUCUAUUGAUGGAUAGGAAGGGCUUAAGUUGAUUUCUUAGGGGUGAACUAUAUGCAGGGUUAGAAAAUUUUGACCACUAAAAGGUUCUCAAAUUGUUCCCUACAUUAUUGUCCAUCACAGACUAGUAAGGCAGUCUAAUUCUCACCUAUCAUAGGCUACCAAUGAAAAGGAUUCAAUUUGAGUGGUUGUAUUUCGUUAGCCAUUACGGAGAUUAUCAUCUCACGAGAGCGUAGGUAUUUUACUUUCUCCUAAGAGAGGCUGAGCGUGGGUAUAGAGCUCAUGUAAUGCAAAUGCAUGUGAUAGUGUGUGUGAAGGAACAUAAAAUUAUCAAUCCCAUAAAUUAAAUAAGAAACCAAAAAAAGAAAAAUGUUAGUAAACAAAUAACUUAAAGCCAUUAGUUCAAAUGAUAGGAUAAAUUCAGAAAUUAUGGCUUAAGUCUCUAAUUUUUCCAGUGGAGUCGUCAAACUGUCAUAACAUAUAGAUCCGAAAAUCUAUAGCUAGAUUUAACAAAUGAAUAGAGUCGCCAUCAAUCUUUUUUUAUCUAGGUGUGAUUGGUUACCUAAAGAAUCUAUCCUUUUAAAGAACUUUUAAGCUUGACUAAGGGUCCCUAAAAGAAUAAGUUCAGGUUUACGAACCAGAACAGGGUACGGGAGUUCGGUUACAUGUGAGGAAGGUUAUAGCAUCCCCACAUGCCCAUCCAAAGGAUGGUACCAUAUUAUUUUGAAUUUAUCCUCAAGUUUUGAAUCUAAUGGCUUCAAAUUUUAUGUUAAAUAUUGAAAACAAUUUUUAAGAUUCUCCAUCAAUCUGGUAGUACUCUCAAAAAAAAUUUUCUCACCUCAAGAGUAUUCAAGAAUCCCAUUUGAUUUCUUGAAGAAACUCCGUCGUUGAAAAAAGAUUUAUUUAUUAUUUUUUAUUAUUACCAUUUUUGUUGAAAAUAAAUCUAAUUAUUCCACCAUUUGGGCCAAAUUAAAAAUAUUCUUUUUUAAAUUUCUAAAAUUUUCACCAUUUUGGUCUAUUUAGAAAUUUCCUUUUUUUUCCUUUUUUUCUUGGAAAGAAAAUAAUAUGACAAUUAUUUUUAUUGAAAUUUCAUCUAAAUUAUUCCACCAUUUGGAUCAAAUUUAGAGAAAAUUUCUCACCUAGAGAUUUCUUAAAAAUUUAUCAUUUGAAAUUUCUAAGAAUAUCAUCUUUAGAUAAUUAUCAAAUAUUUUCAAUCCAAAUUUUUAUUUGGAAAAGAAUACAAUUACUUGUAUUGAAAUUUCAUCUAAAUUAUUCCACCAUUUAGACCAAAUUUAGAGGAAAUUUUUCACUUAGAGAUUUCAUAAGAAUUUACUAUUUGAAAUUUCUAAGAAUCUCAUCUUUGGGUAAUUUGUAUUUAAUUUCAAAAAUUUUUAUAUUUUUAUACUUUUUAUGUUUUUAAUUUUUUCUUUUUGGUUUGAAAAUAAAUAUUAAUUAUUGUUAUUGAAAUUUUAUCUAUAUUAUUCUACCAUUUGGAACAAAUUUAGACAAAAUUUCUCACCUAAAAAUUUUAUGAAAACUUAUCAUUUGAAAUUUUUAUAAAUUUUAUCAUUGGAUAAUUAAUAUUUAUUCCCAAAAUUUUUAUUUUUAUUAUUUUAUUUUAUUUUGAUAAAAUAAAAAAAAAGUAAAACAAAUAAAUAAAAUAAAAUAAAUAAGAAAAUACCAAAAAUCUGAAAAUGGUUCGGCUCAGGCUUGGAAUACGGCUCGGCUCAAGACCAAAAAUCACGGCUCAGAUGUGUGGCUUAAGAUCUCGGCUCAGUUGGAACCCAGGUGGAGAAACGGGUCGCUGGUUCGGGUGCGCUACGGGUCGGGUCGGAUCUUGGCAAAACGCGCGGAUCCUGUGGGUUUACUAACGCAAAAACGACGUCGUUUUAGGGAGGGUAUAUAAGGCUGAAGAUCGAUUUUUUUCAAAAUUCCCUUCUCCUUUUCUCUUUCUUCCCUUAUUUUCUCUCCAUUCUCUCUAAACAAUUCCAGAUUCUGGUUGAAUUCCUAUCGGAAUCAGAAAAAAGCCGCCCGAAACUUCAAAUCUGGCUGGAAAACUCGUCGAAAAAUUCAAACAUCGUCGAAAAAUUUCGUCGGAUAUCCAGAAAUUUUCCAGAAAAAGAACUCCAAAAAUUCAAAAAAAAAACUUCUAAAAAUCCUAUACUGCCUCUGAACACUUUUUGCUUCCAUUUCACCUCUGUUUUCUUUUUUUCCUCUCUAAUUCUCUUGUGUCUUAUGUGUGAUUUAUGAACCUAUUUAUAAGGAUUGAUCAGAAGAGUUUCUGAUCAAUCUCAACUCCUUCUAGGAUUUAGAUUCAAUCUUUGAAUCCAAUCCUAACUCUGUCAAUUCUCAAAUCACAGCCAGAUUCAUUCCAAUUUUUUUUUUAUAAUCCUAAUCUUAACCGAAAAUUAAUCAAAAUAAAAAAGAUAAAUAUAUUAAUAGAUAACAAAAAAAUAUAGAUAAAUAAAAGAAAUAGAUAAAUAAUAAUAAUAAUAAAUAAAAACAGAUAAAUAAUAAAAAUAUUAAUAAAUAAAAUAAAAAUAAAUAUAUAUUAAUAAAUAGACAAAUAAUAAAAAAAUAAAAAUAAAAGUCAAUUGGCCAACUAAUUGGAUCAUGAAUCGGAUCCAAUAGACUUAAACCCAAACCCUAUUGGAUCAGGCCCAAUGACCUUAGGCCCGAACCAAAUAGGAUAUCUACAACUAGUUAUUUAGAUUUGGUUAAAUCAUGUAUGUAUGAUGAUCUUGCAAAUUUCAUGCGGUUGGUGGAGAAUGGCGGAUGUAACAUUGAUGAGGAUAUCACAUGUUUGUGUUAUCCAAUUGGGUAUAAUGACAAGGGCAGGGUUUUGAUGAGGACACCUUUAAUGAUUGCUGCAAUAUGUAGAAGUUCAAAAGUGGUGGAAUUUAUACUUCAGUCUGGUGUCGUCAAUGUUGAUAAACCUUCUCCUUCCGAUGGAGCGACUGCACUUGACUGUGCUUGUGAUGCUAUGUCUUCUCCUGAUGAAAUUAUUAUGAAGCUGCUUAGCGCUCCUUGGUGGAACCGAACAAACAACUUGGAUCAAAAUAGCAGGAAUUUUGAUUUAGGGGGUCCAUCCGAGCGUGGUUCUAUGAAGACAUUUAAUCCUGCACUACUCAUGAUCAUGAACUAUUAUGGGCAUGCUUAUGGAAUCCCUGUGGAUGAAGGCCCAUCUAGUUCCAACCAGCAACUACAGGGAAGGCAAGAGUCGAAUAUGCUGACAUCCUCUCAUGCAACCAUCAAUAAUUAUGGUGGAGUUGCUACUGGUGAAGGCCUAUCGAGUUCCAACCAUCAUGUCUAUCUAAAUCUAAAUGUGUCAGAGCAUGCAAGGCAAGGGCAGAAUGUGAUGAUCAAUUCAUAUACUGGUGGUCCUGGAAUCGUGAAUAAUUAUGAGCAUACAGAUCAGGGAAAGACUGCUGCUGUUGAUGAUUGGCCAUCUUUGAUGGAGGAUGUUCUUGCAAAGGUAAGAAAGUCGUUGAAUCCAGCUCAUAGUGACUCUAAAAGUGGACCUUACUAGCCACUUUGAUCUAGGUUGGAGAAGUCGAGCAUAGUAAGAACCGACGUUUCUUAAGUGAUCUUCCACUAUUUCAAUCCUUAAUAGCUACUCGACAAAUCUUCUUGAUUUCUUCAUUCUACAUUUAUAGUCCUUUAAGUCAGUUUUUUUUUUUUUUUUUUUUUUCUGUGAUGCUCUUUUAAGGGCAUUUGUUCUUGAAGCCCUGCAAAUAAAGAGCAAAAUUCUAAGAUCAAAUUGUGUAAAACCAACAAUCAUUACAGCGCUUGAAAAUGACAGUAGUAAAUUCAUGUGACCUUCUAUUCAUAACGGGUGAUUUUUUAUAUUUUUCUUCAAUAUUCCUCAGUGACAUUAUUGAAUCAGUCAAAAAAGGAAGCCACUGCGGAAAAGGAACUUUGCGAAUCGGGAGGAGAUGGUUUAAUAUUCCUCAGUGGUCCGUUACCUUUAGCGGAGCAUUGCGCUUGAAGUGAUAGCUGCUCCUUGGGCCUGACAUUAGAGAUUUAUUUUAUAAUGCAUAACACAAAUCAAUUAUGAAAAUAGCAGAAUCCAACACUAGACAGCUUCUACUACGAGUCUACUCAGAUCUUCAAAUUAACAUCCCAGAAAUUUAGAAUGCGAUGCAUUUUAUAUUGGAUAAAAAAAUUUAAUUAUUGAUGAGUAAAAUUAAUUUUUGUAUUAAUUUUAUUUAUAUUUUAAAUAAUUAUGUUUGAAUAAAAAUAAUUAUCAUAUCACAAAUGGUGAUAAUUAUUUAAAUAUAAAUAAAUUAUAAUUAUAUAGAAGGUUAUAACCAUUUAUAUAAAAAUUUAUAUUUGUUCAUUCAUUAUAAAUAAAUUUUUCAGUAUAACCAUUUUCACUAUUUAUAAUUGGAGCGUUUGAGGUUUUAUUAUAUCUUAAAGGCAUAAUUAACUUUAAGAAAGUGUUUUUCAUGCUUCAAAGCCAAAUUUUUUUUAUUAUUUCUCUUCUCUUAUUUAUUUUUUCUAACAAUUUAAAAAGCAAUUAUGAGAAAUUUAUAUUUCGCAUGAGGAAGAUACAAGAAAAAAGAAAUUAGCAUGAUUUGGAGAUCAAUAUUAGAGGAAGCUCAAGAUAUCAAAGGAUUAAUGUUUCCAUUAACCAAAAUGUUAAUUUUCAUAAAAUUCUUUAUUAAAGCUAUGUAUUUUAUUAUUUAUAUAAUUGCUGGUAAAAAAAUUGACUAAAUGAAAUAAACACGUUGAUAAGUAAUUUCAUUAGUGUGUAAAAUUAAAACACAAUAUGUAAAAUAUUAAUUACAUUGUAUAAAUUUAUUUAUAUAUAGAAAUUGGUUCCAUAAUUAGGUUUAAUAAAUUGUAGUAUAUUUAUUUGAAAAAUCAAUGCUUAUAAAGAUUGGAAUAGGAAAUAGCCUAAAACAUAAAAGAGAAAUAUAUGAAUUGAUAUACGACCAAAAGAAUUAUCACUUAUUAUCAAGUAACAAAUUAAAUUGGAUUCUAAUGCAAUGACUGAUUAUUUAAUUGUUAUGUCUUAUUUAUAUAUAGAAUAAGAAAAUUGGCCCAUGGUUUCUAUGAAAACAAUUAGAAAUUAAUAAAGGAAUUUAUCAUGAAAAAUUAAAUGUAAGUAAAAAUAUAUGCAGAAAAUAAGAUUUGAGUGCAAGAUUAGUUUUAGUGUUAAAUCAUGACACUAAAAUUGAGAUAAUAAGUUGAGUCAAGCUAUUUGUGUGGUUUCAUCUUGGUUGGUCGUUUAUAAAUCCAAAGUUGAUUUUUUUUUAAUUUAUUGUUAGUUCAAAUUUUUACUAGUGUUCAAUUUUCAUGAAAAUCAAUUAAAAUUAAAUUGAUGUAUGUGAAUAAUUAUUAUUAAGAUAUGGUGUUUCAUGAAUUAAUUAGUGGAUAAUAAACCAAAUAAUUAUUAUUAUCAGAAACAUGGGUAAUGUGACAUGUAUUUUGCUUGCUAAGUGUAUUAUACUAUGAGUGAUUUUACAAAAUAAAAUUUUAUUGUGAAUAAUCACAAAAUAAAAAUAUAAAUAGCCAUUAAAGAGUUAAUCAAUAGUUACACAAAAACAUUAUUACUUUUCGCAUAUAGGAUACUAAUUAAAAAUAAAAAAGGCAUGUCAUUAAAACUAUUGAAGCAUUUGUUAAUUACUAGCAUUUUGAAAUAUGCUUAUCAAUGUCUAAUUAAUCAUAUUUACAAAUUAGAAAAGAUCAUGCAAAUUCAAUGUUCCAAAGGCACCAAUGCAUACAUGUGUUUAAUUCCAUUUUGUGAUGGCAUGGAGAACAUUGAUACAAUUUACCAUUUAUUACAAACAUGAAUUGAAUGGAAUGGAAUUUUCUUUCUUAUACAUAUAAGAAAAAUAUGGACUAUGAAGAUAGAAUGUCACCAUCAAAUUAAAACAUUAUUGGUUAAAGAUAAUGAAGAUAUUUUUGCUUCUUGUACCCGAAAAAACGGCCUUUUGUAGGCUACUAAAAGAAAAAGUGCACAAGUUUAUGAGGUUUUCAAUAGUUUCAUGACAAUGGCAAAGAAGUGGUUGUUAUACACCAUAUUAACAUAUGGGCUUAGAUAAUAAUAUUGGUUUGUGAAAGCCAUAAAUCUUAGAGUUAGCCAAUUAAUGAUUUAACCAAUGUAAAUUCAUUACGAGGUUUUACUUGAAAUAUGAAUAGAAUUCAUAUUAUAAUUAUUGUUUAUGCUAUUUUAUGAAAAUAAUUUUUUUGAUUCAUGUUUCAUGACUUGCAUUGAUAUGGUGAUUUAGAUAUUAAUAUAUUGAUCCCAAAAUGAUUGUGAAAGUAUUUGAAAUUAGAGUUAAAUAUACCAUUAACUCUUAUUAUAUUUAGACAUAUUGGUCAUAUGAGUAAAAUUUGAAUUUAUUAUAUAUUCGAAAAUGUUAUGACCAGUUAAAAGUGGCAAAUAACAUAAAUAUAUAUGUUGUACAAUGGUAGAAAAAUCAAGUUCUCAUAAAAUUUUGAAAUGAAGUUUAGAGGUUUCAAUAAUCAUGAACUUAGAAUUGGCCAUUGUGCAAUUAGUAAAUAUAUUAGAAACUCAUGAUAAUAUUUGAGAUGGUUGAUUUUCACUAAAAGCUAUCACUAUAAGUAAAAUAAUUUCAAUAGUCAAAUCUAUAUGAUUUAUAGUUAUGAUGUGGAUUAUUAUGAUUGGCUUAGAAUAGUCAUAAGCCAAAAUUGAUGCCACAAUCUUGAUCACAUUGUGGUAAUUUUUUGUUAUGUAUAUGGUCUAAUUCAUGGAUUGUACAAAUGAUUUAUCAUCUACAGUUUUAUUAAAAGUUUUGAAAUAUAGUGAAAAUUUUAAAGUAUAUUUACUUUGGAAACCAUGAUUAAUUCAAAGAUCUUGUGAAUAUGAAAACUUUUAUAAUAGUAAAAGGAAUGUUAUUUGAUCCAUUCAGGUGAUGGAAAUGGUUUUGUUCAUGGUAAAACAAUUAUUAAUAGUGUCAAUGAUGAAAUAGAUUUAUAUAAGUAUUUAUGGAUUGACUUAAAAAGUGCUAAAAGGAGACUAUAGAAGCAUAAUUAUAUUUGAAAUCUGCUUAUUACUUUAAACUCUUAUAUUGAGUUAAAAUAUAAAAGUUUUGAAACUUUUAUGAAAAAGAAAUAUUAAGAUAUAUAAUAUUUGCUAAUUAUUUUUCACUAAGGGUGAAUUUGAAGGCCUUCUACUUAAAAAAAAAAAACAUAAAAUAUUGAAAAGAUAAAUGAAAUGGCAACUCAAUUAAAUGAAAUAGCAACUUGAUUAAGUAUAUAAGAUAUCUUGAUAAUUGAAUGAGAUAUUUUUUAAUAAAAAAAAUGCAUACUUGCAUGGUGAGGGUGAUAAGAAUCAAAAGAAAUAAAAAUUACCACUAUAGUUUUAUUACAAGUUUAGACACUUAAUAAAAUAAAAUCAUAAAAAGGUUCUUAAAAAUCUUUAAAAAACUAAAAUGGUUUGGUUUACUCAUUGAGUUUAUCCAAUUGUAUUAAAAGUAUAAUUGUAUUAAAGAUGUAUAAAGUAUGAAAAUAUAAUGGUUGAAAUUUAUGAGUAUAGAGUUGUGGCCACAACCAAAACCAAUUAUUUCUUAAAAUGGUAAGAAUAAUGCAAUAAUGUCUUGAACAUAUAAAUGAUAUGUAAAAUAAAAAAUUUAAAUAUAUUAGCCUAAAGUGAUUAUAUUAGAGAAUUAAUCUCAAGUGAGGAUAAUUACCGUAAAAGAAAUUAAAUUUGAAGAUUUUUGGUUAGUAGUAUUACAAACAGAAUAGAUUUAAACCCUUACUAUUAGACCAAUAAUGAGAACCUAACUUUGAAUUAGCAACCUCUAAUUAUAAAGUUUAAUGGGUAAAAAUAAGUUAUUGUUAUGUGUUUAUUAAGCACUAGUAAAAUCCAUUCAAAUUUUAGAAACUAGUGUGAUCUAUUGCAUUGAGAGGAUAAGUUUUUAUACUCUUAAUGAAGUUUUAAAUGUCUAAAGCAAUGAAGACAUAAUAAAAAGUCUACGUAUAUAAAUAUAGAAGUAGUGCCGCUUCAAUAAGAAGAAUUGAGAUUUUUCUUGUAAAUAUUUAUAAAUAAAAUAAGUACAUAACCAUAAUAGUGCGAAAAAUGGUUAUAAACUUUUAACAAAAGAAUAAAUAAGUAUUAUAUCAGUUAUAUCUUCAAUUCUAACAUCAAGAGAGUUAAAGUUUAAUCUGCGAAUACCAUCAAUUUCGUUAAAAUUUUAAGAUAUAUACGUUAAUUGAAUGUUUAAAUCGAGAUAUACUUUUUUAUAUUCAUAAUAUUUAUUUGUAUGAAAAGUUAAAGAUUAAGUACCAAUAUUCUAAACUGGUGAGGGAUUAUUCGUAGUUUAGAAUAUGGUGCAUCUUACAUUAAAUAGAAUGAUUUAAUUAUUGAUUAAUAAAAUUAUUUUUAUAUUAAUUUUAUUUAUAUAUUAAAUAAUUAUGUUUGAACAUAAAUAAUUAUCAUAUGAUAAAUGAUUAUAAUUAUUUGAAUAUAAAUAUAUUAUUAUUCAUAAAGAUCAUAAUUAUAUACAAAAUUAUAAUUAUUUGAAUAAAAAUUUAUAUCUGCUCAUUCAUUAUAAAUAAAUCUUUUAAUAUAAUCACUUUUAUUACUUUUAAUUAAAGAAUUUAAAACUUUUAUUAUAUCCUAAAGACAUAAUUAUUUAAAAAAAAAUAUUUUUCAUACCUCAAAAUAAAAUUUGUUUUAUUAUUUUUUUCUCAUAAUUAUUUAUCUAACAAAACUCAAAUGUACGAGAAAUCAGCGACAUAAAACCCACAAGUACACAGGAUUUUUUUUAAUCUAUUAGUAAUGUAUUAUUACUAAUAAGUUUACAUUUGCUGAACAUGUAUCAUGUUAUUCCUAAUUUCCUAUAUGUUCUUGCGCCACCUGACACUAGAUCCUUGCUGCAAUCUGCUUGCAAAGACAACUGGACCAGUAAUCAAAGUCGGCGAACCCCUUUCACACGAGAUUUGCCUUGAAAUUUUAUUUUCAAGGUUUACCUUAGAGAUUUUGCAUAGAAAAACUCUGCUUUUGUGUAAAAUUUUCCACCAAGUCUUUUUCAAGCAUUAUGAUAUGUCAGUAAUUUGCAUGUGAAAUCCCAUAAGUUCGUCAGCUACCUGGUACAACAUGAGAUCAAGUAUUUGCUCCCCAAACUCCGCGCAGAUCUCUUCAAAGUGUUCAAACGUGAAAACUUUCUUGGUUAGCCAGUUUGAGAAUUUGAUAUCUUCCUCUGUCAAUUUGCAAGGCUUAGCAACCAACUCCAUGUAAUAAUCAGUCUCCUCGAUAUUCGUUGACUCAAAAUUCUUCUUGGUAAAUUCCUGCUUUCCAAGACCUCCAGUUAUUGAAAUGCGAGCACUAAUAACAAUAGUGGGAGAGUCGUGUUUCACUGACUUUGAUGAGCAUUUCUUCUCUGAAUUCAGUUCCAAGGACCUUGAAUCUUCUGUAAGAAAGAUUUUGAGAAUAAUCAAGUUAGUUGGCAAUGGCAGUACCUAUUUUACAGAAUUCACAGAAUCCGAUAUUGAAAUUUAGAAUCCAAACCUGAAAUGGCUUUUUCUUGGUGGGAUACAAAAUCAUUUACAUUAAGGACAGAAACUGAGCUUGAACCCUCUGAGUUACUCUCAGAGUAAUCAAUUUUUUUAAGUUCGCGUUGAUUCUUUUUCUUCCUUGUCACAACAUAUACUUCCUUCUGAUUUACCAUCUUCAAUGGGCUUUUUGCCUUCGAAUUUGCAUCAUGAUUAAUCUGACCAACCUUGGCUCCACUAAUGCAGCCACCAGCCUCCAAAGGACGUUUACCAGAAGAAACUCUUCUUGGCUCAUUUUUAAGCUUGGAUAUCUUCUUGUUUUUCUCUUGAUUCGCCUUCUUACGAGCUACUUUAUCGCUUACAUUCUCCUUUUGCUUAACAUGCUUACUACUUGAUCCAUCUCCUUUCUCUGAUUUCGUUGGCUUAAACCCUGCUUCAUUAUUUUUAUCCACACUAUCCAAGUACACCACAAAGAAUUCUCGAUUCUGAUUAUGCUGGAAUUGUUGCGGACCUUGCGGUACCUCACGAAAUGACGCUGAAGUUUUCACACGGCGAUGUUUGGCUUGUGUUAAAUCAAACUCCAGCAUAUAAUCCACGAAAUUGACUGACCUGCUCCGCGUAACAGAGCCUGGAGUUUUACCUUUCUGUACCCAGGUGUUCUCUGGCAAUGAGUCUAGCCCCAUUAGCCUCGCCACUAUUCCAGGGCCACUUUCAGAAGCUUGGACUUGAACCUUAGCCACAUCAUCGACAGUGUUUAACUCUAUAACGCGAUCAGAUGGAUGUGCUUGAGGACUACCUGAACAAAGAGUCCGGCGCAAAACGGCGGAAAAACACCCAAAACUAGAACUUUUUGUGUUACUCAUGCUUCAAUUGGAGAAAAAAAAAAAAAGGGAGGCAAAAAAUGUAGUAAAGUUAGUGAGAAGCACAAAUUUUCUUGUAGGAUAGUGAGUAGAUGAUGCUCAAGAAUGGCUCAAAAUAUAGUCAACAAAAUCAAACUACCCCGGGAAAGAAACAGUGGCGGGCUUUGAGUUUGAAUCGUACACAAAUGAGUAUAAUUUUUUGUAUUGAUUCAUAGGUUAGGAAGAAUGGUCGGUCUAUAAUCUAUGAAUUAUAGAGAGCUGGGUUAGGUCGUCGAAUUCACAUUAGAAAACAAGAAAAAUCCUAGACCUACGCGCAUUCAGCUCGAGUACGGAGUGUAUGUUAAAGUGCAUAAAGACAAAAUUGUCAGCAGUCGAUCUGUUUUUAGUUUUUUACACUAUUAAUGGAUUCACGUUAGCCUACGCGCCAUGCUUAGAGAAUAAUAGUAAGAGGAAUAGAAGCUCUUCUAAUUUAGAUUGCAAAGCGGGGGAUCAAGCUGGCUUAUUUUUUUACCAUUAAAAAAAAACAAGGAAAGCAGCUUUUGGCAGCCGAAGUUGUGGACUUUUGAUGUUGUUCAAAUCUUAAAGAGGUGGUCCUGACUCUUGUAGUACGUAUUUGCCAGCCACCGACUCCGGUUCCUGCUGACUGGACGGCUUCUACUACAUUUCUCAGUGUUCAUUGUUCUUUUGGGCCCUCACUUGGCGUAAAUUGGGUUUUCAAUCCAUGUGGAAUCGGUGUUAUGUUGAAAGUUUAUUUGCCUAGGCUCAGUUAGCCUUCUUGCGUUAGAACCGGUCAUUGAAACUUGACAGCCCACAGGGUAAGAAGGGCUAAGAGGUUCAAUCCUCCAAGUCGAAGGUCGUACUCAUAAUAUGACGUGAUACUUUGCCUGAAUAUUAUAAGUUUUUUUUUAUAUUUUUAAAAAUUAUAAUUAUAUGGUGUCAAAUUACUCAAUUAAUAUGCAUAUAUCUACUAAAAACAAGUACUUAAUUGAUGGCUUGAAAUUCAAGGUUUUAGAAUUUUGACAUGAUUUUCAUUGGUUGUGGACUAAGCGAAGAAAAAGCACGAAAAUCUUCCUUUUUUUUGCAAUGUGAUUUCCCAUGUAGCAAUCUCUUUCACGUGCAAAGGGAAGAUUUUUGCAUCCAGCCGUUGUCUCUAGCUUGAUGCGAUGUUAAUGUUUGGAAAAAAAAUCCUAGAAAUACAAAUAAAAAUAUCAAAUGGUGUUUGGGGAAAAUCAUGCGCGUAACUUGCUACUCAGUUGCACAUUUCUUUCAUGGAUAAGGGUAAACACGCACCAUGGCUUAUUUCCUCACGCGGAACAAAAAGAUAAUGACAUAGCAUUUAUCAGAGGAUUAUUGUUAAUGGUAUUGUUUGUUGAUGGUGAUUGACCAAGACAACUAAAAACCAAUCAAGUAGAAUAGUGGGAAAUUAUAAAGAUAGGCAUGAUGACUGGUAGUAAAUGAUUAGAAUCGCUUUUUCUGAUUGGGUUGGGACCAAAAGUGCGGAGGUAAACAUGAUGCUAGUCAUGAUUUCUCCUUCUUUAUCACAAAACUAUCGGAUGAAAAUAACAAGCAAGAGGGACAGCCCUUGAGUCGUGGUCCGCACACAUAACCUAAAGAAUAAACAUAGAACUCCUUUUUGUCCAUUUCUCAGAGGAUUCAAUUAAGCAAUAAAUGUUAAUUUUUGCUUAAGCAAUUGCUAUUUCUCUUGUAAAAGAAUAAAUAUACAUUUUCCUUUACUAGUAGAAUGCCACAAUCGAAUAUAUCCUAACUUAUAUGCCUCCCUCUCCCCCCAAAGAAAAAAAAAAGGCUCCAAUUGCCCUUGUUAAUUAUACUAUUCAACUUAAAUAUGAUUUCUAUAUGAUUGUGGCUGUACCAUGGCAAUACAAGCUCAAUGCUUAGACCUCUUUUGGUUAAGCAAGAAAGCUCCAAGCGAAGAGCUUUAUUUCGACCCAAUAUUCUAGCUGGAAUUUUAUGAAGCAUCACGCUGGCUUAUGCUUCAUUUGGAUGGAUGAAGCCUUAGAACUUAAAAAGGAUCUCUGCGUUCCGGGUCAGCUUGGUAGUAGACAACAUCUCCAGUGUCACUAACAUAGUGAUCUUUCUUCAAGCUUCUUAUCAAACUUCCAAUCAGGUGAAAAGGUAGAGGACCUGAAUAUUCUGGCUCCCGAUAGUAUUUUCCAAGAACUGGCUUAGCUGCCUCAGUCUGUGAGAUGAAAACAGAAGAUAAGAUCAGGAUGAUAAGAAAAUGCAUAAGAACAUAGCAAUCAAAACUAUAUGAGGUACUCACCGCCUCUAUUAAGUGGUAGUGCGGGAUUUGAGGAAAGAGAUGGUGUAUGACAUGGGUUCCGAUAUCGUGGUGGAUGUUAUUGAUCCAUCCAUAAUCACGGUCAAGUGUUGUAAGCCCUCCCCUCAAGUAACUCCAUUCCUGUCAGAAUAUUGUUUUAAUGAAACAGUAAUUUUGAAAGUUCAAAAUGAACCUUGGAAUUCCAUACAAUAUUGUCUGAAUCUCCAAAAUUUCAAACUUUAUAAAAAAUUCUCUGACAGAAUUGCCUUAGACCAAGGUAGGACAAUCAUACCUUCCCACGGUACCAAGGAAGCUUCUCUUCAUGACCAUGGUGAUGCAAGUAUGUAACGAAAUCCAACCACAUCACAAAUAUCUAACAUCAAAGCAAAGACAAGUCCAAUUGUAUUCUCUAACUGGUGAAGAGAUAUCAUUGCGUCAAAGAAGAAACAGAUGACCAAAAGAAAGUUGAAACCUACCCAGUAUGGAACGCCAUAUAGUUUAAGCAACUGCAUAGGACCCAUUUUGAAGCCUAGACCAACAAGAAUAGCAGCCAUGGCCGUCCAACAUAAGGUGGAAGUAAUCACAUCUUUUCUCUCACUUGGGACAAACAAAUCGCUGUUAGGGUCAAAGUGAGAACCAGUCUUCCCUGGACUUCUGUUCCACUGUAAUUAAAAUUAAACAGCCAUUAAAUAUCUCUAUAUCUGGGAUCAAAUUUAUCAACCAAGCUACAACACACUUACAAGGUAGAAAGGAUAUGCAAGCAUGGGAAAAGGCAACAUGAACCGCAACGUUCGUGUUGAGUUAUCCAAACUCCUGUAUAUCUUCUCAGAUAACUGCAACAGCAUUGACAAAAGUUUUAAGUUUUAGACCAGGUGGAAACAGGAAAGGAAGAACAAAGGCGUGGUAAUAGACCAAACAAACACCAGAAAGAACAAGAGAAAUUUAACCAACCGGGUGCCAUGAUUCAUCAUUCUCAGCAUGCCCGUGGUUUUGAUGAUGAGUCCUAUGGCUAAUUCUCCUGUAAAGUUAAUCAUAACGGAAAUAAAAUUAAUUAAAACUUCCUGUUAAGUGUGAUGGAAAAUUUUCAGCACAAUGGACUAAGUUAAAUUACAUAUACAAAUUGAAAAGAGAAAAUUUCAAAUUUAGAGCACACCAUCCAUGAUAAGGCACAAGAAUGGAAGAAUGCAAGAGAUGCCCCACUACACUGUUUAACUUAGGAUUGUUUGAAAAGCUCCCAUGGCCACUGCACGGUGAAAUCAAGGGCAUCCAAAAGUAAGCAACAACAUCCAAAGAACUACCCAAUCAAGCAUCAAAAAGAAAAUAUAAAUAUAAACUGAAAGAGAAAGAUCUAAUAACAGAAGGUUGUAAUGCGAAUUGUAAAUUACCAAUCAUGACCAAGAACAAAAAGAGCCCAAAACAUGGUCCCUUGAGCAGCCCAGUAAAGAGGCCAAACAAGCCAGUUGUUAAGAUAAGUCGCAGCAGCAGCCAGGCCAAACACCACAACAACAUCCCUCACCACGUAGCUCAUAGAUUUCCAUGGAUCCUUUACCCAACAAUGCUUUGGUAUGGCAGCUCUGAUAUCUGCUAAUUUAAACGGUGGCGGAGCCCCAGGGUCGAAUCCUGCUUCUUCUUCUUCUUCUCCAAACUCGUUGACACCAUGGAUUCUCUCUUCUCUUUCCUCAUCUUCUUCUGUGGAUGCAACUUUCAAUGGAGCACUGACUUUUAGCCCCCAGUUCCUGCCUCCAAAAACCUCAGUCGAGAAUUUGAUUGGAUUUGUUGGUUUUAGAUCUGAAAAUUUCUUGCUUGUUUGUAAAAAUCUGGGCUUUGAAGAGUUCCUUGAGACAACUCCAGCGGCGGGUCUAGCGUAGAUAUGAGGAAGAGGCUUUAAAACACAUUCUGAUAUGACAAAACUCGCCAUUAAAGACCGAGGUAAAGCUCAACCAGCGUUUAGCUUCAAGGUAAGAUAAACGGAAAAACUCUAGGAGAAAUCAAAUAAACAAGUUGCCAACUUUAAGGUGAGAUAAAAAGGAAAACUUCUUGAUGCUAGCAAUCUUGCUUCCACGACAACCUCAAGAUUUGCCUUAAUGUUCUCUCUCCUCAGCAAUAAUCGGAAAGAACAGAACCGAAAACAUUCGAGAAAGUUUGUGUUCUUGAGAAAGAGAGAGAUAGGCAAAAACUGAGAGGUUCCUGACUGGUUACUUGAUAGAAAGAAGGGGGCAUUGAGGGGCUUUUAUCAUGGUUCUGGGGUUUGCGGAAACGAGUGGAGUCAGCCUACUACGAGUCAAUUUGUUUUUUUUUUUUUUAAUCGUAAUUAGAGAUAUAAAUGAUAUAAUAAUAUUUAUAAAUUAUUCAAAUUUCAAUAGAAUAAAAUUUAAAUUUGAUUUAAUUAUUAUCGAGUUAAAUUUAAAUUUAUUCAUCGAUUAAAUUAAAUUUAAAUAUUUUUAUAUUUAAUUCAAAUAACUUACAAGUUUAAUCGAAUUUUUAUAUUUAAAUAUAUUUUUAUUAUUUUAAUUAAUAAAUUAUUUUAAAUUUAAGUUUGAAUUCGAUUAUAAAUAAUUAAAUUUUUAUUAAAUAUAUAAAUUAAAUUUAUUUUUAUAUGUUAAUCGAAUUUAAUCGAAUGAUUUUAAUUUUGAUCAUGAAUUAAAUUUAAAUUAAAAAAAUAAAAUUUGAUCAAAAUUUAAAUAAAAUAUUAAAUUAUGAGUUAAAAAUUAAAUUUAAAUUUUUUAUUAUAUCGAUUUAAUUUAAUUUGAUUCGAUUAUAUUUAUAAGAUAUUAGACGCGGUACUGCGUUUUGCUGAUUCAGUCCUUUUCUUUGGAGCGUAUUUUCACUUUUCCUAUGUAUGUGAUGGCUAGGGGCAGCGCUUGGCAUGUGUGAAAUCUCUUUCCAAUAGCAAAUAGACGUAGCAUUGCUUCGAAAGGUCGGUUUCCCAAUGAAGCCCACCGACCAGAAUCAUUUUCUCACACGUGCUCAAAUUAUUAUGUUGCCUUUUCUUUUCUUUAACGGUUACUUUAUUACUGAUUAUUGAUAGGCAAAAGGGCAAAAGAGUAAUAUGAACCAUUGAAUAUGUUAAGGUCAGACGAUCCAUCACUUCAAAUUUGGAAAGUACUAAACGAGUGUUGAAAUAUUAAAGUUUUAAUUUUGGCCAAAUAAAAAGUGACUGUUUAAAUCAUGAAAUGUUAAUGUUACAUAUAUAUUGUUUAUAAUCUUAAUAGUGCACCAAAAUAGUUUGAACAGAAUACAAAUGAAACAAAUAAAUGUGUCAACUUUAUUCCCAGCCACUUUGCCAAAGCUGACACAAUAUGAGGUAUCUCACUCUUUUGUGGAAAAGUCCAAAUCCAGCGGUGGACGAACACGCCUUUCUAUAUUAAAAAUAAAACGUAUAUCAAUCACGUGAUUUAUCAUCAAAAUUUAUUGUUUUAUUUGCAUAUUUGUUAAGAUAAUAAUGUCUGGUCAAAGCCACCAAGGAGGCAGCCUGCCUGGAGUACCCCACUCCUCCAACUUUUUUUUUUGGGUCAAUUUUUAGCAAAGUUUUCUGUGUCCUCUUUGAAAAUUUAUGUUAAUUCCAAAUAGGACUCGAUUUGUUUAUUCAAUUAAUAUUCUUUUUUUAGUAUUAAAUUAAAUUACAAUUACCAAAACUGUUUUUUCACAACUUUGACAAUGAUUUAUUUUGUUACUAAUUAAAAGAGAACAUAAAUAUUUAGAAUUAAAAAACUUGGCAUAAAAAGCUCAUAAUCAAUGUAUUAGUGAUGUUUACAACAUAAAAUAAAAUAAAAUAAAAUAAAAUAAAAUAAAAACUAGGAUUUAUCCAAAAAGAAAAAGCUUUAAUGCAAUAAUUUUGAACAUAUGAUUUAUGUUAAUACUCAUGGGCAAAUAGCUCCUAAACUUCUAAGGGGGUUGACCAAAAAUAAAAAAUGCAUUUAAAGUUGAAAGCAAACUCAAUCCAACAAAUGGUAAUUCUUUAUAUAAUAGAAAAUCAGUCCAAUUGGUUUCCUUGAUUAGCUUCCCUGCUUCUGCAAUUUACAUUACACCUCUAUAUACUUUAUCAACAUCAACCCUUUUAUAUUCUCUAUGCACUAUGCAUUUGCAUGAAAAAAUUUAUGAUUUUCAACCCAAGGAUUUUUAUCAGAAUGAAUCAUGUUUAAGCCAACCAAACAUAAUAUUACUUUACAUCGGACAUAUAAUUAAUUCUCAAACACAGUUCUUAGUUAGAAGCUUCAACAACCCUCAAUUUUCCACCAAAGAUUCUAUCAGUUUUAAGUCUCCUGUUCCCAAAAAAUGAUCAAGUAAAGUCGAGCAUGAACAACUUAUCUCAAGAUAAUUAAUCCCCAUUUGUCUCUCUUUAUAUCUGCCACCACUUUCGAUUUUCCAUUGCCUUGGCAAGCUCACUUGCCAAUGAUGCAAAGUUUUCUGCCCCACUUUGCAGCUCUUCAGUGCGCCUGCUGAUUCUCUGGUUCAAUCAUAAGUCACCAGAAAGAAGCUAGGUUAGAGGUAAGCUACAAUAUGCUACAAUGAAGGCUUUUAAAUUUUAUUAAGUUAAUUUCACCAAAAUGUUCAUCUUAUGGCCUAAAUUGGUUUUUCUGGGAACUAUUUCUCCACAGCUUUUUUCCCUUUGUCUUAGUAACUAAAUUAUAAUAAGGUUUUAUCCAUCCAUACAAAUGACAACUGCAUUUUAUAGGAAAUCCUUUUUACCUCUAACUUUUCCUGCCUCUCUACCAGUUUAUUUCUUGCAUGGGCAGCUGAUGAAGAGGCAUCCUGCAAUCAGAUAAUGGUGUCUGCUCAGAAAGCUGCUACUGUGAAAAAAAAAAAAAAACGAAUUGCUAAAACCAAAAUGUAUCUAAAUCUGUUACCCCAGUUUUUCUAUAUUUAGCAAUAAUUUCUUGAGCUGUUCUAACUCUGGGUGUUGAAUCAUCUGGCGCACCUAACAAUUUUUCUCUGUCUGUUUCCUUUCCUGCAAGGUAGAGAGAACAAUCUACCAAUUCAUUUUAGAAGUUGAGUAAAGAAAAGCAAAUUAGAAAGUCAGAUUUACCUCCUUUUGUUUUAACAGCUUCGUGAGAUGAGGAGCUAGCUACAGGUGGAGUUUCAUCUAUUUCAAUGUCAUCUGGUGCCAAAAGAAAAACAUGCUGUCAGAGAAAAACCAAGAAUGAAGAAAGAAUGUGGGUAUAGGUGUGGACAGAACCUAUGUCAAGCUCCACAUCUUCCUGCUUUUUUAUAACAUUCUGGGUUGUAUCUAUGAAUGGGGCCUUUAAAAAUUUGCUCUCCAAAUGAGUAAAAUUGGAUUCAGGCGUUGCAGAAGUAUUUACUUUUCCUCCUUUAAAGCCUUUGACUAUACCACCAAGAAUCCCUGGUGUUGUACCCUGCAGCAAUAUGGUAAAGUGUACAUAAGCAAAUUUUUGUUUCUUCAGAAAUUAAAACCAAGAAAGUGACAUUUCCAUGGACCUGUUUCCUCUUCUGAUUUGACGAGAAACUAAAGGCAGCAUCGGCAGCUGCUGCAAGAACCCUAUCAUGCAGACAAGGCAGCAAUUCUGGAAUCCUAGAAACAAUAAAGCAAGUUCUCAGAAUCAUUUUCUUCAUUAAAUUUUAAUUUUCACCACAGCAUUGACAAAACAAGUGGUUGUGGUACCUGAAACCAUUUUCACCAGCCAAGAGAGAGAUGAAUGCCACUUCACAUCCACUUCUCUGUUGUAUACCAAACGUCAGGCAUAUAUCAUCAGAUAAAUUAUUGAGAACACAAAUAUAUUGACCAAAAAAGUGUUAUUAGUAUUAGAGGUAAUUUUUGUUUUGGAGUGUAGCAUAUGCUAAAGUAUGCUCUUAAAUCUAUAUUUAAUAUGUCAUGAAACACUCUGGUAAACAUUGAAAUGGCUUUCUGAAAAAAAAUAUUCCACGAGAAAGUACCAGUGUAACUUGCGCAUUAUCAGAAGUCAUCGUCUUAUCCAUGUUUGCCUUGUAGUUCCACCUUAGAAUUGACAUUAUGGAGCUUUCUUUAACCAAUUCUAAGUCCGGCAAGGAUCUGCAUAGAGAUAGGCAGUAACAUUGUCAGUCAUUUGAUAAACAUUGAUGCUAAUAGUGCUCAUGAGAGGAAGGAACACAAUCUCUAUUUAAAACAUGGGAAUUAAAUGACAUCAUAAGGAAAUCAAUACCUAUUUUAAGGACAAAAAGAGAAAAAAAUAUAAAAUAUCAACAUUUUACCUGAUCUCCAGAUCCCCUGUUUGAAACAGCAAGAGCAGUCCACAUACUCUUCCAUCUUUCUUAAAAGUGGUGGUCCAACAGCAAGGUUUCUUAUGUUUUACUCCAUGAAUUGUUUUAUCCUUCCCCUAUAGAAAUUAUAUCUCUUUAGCAUACAAAUGGAGUGGCACAACAACAUUCUGAAGUAGAACAUAGCGAAGGAAUAAAGGCACCUGAAUCACAGACUUCAUGGAGUACAAGUGCAAUGAAUUUUCACAACAAAGCAAAACAAGUGCAUCAAGUGAGUGUUCCUGAGAGGAUGCAGUUUCUGAUGAGGAGAGAUGUUCAGUCACAGUUGAAGAGGCGUCAAGCUCAGGCUCACUCUUGGCAGUGAUAUCCUUGCUGGAUUCCUCCAGCUGCCCUUCACAGUUUAAUUCAGAUACUGAAAAACUGCUCUCUGGAGUUCAAAUAUCAUCAGAAUUCUAUCAUCCGUUAAUACUAAGAGCAAAAAAGUGUUGACUAUAAGCAUCCAGCUUUAUUAUGGUACUUACCUAUAAUGUACAUGGAGAGUGCAGUUUCUUCUUUUUUCAAGUGCCAUGGAUGAGGGUGUAUCAUCUGACCAUUACCACCAUCAAUAGAGAUAAUUUUUGCAUCCUUGGUUAAGACAAAUAUUAUUUCCUCUUCAGGUUUGACAGCAACUUCUGUUUCUGAAUGCUUUGAGCUUUUCACAAGGCUAUGAGCAGUUUUAAACUCUAACCAAGACAGUGAAAUGAUUGGAGAUGACGAGCCAGACACAUAAUGAGUCAUGAACAAAAUAGAUGACAAACUCACAUCAAGCACUGCAACCUGUGGUAGAAGCAUAAAGAAAUAUGAAUCCUUCUGAGAUAGAAAGCUGAAAUAACCAGCAAAUCACCUAUGACCUAGCUUCUUAGCAAAAUGAAGAGGAUAUGUCAAACAAAGUUAAGGCAGAUGAAACUUACACGACAUAAUUCAAAUCCCACAGCAAGCUUGGCUCCACAAUUCCCAAACUGCAGAGCUUGAACUGGUGAUUCAAAAAGGGAAAAUACAGCUUUAUACUGAGGUCCUUUUCCUUGGGGAAAACUCUGAACUGUAAGGCAAGUUGAACGAUAUUAAUUUGAGAAAGUAUAGGCUCUAAGAAAAGUAUCACAAGAUGAAAGCUUACCUUCACAUCUAGUCUCAGUGACAUAAUGAAAGCUUGUUUUACCGGAGCUGCCAUCGAGGUUAUAAAUGCGAACCUAUACAAAGCAGAAUGUUUAAAAUAUAUAUAAAGCACCAGUUUAAUACCCAACCUUGACACAUUAAAAGAGGAAGAGAAAAUGUAAAGAAAAAGUUCUGACCACACCGCAUUCAUUGCCAACAGCCAAACUUAAAGUGUGCCAACAGAAGCUCAGAGUUGUCACUGGAGCACUUGAACCAGUCAAAUUUGUACCUUGCACCUGUCACUCAUAAGAAAUUAUUUGGUGCAAAGAAAAUUGCAUGAAAGGACACAAUAUUGACUGAACUCACUUCUCCUUCUAGAAAACAGAUAAGUGACAGGACAGGAUAAGACGCAUCCCAUAUCCGAACAGAUCCAUCCUGGUAACCUGCUAUGUACAAACUGUCAAUACUGUUAUCUUUAGCGACAGAUAGAUGACUAGGUAUGCCCCCUGUCAAGGGCCACUUUAUGCCACCAGCUGGGGUUGGUAUUGAGCCAGGUUUCAUCAUAAAUGCAAGCUGAUGGAACAGAAGGAAAACAUUAGACAAGAAAAACUUUUAGGGAACUCAAUGGCUUUAAAUAUUAAACAUAUCUAUGACAGAAAUCCAAUACCUCUGACGGACCUUUUGAUGAGUUUUCACCUGUGGGUAGCACACUGAACUUUGCCACAGUCAUUGAUGGGUCAGCUGUAGGUAUUACCAUGGGAAAUUCCACCGGACAGGCAAAUUGUUUCCUCUCUUGCUCAGAUAGCAAGGUAGACAAGAUGGUAUUAUCAUAAAGAUGCAGUUGUCCAGGAUUUGUCAACACAAAAAGAUCAGCUUUGUGAUUGUGCCCUGUUGUCUCAGCAGUUGGCAACAAAAUCAUGUCAGCAAACGAGCCAGUGAGUGUAAGGUCCACACGACCAACACACGUAACAGUCUCCAUCGCAGAUGACCAUUCAAGACUCAAAACCUGUACCGCCACAAUAAGCACUAAAUUCAGCUUUUUGUAUUUGAUGGUUGAUAGUUUUCCAAAAGAGAGUAGAAAUAGAUGCAGUUACCAUUUCACAACAAAAUACUAACAUACAAAACAAUACUCACAAAAGUUAGAUUUUUACACCAUCCAAAAGCAAGAUUAAAACGAAUUUGCCAUAAAACUUAAAAUAUUGACUAUUGUUAUCAUGUUAAAAAUAGGAAUUCCCAUAUUAAAUGUAUUUACAAGAAAUUAUAGCCUCUUAAACGAAGACAUUAUUUCAUAAUGGAUGACCAUUCUUUUAGAAUCUACCAAAGCUAGUGAGAACUUUACACCCUUUUAGAACAUAUAGUUUAUGCAUUCAGAAUUGUUUAACUUCAUUCUAUUAGAUCCAACAGACACUUUACGAUUACAUAAAUUAUAGGAAAGAAGUGUCAAAUUGCAAUCAAAUGCAUAACGCACCGUCAAAACUUCUUCAGAUCCUAUUUCAUCACCACCGUAGAUAAAAAGUUGGCCAUUAUAAUCAUUGUGGGAUCUAUUGUUUGGGGACCAUUGUAAGACAAUGACAGGCAGUCUCCUUUCAGCAGAUGACAAUUGCAGCUUUACGACAUGUUUGUUUUGUCCAUUUUGUUCACCUUUAGAAGAGGCAAUACUUGAUGUAUUCCAAAACAAGAUAUCCCCAUCUAUGUAUCCCACUGCAAGAAUGGAUCCAUCAGAAGAUGCCCAACAAAUAGCACUUAUCUCCUUUUCUUGUAGAUGAUGCUCAAAUGUAUCAUCUUGAACCUCUGAAUCCACUGUAUCCUUUAACUGAAGAUCCUUUCCACCUCCAAUAAAAUAAAUUUGAGCUUGAGAAACAUCCCAAAGAAUUAUCAAACCAUUUGCAUAUGCAAUUAUGACUCUGCAAAAAAAAUAUAUAUAGCUCAAAAUAUUAAAGUGAUAAGCAGACACCAAAACAAUCUUGAUUGCCUUUUCCUUAUUGUCUAGGGUAAUUAGGUUCUAAUAUAAGACGGCAGUUCCAUGCUAGUAAUGCUGCAGCCAUAUUGAGAUGCUGAUGGAAUCAAAACAUAGAUCCAAUUUUUCAACUUAGUCUAAAACAUGUUAUUUUAUGGUAAUGCAUCAAAUUGUCCCAAGUUUCUUUCACAUUUACCAUACAUGCAAAAGUAAAAGUGAAGGUUCAAAUUCAAGCAUUAUGGAUUGGAUUGACUUGAUAUUAAGUUGAGCCUCAGUUCUUAUUAAUUCCAAAAAUUGAGCUAAUUUAAGCAAUUGCGCCAUACCUAUUUCCAGAAGAAUGGGGUUGAGGAAGAAUGCCAACAACAGGUUGGCCAUCAGGAAAUGAAAACCCAGCUGCUUCUGUGAGACAGCAUCAAACAGUCCAUUAAUAGAGAACCAAAAAGUUUGAAACAAUAUAUCUAGGAUUUCAUGAUCCUUUGUAUGAAUUAAACUCAUCAUGCUGCAAUUACAUAUUUAGUAGAGCUAAAAGAAAAUUGUAUAUAAGAUCACUGUAAACCAAAAGAAUGAUACAUAAGCAAUAAUAUAUAAGAAAUCCAAGUAACAUAUGCCACCAAAGUAGAAACAUGAAAAAUUAUUUAAUUUUCUUAAUCAGAGUUCAAGUUAUUUAUUGGCCUCUAGAAAGGAAAGAAGAAACUACCACUUAAAGAAUUUGCUGAUAUAUUAUAUGGCAACUGAGAAAGUUUUCCAUCUUCAGCAUCAUACUUAAUCACUGAUAUCAUACCAUACUCAUCUCCAAUGAACCUAUGUUAAGAGAUAGAGCACAAUGUGAUACAGCAUUGAUCAAAUACCACUUCCAUAACUACCAAACUUGCAGCUGAUUUUAGAAACAUAUUAGAUCAUUAUUUGAUAAAUAUAUUAUACAUGAAAUGCGAGCCACUGAUGACAGAGAAGGCAGUGAUGUUGGAUUCCCAACGUAAACAACACGUUAUACACCUGUUCUCCAGAUUCCAAACCUGUAAAAAAUUGGGAAAUUGUUGAAAAUAAAAGGUAUAUGAUGCCUUAGGACCUAACCGCUGCACAGUUGAUAAAAAAUCAAUACCUGAAUAUCAUUGUCAUUUGAGAUGCUAAUUAAAAAACCCUGGUUUUGCAUGAACUGCCAUAAAAAUGCUAAAGUUUAGUUCAAAGCUAAACUAAUAAGAAAAUGCACCUGAUAUUCUAUAUAAAUUAAAGAGUUGAUCAAUUUAGAAUCAUUGAUAUCUCUUUGUUUUGCAAAGAUCCAAACUGUGAUGACUAUAGGCUUUCAUAGAUGGACAAUCAAAUUUCUCUCAACAGAAAAACAAUUUAUCUUGAAUUUCCUUGAAGGAAUUCACAUUAUUGAACUUGGAGUUUAUUAAGGAUUAAAGAACAAACAAUAUAGCCAGCAAGUCUUAAAAGCAGUUUGUGGGGUACAUAAGCGAACCUCUAUAUAUUUGUAAGGUAAUUGCUUCAGAGAUAUGAAAAGUCCCUCAAUGCCAUCACCACCAAUAACUUUAAUCCGGCCAUCUCUAUGGAACCAAAAUUCAUAUACAAAGAAAGCAAGUAAAGGAAACACCACGUUAGGACAUAACACACAUUGUAGAAGAAGCAAAUUCUGCAAGAUACUAAAAUGGUAUUUUGUUUUCAUAUGAAAAUUCAUGAAUUCAAGAAAAAGAAUGGUCAAAAUUCAAAACAUUCUUAUAUCCAACAACCUCUCAACACAAAACAACGUUAAAAAUUCAAAAAAAAAAAAAAAAAAAAGGCUACAACAUUCGAAGCAUUUAUAUGACUAUCUAUUUGUAGCAGCAAAAUAAAUAAAUAAAAUAACUUGAUAGUAUUUUGUAGUCGAAGCUUAAAACUUUAAACUCACAAAGUGCCGAUAGCCAAGAGGCGCUGAAUAGGAUCGAAGGCAAGAAUUGAUGCUGUAGAAGGGAUCCCAUAGUGGAUAGCAACUCGCAAAUCCAAGUCUUCUGAUUUCAAAUUCCCAUACUGCACAUUUUGCUGAAACCAUUUUUUUUUUUUUUUGGAAAAACAGAAACCAAUCCAAGAAGCUCCAUCAGAUGCGUGUUCAAUAAAAGAGAAAGAAUCUGAAGAAUCUAAAAGCAAUAAAAGGAAUUUCGUUUUUGUACCUGAGAAUGGUGAACAGCCUUCUGAAGCAGGCGCUUAGGAAACAUGAUGAAAACCCAGAUUGAGGUGAAAUGAAAUCUGAGGAAAACUGUUCUCUUUCUUUUUUGUUCUGCUUUAUGUUUGCUUUGGAUAUUAAAGAGUAAAGACUUUUUCAGUUUUCUUUGCGUAUUUCACUGAAUAACCCGAUCAAACAUGUAAAACCUUGAGUCAAGAUGGAAUAUAGCUUGUUUUAUCCUCCAAAGAUCCAUGGAAGUGGAAUAGCUUGUUGUCGACUUGCCGUGGGUGCUAAUCUUCUGCAUUGGACUUCUUACUAACACUCCAAAUUCAUCACCUUAAACAUGAAGGUAAUGACUUGCGGGACAGCUGUCAAGAUAUGAUUGCAAGAAGUUUAAAUAAACUCAUCGAAUGAAACAUAACUAAGACUGUUUGUCUUAGUCUAAUUUUAAUUUAAAUUAAUUUAAAUGAAGAUGUAGCUCAGAUGGUAGAGCGCUCGCUUAGCAUGCGAGAGAUACGGGGAUCGAUACCCCGCAUCUCCAUUAUGGUACAUUAUUUUUGUGCUCCAAAUUCUUCUCUGCCUCUGUUCAUUGCUGUAAUUGAAAAGGGGAUAAGAUUCUGCUUAGAAAAAGAGAACUUGAACUAAAAUUCAACAUAGAAAGAAUAAAUUGUACUUAGAAUUUCCUUUGAAUGGAGAAAAAUUCUUCAGCUUCUGUAUCAACUCUUGCUUGGUAUGCCAUACUAAUAGCAAGAGAGAAAUCGAAGAAAACAGCAGAACAAGCUGCUUUAAAACAGAGUACUGGGGCUACAAAGAGAACUACAUUACUUUGAAUAAAGUAGAACUUGUACUUAAACUUGAGAACAUUUACAGCUUUCAGUCUUAGUGUAUGAAGUUAGAAGCAUGAUUGAGUAUUGUUCAACGGAUUCUAUGAUAAAACCAAAAAGACUUGAAGAUCAUUGUUUGCAAUCUCAUUGAGUCAUUGAUUGUUCUAUGUUGUCGUUGUGGUUUGUUACUUGGUUUACUCAACCCCAAUGGAUUGGUGGUAGAAUGUUCAGCUUCCAGUGUUCAUCGAAAGAGGAAAAAGAAAAAAAGUAGUAAUUAGUAACUAGUUAGAAUGUUUUGACAGUUUCGGACAUACUUCUUUGCUUCCAUUUUGAGUUUAAGCUGUUGUCAAGGAUUUAAAUAGCUGUAACGGUCACGUUUUCGAUCGCGUAGCAUUUGUUAUGUUUUCGGAUAUAACGAAGAUAAUUGCGGUCAUCACGGUCAUGAAAUUUUUUUUUUGUACAAUUUAUUAUAAAAUGUAAUAAUUAUAAUUAUAAUUAUAAAAACUCUUAUUCAAUGAUUUUAAAAAUAGUUUAUGACACUCUAUGUUUUUUAUUUUCUAAAAAAAUUAUUUACAAUUUUAUUUAGAUUAUAAAAAGCAUUCAUAUUUGGUUUAUCCAUAAAAUUUUUCUUGGCCAAGUUCAUAUUCAAUAUUAAUUCUAAACAAAUCAAAUAUUAACAAAACAAAAUAUGUUAAAUACCAAGCAUUUAAUUUAAUAAAAUUACAAACUUAAAAAUAUAAUAAUUUCAAAUUCCAUCAACUACAAUUAUUGAUACAUAUUUCAAAUUUACCACAUGAUAGAAUGACGAGGAGGAUCAGAUUCUCUAUCUUCACUUUGAGAGCCAAGUUGACUCCAUCUCCAUCCCUGAGACCUUUGUUCUUGAUACAUUUAAGGUGGAGGAUAUAUUUGAGGAUGAUACAUUUGUGGUGGAGGGUACAUUUGUGGUAACUGAUACAUUUGAGGUGGAGGAUAUAUUUGAGGAGGUGGAGGAUACAUUUGAGGUGGAUAAUAACCAUAUGGAGGUGGAUAACCAUGAGGAGGUUGAAAAUUAUGUUGUUCUGGUGGAUAGUAAUGUCUUUGAGUACUAGCAGAUGAUUCACUAUACUCAAAGUUACUAGAAUUUGGUCUCUCACCUGAAGAUGAAGAACCUCUAAAAAUUUCAUAGUGGUGCUUCUUUGCUUUUCCUUUUGAUCGAGCUGUACGUGCACUUUGACCCUCACUAGAUUCAGCAAAUGGAUUUUCUCCGUAUUCUGCCAUAUUAAUAAAAAGUCCACCAGUAGCAGCAAGCCCAAAUUCUCCUCCAAGUGGGCUGUAAGGUCGAUUUGCAUCCAUAUUAUCACCAAAAUUCGCACCAUCUCCAUCACCAUCAUCAUCUGGACUUAAAUCACUAUCAUCAUCACUCUGACUCGGUGUUGGACUUGAACUUGAAUGAAACACAUUUCUUUCUUGAGAUUGACAUGAUCGUUCAACAUUCAUUUCAUUAUCAGAAUUAUCUGCAGGCAACCAAUCAGAGUUUUGACCAUCUAAUAGAGGAUUUUCUUUCUCUUGCAGCCAUUCUGUUAGUGGAUCAUCAUCUUCAAAAAUAUGGUCAAGGCUAAUAGGAUUAAAACUAUUAUUUAUUUCAUCAAUGCUCAUUCUUUUUUGAUGUCUCAUCCUCAACCUCAUGUUAUAAUAGGUAUAUACAAGUUUUUGGAGUCUUGCAAACUUCAAUCUGUUUCUUGCUUUGGUGUGAAUAUAGCUAAAUGUGCUCCAAUUACGUUCACAAUUUGAUGCAGAUGUUGUUUGACUAAACCACUUUGAUUGCUAAUUUUUGUAAUUCAGGAACAUAAGUGUCAUAUAUCAUCCACCACUCAGCUGUAUAAAAUUAUUUAAAUUAAAUUUUAAUGGGCUAUACAAUUAAAUAAUAUAAAUAAAUUAUAAUUAUUUAACUUACUAUUUACCUGGAUUCAUUUACUUCCAAGCUCUUUGUGCUUGUAGACUACCAAAUAUUUCAUGCUUGUCUCGAAAUAAUAACAACUACAUCGAUUGAAAAUACAAUAAUAAAUGAAUAAAUAAAAAAUAAUUUAAUUUUUAAUACGUAAAACAAAUGUUAAAGUUAUAAAAUGGUAUUAAAUACUAACAUGAUUAAUCAUUCUAAUUUGAGUAUCUAUCGAAGGUUCUAAUCUUUCAAUAACUGCUUUUAUACCUUCUAAUGUUUCAUUAAAUACAUUUGCAGAAUGUUCCACUCCAAAUUGAAAUUGUGGAUUUAGAUAGUAACCUAAACAUAAUUUAUAACAAUAUUAUAUUAAAGUAAUAAAAAAUAAAUAUAUAAGCAAUUUAAGUAUAAAAAAUAAACAUAUUUUUUAACUACCAUCUAUAGUCUUGGUUUACUUACCAGCUGAAUGCAAGUCAGAGUGCAUGAAACUCCAUCUAUUGUCAAUAAUCUUUUCAUAUUCAGCAGAAUAACAACAAGUUUAUUGAAUUGCUUGUUUAGCUCUAUUCACAGCCUCGUAAAUAAAACCCAUUGUUGGUUUUUCAUCACCAUCCACAAGGCGCAACACUUUUACCAAAGGCUCAUAAACUUUUAUUAUAUCAUCUGUUUUUUUUCCAAAAAUCUUUUCCCAAAAUGAUUUUUUUGACUUCAUAAGCAAGUCUUGAUUUUUGUUGUCCCCAUUUUGAAUCUUUAAAUUCCUAUAUAUUCAUCAGUAAAUUUUUAGAGUAAUAUAUUUUAAAUUAAUAUUUUAAAACAAUAAUAUUAUAAAAAGAUGCUAGAUUUAAAUAGUUGUACUAAUUACUAAGUACUAACAUUUGAAUUGAACAUCUUUCUCAAACUUUGCUUUUGCCUCAUUAUUUCUUCUAAAUGUAUGAAAUGAGUGGCAAAUCGGGUAAGAGCAGGACGAAGUAUUUGCUUUCCUUGUGUAUAUUUCUUCAUCAAAUUAACAGUCCAAAUGUGAUUGUAUAUAAAACAAGUCACUUUCUUUGCAUCAUCCAAAACCUUUGCCACAUUUUUUUUCCUCACAAUAUCUUCAAGGCAUAAGUCCAAACAAUGAACUGAACAUGCUGUCCAAUACAAAUGUUUUCUCUUCUCCAUUAGUCUUUUUCCUGCGGCCUUAAGUGCUGUCUCGUUAUCAGUGACUAUUUGAACAAUGUAUUUUUCUCCAAUUUCUUCCACAACUUCAUCUAAUAAUCUGUAGUAAAAGUUUGUAUCUCUACUACGAACACUUGAGACAUCUACAGAUUUCCAAAAAAUAGUCCCUUUACUACAGUAAACAAAAAAAAUUAAUGAUAUACAUUUGAUUCAAACUAUUGGUCCAACCAUCACACAUCAAAGUGACACCCAAUUCAUUCCAAUAAGCUUUUAAUCCAUUAAUCCAUUCAUGAACUUGUUGAUACUCAAACUCUAAAUACACGUCUGAGACCUCAUAAGGUGUUGAAAGUCUUACAUGUUGGCCAACUUCUGCUGCCACAGAAAUCAAAUUAGGCAACCAUGGGGAAUUUGCUAAUUGAAAAGGAAGUCGAUCAUAUAUCAAAAAUUUUGAUAUUGAUUCACUCAUUUUUCUUCUUAAUGUCUUUAGAAAUGAAUCACUUACUUUUGGUUGUCUUGAACUUUUACUUCUAACCAAUUCAGGAACAGCUCCCCUUAAUGAAAAUUCAGACUUAUUUGGAGUUCUUGUUCUUUCUUCAAAAUAUUUAGCAACUGAACCAUGAGAGCUUCGUCCUUCUUCAUAUAUGUUACUCCAACCACUAGUUCUUUGUCUGAAUUCUUAUCUUUUAUGCCACUCAUGUUGUGAUUGGAUACUAUCUCGCACGGCUUGUCUAGUAGCAAUGUCUUCAUCAAUAAAUCCUUCAUAAUCAUCUUCCCCUCUUAACUGUGAUAAAAAUUUAUUUUUUUUCUUUUGUUGUCAGCCUUUUUUGAUUUGCUUUCUUGAAGGAGUUUCAUCAUACUUUCUCUUACUAUAUCUAUUAAUAAUAUAGUUUAAAAAAAAAAGAAAAUUAGUUGCACAUGCUUAUGUAAUUUUAUAAUUUUUAUUAAGAAAUUAACAAUAAUAUUUUCAAAGAAAUUAAAAAAACAUAAUAUACCAGUAACGUUGGGGCAUGGUGCAACAUUGCCAGUUUUAUGAGCAAUGUGUUCUUUGAAAUAUGUUAUUCCUCCCUUUACAACUUUACCACAAAGUUUACAUGAAACAUUUCCUCUUGUAUUUGGCACAGGUGUUCCAAAAUGCCAACCUAUAUCAUCACUUGGCGCGCCCUCUACUCCUUUACUCGAAAAAACUCUUCAUGUGGUGGCAUACUUACUAUUUUGUAUAAAAACAAAAUAAACUUAUAUUUAGAAAUAUUAAUAUUACUUAUUACAUCAUUAAAAAUUGAUUUUACGCUAAAUUUUUUAAUUUUUAGUUUUUAAUCUUAAGAAUAUUAUUAAAUAACUUAAUCUUUUAGAUGCACUAAUUGAUAUUAAUUUUUUUAUCACAAAUAACUUUAAAUAAUUAUAUAAUAAAUACAAUCUUCAAAAUUUACACAAAAAUAAUAAGAAUUAAUCUAAUAUCAAAAGAAUUGACAACAAUAUAAAUAUCAAAACAACAAAAAAAAUUAUUAAAUUUCAUAUACAAAAUUAUAAAUUAAUAUCUAACACAAUCAAAAUAUAAUAUUUAAUUUUAAUUAAUUUUUGUCUAACUUAUAUAAAAAAUUUAUCAAUAAUUUUCAUCUACAAUCUCUAUGUAUAUCAUAUUAAAUUAUUAAUCUUUUAUUUUUUUUAAUUAUAAAUCUUCAAUCCCUCUAAUUAGAUUUUAUCUAAAAAAAAUUUUAAAAAUUAAAAGUUUUCAAACUUAUAUUUUAAUAAAAUUUUCAAACCUAUAUUUUUUAUUUUUUAGAUUUUAAUCUUAAUAAGAGUAAUAGAUCAUAAAAUGCUAAAUUUGUUAAGUAACUUAAUUUUUUUGAUACAAUAAUUGAUAUAAAAUUUUUUUUAUCACAAACAAUUUUUAAUAAUUAUAUAAUAAACACAAUCUUUAAUAAUUACACAAAAUAACAAGAAUUAAUAUAAUAUCAAAAGAAUUGACAAUAAUAUAAAUAUCAAAACAACAAAAAAAUUUAAAAUUUAUAUACAAAAUUAUAAAUUAAUAUAUAACACAAUCAAAAUAUAAUAUUUAAUUUUAAUUAUUUUUCAUCUAACUUAUACAAAAAAUUUUAUCAAAAUUUUCAUUUAAAAUAUCUAUAUAUUAUAUUAAUUAUAAAUUUUCAAAACCACUAAUUAAAUUUUAUCUAAAAAUUUUUUUAAAAUUAAUAAAAAAAUUAAAUAAAAAAAUUCAAUCCCACCCUCCAUACAUCCUACCACACCCAAUCCCUCCCCACCCCCAUCAAUCCCUCUCCACCUUCCCCCCCAACAUCCCACCACACCCAAUCCUGCCCCACCUUCUUCCCAACGCCCCACCACACCCAAUCCCUCCCCACCUUCCCCCCAACGCCCCACCACAACUAAACCCAAUCCCUCCCCACCUUCCCCUCAACGCCCCACCACACCUAAUCCUCCCCACCCCAUCCAAUCUCUCCACGUGCCUAAUAUAUCAAAUUGUUUAAUUCUUUCUAACAACCCGAGCCGAGACCCUUCUAGAAACAUUUCAUUCUUCUGUUCAUCUUCUUCUUCGUCUUACAUUUUACUUUCUCUGGCUUUUCAAAAAAAAUUUUUUUUCAUCUCUCAUUUUCUCUCACAUCCUUUUAUCACUAUCACUUGCUGACUUACCUAAUAUCUGCAGAUAUCUCAUUCAUCUUUCAAACUCUCACAAGACACAACAGAUCGAUCAUUUUACAGAAAUUUUACAAAAAAAAGGCAAUUUAACUUUCUUUUCUUACCUUGUUUGAUCUUGAAUGUUGAUUGAAAACUUGAGGUUGAUUUGAAUUUGAAUGUCGAAAAUACCGUUUGAAUGGUUGAAACUUGAAACUCUGUUUUCUAGCUCGUUUUAAAAUUUUUUUUUAUGAUAAAGAUCUGAGAUUGUGAGCUUUAUUUUUUGAUUUGCCUUUUACUUUUACUUUUGCAAGUUUAUUAUUUUAUUUUGCAGGUGUAAAAUUUUGUUUUUUUGUUAGAACUAUUAGAUCCGUGAGUAGAAAAACGGAAUAGCGACAAUAACGGUCCGUUAUUGUCGCUAUUGCCCGUUACGCCGUUAUUUUACAACCGUUACUCUCCGUUUUUACUGUGAAUGAAUUUCUCAACCGUUUUCUAUCUAUUAACGGUGGCGAAAGGCAGCGCUACCGUAAUUUUACAGCCGUUAUUCCGCUAUCAACCCAUUUUUUGAAUCCCUGGCUGUUGUCAUGCAUUUAAGCUUAGCAUGCGAGAGGUGCGGGGAUCAAUACCCUGCAUCUCCACUUGCUUCAUCUCACCACUACUUCUACUAUCUACAGCUUCAUUUCUUUUUUUAUUUAAUUUUUUGAAAAGCAAAGAUUUUUUAUUUUUCUUGCACCCCAGGCACGGAAAGUAAAGAAAGUAAAAAAAGAAGCCAGGACAAUGACCUAACAAGUGGGAGUUCUAAAUGGUUUUAAGAGUGUGUUUAAUUCGAAAAAAUUUAUAAAUUUAUUUUUAAAAUUUUAAUGACGAUUAUUUAUUUUUCAUGUUUGAUUUAAGAGAAUUUAAUUAUUAAAAAAAGUCAGAUUCUUAAUAGUAUUCAAAACUUUAGAAUCAGAAACAUAUCUCUCUUAACGAUAUUUUAGAAUUUUGAAAAAAAAAAAUCUUAUUUUUAAAUUUGAUCUAAAUAAAAAAUUAAUUAAAUAUCAAUUACCUUUUUGAAAAAAAAGUCUCAAACUCAAUUGUAAUUUUUUUUAUUAAAAAAUCUAUCUUUUUUUUAAUUUAUAUUUCAAUUGAAGCGUUUUAAGAAAGAAAUGCAUUAAUUGAUAUGAUAUUAAAUUUUAUUUUAAAUUUCAAAGACCGUGUUAUGACAUGAAUGAUUUUUAAUUAUAAUUUGAUAAAGAUUUAAGUGGCUAUCAAUUAAAGUGUUUUAAUGAAAAAAAAAUGCCUUAAUUGAUUAUCAAUUAAGGCAUUCCUUCCUAUAAAUGCCGUAAAUGAGAACUAUUAUAAUUUAACUUUCCCUUUCAAUUAAGACAUUUCUUCCUACAAACAUCGUAAUUGCCACAUAUUAAAAAUUUGUUUUCCCUCUCGAAAAUCAUGUUCUUAUAGUAUGAACGUUGUAAUGUCUAAUUGAUUUCAAAAGAAACUAUAUUUUUAUACAUCAAAUAAGGCGUUUCUAUAUAUGAAACGCUAUAAUUGAUGUCUUCAUCACAUUUUAAUAGCCAAUACAUUUCUGAUUUUUACUUCAACAUAUCUCAACUCAAAGCAAGUACUUUUUUAUUUGAACUUAUUCCAGCUUCAACAUCCGUCAUUUCAUCUUUGUCUUGUUAAGUUUAUCUUUUUUUAAAUUGUUAAGUUCAAAAUAUGAUGUGUAUACUAUCUAAUACUUAAUUAUCUUAUCUACAUUAUUUGUUGCAUUCUAAUUUUUUUCUUUUUUUUUUUUCAUCUUUUUAGAUGUCGUUUAAACAUGGAUUUAAACUAUGUUGAUAUAUCAAAUGUGUUUUAUAGUUUAUUUGUUUUAGCUCCUUCAUACAUAAAUGUUUUAUUGUUGAUUUAUAUUUUUUUUUAUGUUUAAUAGAUUCCAUGUAUCAUAUAUAAAGAUUUGCUUUCUAUUUAUGUUUUUAACUUUAAUGACAUUCUGUUUUUUAAACAGUUAUGGUUGAUUUAUCACUAAGAACGAAAAUGCAAUUGGUUACAUUGUUUAUUAUGCAUUUGAACUAGAUGGAGACUUUGUUACAUGUGUUAUAUUUUGUUGCUAUGACUUUAUUACAUAUGAAUAUUAGAAAAUAACGUAAACUAUCUUAUGAAGGAACAUCUUAUGAUAGACUAUAUAUUAGAGAGUUAAACUUAAAUGCAAUGAUCUUUAAGAGUAAUAGACAGUGUGUAGAUAAUACUAGAAUAGAUAAGAGAGUUUUUGUAAAAUUAUGUCAUUUGCUUUAAACAGAAAUGAGAUUAUAAGCAUCUAGACAAGUAUCAAUAAAAGAACUAAUUAUUAACUUCUUCCACAUUAUAACCUAUCAUACAAAAAAUAAGAUUAUAAAGCGUUAAGUAGCUAGAUUUGAAGAGAUGAUUAUUAGGUAAUUUCAUUUUAUGUUGAAUUCUGUUUUAAGAUUACAUAUGCUAUUGUUUAAAAAAUUUGAAUUGAUACCGGAUAAUUCAACAAAUAAUAGAUGAAAAUGGUUCAAAGGUUGUUUGGGUGUCUUAGAUAGGAUAUACAUCAAAGUAAAUGUAAACGCAAUUGACAGGACUACAUACAAGACUAGAAAAAAUGAAAUUGCUACCAAUGUCCUUGGUGUCUGCACCUCAAAUAUGCAAUUCAUAUAUAUUCCACCAAGAUUAAAAAGGUUUUGCAACAAAAUGAUAGAGUGCUAAGGGAUGCUAUUACAUGUAAGAAUAGGUUGAUGAUCUUAUAAGGUAUUAUAUUUAUUAUGUUCAUUUUAGCUUUAUAAUGUGUUAGUAUGGUGUUAUCUCACAUUUAAUAAAUAUUCAAAUUUCUUGUAGUAUUAUAUUUUGGUUGGAUCCAUCCACUUAUAGCUAAUUGAUUUUAAGUUGGAUGCUUAACAUAAUAAAACACAUUUUUUCAUAUUAUUAAUGUUGUUCCAUUGUAAUAGGUAAUUAUUAUUUAUGUGAUGCCGAAUACAUAAAUGAAAAGGUUUCUGACACUUUAUAGAUGUCAACGAUACCAUCUUAGUGAUUGAAAGGCAAGACUCCAAUUGACAACCCUGCAAGAAUAUUUUAAUAUGAAACACUUUCAAGCAAGAAAUUGUAUCAAGAGAUGUUUUUAUAUAUUAAAAGCCGAAUGGUUAAUUUUAAUGGAUAAGUCAUUUUAUUCAAUAAAAACAUAGUGUCAAAUCAUUUAUGCUUAUUGUUUUCUCUAUAAUUUUAUUAGGUCUGCGAUGGUAAUUAACAUUAUUGAAGGUGAUAUUACUGAAAGAAGAAUUAGCCAGUCAUAUAGCUUUGAACAUUAAAAUUUGAUUACGCAUGUUAAGUCAUUGAUUCUUGGACUCAGUUUAGAAAUAAUUUGGCUAAUGAGAUGUUCACCUAUUAGUUAUAAUCCAAGGAUAAGAACAUUAUAGAAAUUUUUUGUAUAUUAUAAUGUUUGCUCAAUUUAAUUGAUUUAUGUACCAUAUGGUUGAAUGUAAAAUAUGGUUUAUAUCACUGUUGAAUAUAUAUUUAUCUAAUAUUUAUUUUAUUCUCGAGUGUCUAAUGUAUAUUACAAUUUUUAGUAUACACAUCUUUGUUUUCUUUCCAUAUGUACUAGUUUAACUCAUUCUCUUGAUGGGUUUUUGAUUUAUGAUAUUGAUAUUUUUGCAUAAUGUUUAACCAUGUGAUUAAGAAUUGAACAUGUCAUCAUUGCAUGGUAAUCCUUCGCAAUCCGUAUGAAACCUACCCAAAAGAAGAAUCAAAAGUUUUGGGGUAAGUAAUCAUUCUUGGACAAAAAAAAAAGAUUCUUAUAUGAUUCAAUGCUUACAUUCUCUAACAGAUGAUCUUAGAUGAAAAGUAGAUAAUGGGAUAUUCUGCGUUGGAUAUCUAGGUUAUAUUAAAUGAAUGUUUGAGCAACUCAUUCAUACUUUUCAAGUAAAAGCCACCCCUCAUAUUAAGCCAAGGGUUAAGCUACUCAAGAGAUAAUAUCACGUAAUUUGUGAUAUAAAAAAUACUAGUGAAUUUGGGUGGAAUAAUCUAAUAAAAUUUAUUAUAGUUGAGAAGCAAGUUUUUUAUUUGAAUUGGAUACUAGUCCAGAGUUAAGUUCUUUUUUUACCUUGAGCCUUAGUUUGAUAAACUUCAUCUUUUUUUAUGAGUUCUAAAUUUUUCAAAGUUUUUUCAAAAAUGGUAUAAGUUUUUCUCAUAAUAUUUUUUAAAGAAGUUAUUGGUUCUUUUGAUGCUUGAUUAGCAUUAGUAAAACUUUCAAAUACUGUAUCUUAGUUAGAUACUGCAUCGUUCAUAAAAAUAUAUUUUGUUUCAGAACUAUUAAAAGAUAAACUUUAAAACCUCAAAAAUAUAAAUGUUUUUAUUUGUGAGGAAUAAGGUCAUAUAGCACCCAAUUAUCCUAAAAAAGGAAAAAGUGCUAAAAAAAUUAUCAAAACCUUUGAUCAAAAAAAUUUUCAAAUAUGUUUUGCUGAGGAAUUAUCAAAUAAUGAAAUUUUUUAUGAAAUAUUUUUUGAAACAGAUUCUAAUAGUUCUAAAAUAGAGUAUAUUUUUAUGAACGAUGCAGUAUUUAACAAGAUACAGUAUUUGAAAGUUCUACUAAUACUAAUCAAACAUCAGAAAAACCAAUGACUUCUUUAAAAAAUGUUAUAAGAAAAAGUCAUACUAUUUCUGAAAAACUUUGAAAAAUUUACAUCUCAUAAAAAAAGAUGAAGUUUAUCAAACCGAUUUUUUCAAAACUUUUCAACCAUGGACAUCACAUAGAAAAAGUAUGUGGUGAUAUAGAAAAAGUAUGUGGUGAUACCAUAGCAAAUGAUUCUAAACAAGUAUCAAUUAAAAUCCCCUUAUUUUCAAAACAGAAAAUAAAUUAUUUUCUUAACAAGUAUCCUAAAAUUAGAUAUAUCCAUAUAAGAAUAAUUAUGAUCACUAUAAAACAUUUAUUUAUUUCAGGUAAAGAUAUACCAAUCCUUGCUGUUUUAAUAGAUAAAAGAUUUUCAAUCCUUGUUGUUUUAAUAAUUCUAUCUCUUUUUUUUUUCUAACUCAAACUUUUUUAGACUGAGUAUAAUAUCAUGCUAAAUAAAUUAUUGAGAAAUAUGAUUUGGGUGUUUCUUAUGUUCCUCAAAGUUUUUUAAAAAAACUAAGAUAUCAUCUAUAUAAACACAACGAUAUUAUUUAUGUUUAUUAAAGAUAGUAUCCAUCAAUCUUUGAAAGAUUUAAGGGGUAUUACAUAAGUCAAAAGGCAUUACAAUCCAUUGAUAAUGUUCUGUAGGUGAACUAAAAAUAGUCAAGGGUUUUGUCUCUUCAAAAAGCAUAAUUUGCCAAAAACCCGAUUUACAAUCAAAUUUAGAAAAAUAUUUAGCAUUUUUUGCUAAAUUGAUUAAGACAUCUUUCUAAGGAAUAAAAUAUCCAUAAAAAUAAUAUUUUAAUUUAACUUUUUAUAGUUAACUACCAUUCGAGGUUUUUCACAUUUUUGUUCUACAUGGUUUCUCACCAAAAAAACAGGACUUGAAUGAAGACUAGUAUUUGGUUCUAUUAAUCCUUUGGAAAUGAGUUAUGAAAUUUGAAUUUUGAAUUCAUCUACAUCUUGUUUAGUGUAGAUCAUAAGCUUGACCCUAAUGAUUUUUGUAGGAUCUAUGAUUUUGAAUUCACAAAACCUAAGGCUUCUAGGCUAUAAUUUUAGUGGUUCUUCACUAAAAUUUUCUUGAAGUAUUGUAUAAAACCAAUGUUUUUCAUUGAUUAUUUUUAUUUUUACCUAAUUGGCUUCAGGUUGAAAAUUUUUAUCACAAAUAUGUUUGUGAUCUUUUAAUAGAGGAAUUUUAAUAGACUAAUUGUUUAUUAUUAACUGAAUAGUAUCAGGAUAGAUAGAAAAAGGUAAAUGAUUAUGAAAAAAAUUAUUUCCUAAAAGCAUGUCUCCAUGCAUAUUGAGAAAACGUAUGAUUUUUUGGAAUUACAAAUUUAAUAUUAUUGAAAUAAAUAGGAAAAUUUUUUGCUUUAAAACCUAUAACGAUUUCUUUACCAUCAUUCUUAUGAUUAUAAUAAGAUUUUCAUAGGUUCCCAUUUGUUUAAUGAUAUAGCAUUACUCUUAUAACUAGAGAUUGUUACUCCAGUAUCCAAAAAGAUAUGUAAAAAAUACGGAAUGUAUUUUUGAAAAUAAAAUUUUCCUUUAACAAAAGUAUAAAACCUUUUUGAGAAUUUAUUGAAAAAUUUGAUAUAAUCUGCUUCUUGUAGUUUAUAUUGAUUUAUAAUAAAAGAGAAUUUAUUUUUUUUAAUUCUAGUUUUUCUAUAAGAAGAUGUUGUAGAGUUUAAAAUAGAAUUUAUAGAAUGAUAGUAAGAUGGUUGGAUUGGUUAUCUUUUGAAAAUAUGGGAAUUUGAUUGGAUAGUUGAGUAUAGGUUGUAUUUUGAAAUCCAUAAAAGGAAUUUCUAUAAGGUGUAGCAAAGGAUUGAUUGUUUCUUAUAUUUUCAUUAUCAUCUUCUUGAUUAGAAAAUGAUGGUAAAACUAAUUUUGGAUUAGAAUUAGAGGUUUGAACAGGAUUUUAAAAUAAAGAUUUUUUCUUAAAAAGAAAAAUUAGACGUAAUUUAAGGCUUACAUAUAUUAAAGAAUUGAAUAUUGACAUUCUUUUACUUUAUUUGAUUUGAAUAUUGAAAAAAAAAAAGAAGAAAAACCAAGAAAUGAUAGGGAGCUAGUGAUGUUUUCUAUAAUUAAAUUGUUUAUUUAGAAUUGCUCCGUAUAACACUAAAUUAUAAUAUCAUGGAAUUAUAAUAUUAUGGUCUAUUGAUAUUGUUUCAUAAUUAUUUUGAUUUCGAUGUUUAUGAGAAAAUACUAGUAUGAAUGCCUAGCUUCACUUGGUUUGCUAUAAUAAUUUUUAAUAUUCAUGUUUGAUAGAACUAAAAUUAAUAAGUUUCAUUUUUUAAAAAACCAUUAUUAAUUUCAAUCACUAAGGACAUUUUUACAAUAACUUUUUUGGGUGAAAAUGAGAAUAGCAAAUAGGACCAUGUUCAAAACCAAGCAUAUCCUCAGUUUCUUCUAAAGCUAGUAUAUCCCUUGAAUGCAAAAUGGAGAUUAACCCAAAAAUUAAGAUUAUAUAGUAUUUAGAACAUGCUUGGUUACUUAUUUCUCCUCCAGAAGAAAUGUUGUGCAAGAAAGAAGUGAUGACAAUUCAUUUUUUCUUUGCUAAGCCAAAGCUUUGUUAUUUUACUUUAUCAAAUUUGUCAAGUAGAAAAAUAUACCUUCAAAGUUCAAACCAAUAACAAUGUAUUUCAAACUAACAAAAUUAUAGAAAUAGUUAUGUUAUUGAUUAGGAUAUAAGAAAACUUUAAUUACUUAGUUAGAAGGUUCAAUACUUUAAGUUUCUUUCGAAAGUAAUAAUGAUCACCGAAUGAAUAAACAACAUGUCUCUGAAGAAUGUCCUCCUCUCCAUCAAUAUAUUUCCUCAUAAAUUGAAGAGAAGAUGCUUAGUUAGAUUCAAACAAAAGAGCCAUAAAUCUAUAAAUGAUACCUGAUAUCAGAAAACAAACUACAAUUUAGCAACACAUUAUAAUUUCCAAACAUGAGUAUAUUUAACAAAUAACUUAUUUAAGACAAAAAAUCGGCCAUGAAGAAUUUCAUAACUUGAAUUCAGUAAUUAAAGAAAUUACAGACUACAUUAUAAUUAUAGCUCCAACCAAUAUAUACAUAAAGUAUGAUCCAUUAACAGUAUCUAUGACUAAAAGUAACAACUUAACACACAAAACCAAAAAUAUGAUUGUCUGAAGCCAUUUGACAUCUAGUUUUAUUGGCCAAAAAAAAAUUUUCAAAAUUAUUUCUUUGUUACAUUUCAACAAAUGUGAAAUAUAAAGGAAAAUAUGCAUUUUACUUCCAGUUAAGUGACAUUAGAAACAAUACCAUAGAUCUUAUGAAAGUUUAUCACCAACUAAAAUUAAAACUGUAUGCAAAACCUCUAAACUAACUUUAGAAUCAACCACCAUAGCAUAAAAAGUAAAAGUAGAUCAUGAAGAGUAGUUUUCAUGCUUUCUUAAAUUCUUUUGCUAGCAUAGAAAUAGAAAAGGAAUGUAUUUUGAUCUUAUUAUUAUUAUUCAAAGACAGAUGGAUGCAUAGAUGACACAAAAUGGCAUCAUGGAGGAAUCAAUCAAAGUGUUGAAGAUCCAUAACUUUUUUUUCAAGAAUUCACCCACCCUUUCACGUGUCUAUAUUAUUUUUCAAAUUUUGUUUCCUUUUUAGUUUUUAUUAACAUAUCAAUUCAUCUUUUUGUAUAUAGGAACUUGAAAUUAUAUGGAUAUAUUUAACUUUUAGGCAACUAAUAAAUUAAAAAAAGAAUAUGACAUAAUAAAGCGCAACAAAAGCCUUGAGGAAGUAGCAAAUUAAGUACCUUUAUUCUUCUUUCUAUGAGUGAAAAAAAAAAAACUCACGGGACAAUUUAAAUUUUGCCAUUGACCUUUACCUUUUUUUUUUCCUUAAUUCACAAAUACUCAAUUUGUUUCCCUACAACUACCAAAUAUUUAUGUAUGAUACUAUUUCUGUUAUUAACAUAGUAAAAUGGAGUUUAAGAUAUGGGUUAAGAGUAAAAUGAUGAACCUAAUGAGACAAUGCAUGGUUGAAAUUCUUUUCAUGCCUCAAAGUCAUAGCUUUUGACUUUUUCAACUAUGUGACCUUUUCUUCAAUCACCUGCAAUGUUACUUCUUUCUCUUUAUUGAAAUACACACAUCCCAUGAAAAGACAAUAAGAAUAUGCUUAACUUAUAUAUUAAUACUUUUCAAAUCAUGAUUUGUUUUUAUCUUAGAAGAUACUAUGAAAAUUGUUAAAGCAACUUUGACAUAUGUAGCAACUGAAACAUUCUCGAAUUGUUAACCACAUUUAUACUCCAAAAAAGAGUGUUAAUGCUAAUAAAAAAAUAAAGAAAAAAUAAAGAAAGAAACAAAUUUGCAUGUUUCAAAUAAUAUUUGAGUAUUUACUGAUGCCAAAAUAAUAAUAAUAAUGUUUUUUAAUGGUUUUUAGCAAAUUUCUAAUUGCAAAAUAGUUUAUACUGCAAUUUGUGUAUUUGUAAUUUGUAUUAAAAAAAUUGCUACAUGUUUUUCUAGAGUAUUUCAAAGCUAUGAAAUUAGAAAAGAGUAAAACAAAAAAAAUUCUUUUUAAACUUCUAUUUUGUUGGUUCCUCAAUCUUGUACAAAAUCUCACUCAACUUAAACAUACACAAAAACAAAAACUCACUAACCUUCAAUUUAAUCCAAACAAUAUUCAAUAAUACUUGCAUAAAAACCAUUAUUUAAAUGAAUAACACAAACCAAUCUACAAAAAAACCUAAUUCAAUUAUCAUUAAUACAACAUACAAUAAAUAUUUUAGAUAAAUAAAAAAAAUGCACAACCACCCUAUGUAUACUCCUUUCUUUCCUUCUCCUCCUCUUUACCCUUAUCCACCUACCUUGAUGAUCCCAUAUAAGUCUUGGCUGUUUAAAUUCAUACAAAAAAUUUCCAAAGUAAAAAACAUAACUAAUGAAAACAAUAAAAACUCAUUUUCAUCCAAGAUGACAAUAUGCAAAAACAAAAUCUUCAAAAAACACACAUUCACAAUAACAUGCAAAACUCCCAAUCACAAACCCCAAAAAUCCAUUCAACAAUGAAACUCCAUUAAAGAAAAUUACAAUGUGUACCAUGAAAACAAUGAUAAUGAAAUCCAAAAUAAAAUAGAAACUCACAUUCAAUGAAAUAAUAAAAGAGAAAAAUAUUUUGUACCAAAAAAUGACUUAAAAAAAAAAGCAAAAACCAAAGCAAAAUGAAAGGAAAAACUCACACAGAAAAAAAAGGCUGUCUUACACACCACAAUAGCUUUACUUAAAACACAAAUAGAAACAACACAAAGAAGAUUCGAAAAUAGGCAAGACUUACACCUAUCAAAUACAGAAGCAACAAAGAAAACAAGUGUCAAAGAAACUACUUCAUCCUCUAACAUAGUCAAACAUAAAACAACAAAAAAAUGAAAUAGAAAUGCCAACCAAUAAAACCCACUUACUAUACAAAAAGAAAAAAAAAAGACACGUGGCAUUUUCAGAUCCCUUCAAGGAUCCUUUUUAUUUAGGUUUAUAAAGAUAAGCAUCUCGUCACCAAGUAUAUUGAGAUUGACUAUUAUUUUAUACAUCAUCAUGUGAAAUAAGAUAUUAUUUUUUUAAUUCAUGCAUCUUAUUUAAAUCGAAUUAUGAUAUUUUUAAAGAUAUAUUUUUUUUGGUUGCUUUCAAAAAUUAAUCUAACGUAUUCAAGUUAUAUCUAAAAUAGAAUAAAAAAGUAUUAAUAUAAGAGAAAUUAUCAAAUAUAUUAAUAGUGAAAAUUUCUAACUUUAUAAGCAGACUUAAGAUAAUGACAUAUGUGGCUUAAUGUAUAUUUAAAAAAUAAAAAAUAAUUUAAAAAAGAAGUUGAACAUAUAUUAUCAUUUUAAUUUUACUUGUGAAGUUAAAGAAUUUUACUAUUAAUGUAUUAAAUAAUUUUUUAAUAUAAUAUUUUAUAAUAUUAUGUAAUUAUGUCAUAAAUAUAAUAUUAAAGAUUAUGAUUUUAUAAUUAAAACAAAACUUGAUUACAAUAUCUUAUCAUAAUUUUCCGUAGUCAGUGAAAGUCCUUCGUAUAAUAAAUAGGACAAGUUUGAAUAAUAUUUUUUCAAAAGAAAAGCCUUUGAUUUAGUUGACUGGAAUGAGGAUUAGAAGACUGUUUGAGAAUUGCAAGCAUAGACCAAGACAAUUUCAGAGACCAUCACAGAAUUAUAUAUAGUCUUUCACUCAUCGGGAAAAUCAAGGAACUCCAGCAAAUAUCAAUGGAUUCGUGUGUUUCAGAACCCGAACCAGCUUCAUCUGAAACUCUCAGCAAGAAGUGUUGCUCUUCAUCAUGUGCUUUACUUCAGUGUAAAUAUCUGAGGAGUUGCCUUCUUCAAUCACCUCUGAUAACUGAUAGUACUACUUGUUUUCUUGUUUAAUGCUCUUAAGAGAGAAAGGAGGGCAAGAGAGAGGCAGGUCCAAGAAGAGGAGAAAAAGAAGGUGAUGAUUGUAGCAGCUUUUUUCUCCCUCUAUUCAAUGAGUAUUGGUUAGUUUGAUCAUAUAAAUUAGCUAUCCUGCUUAUCCAAGUAUUCCAGAUCAGAAGAACCAAGAUGAUCGUGCAAACAGUUUUUUUUUUCUUUAUGUUUUUAUUGUUCCAUUUUCUUUUAAGGAAGACCUUGGAAUAAGCCAUAAUAUGUGCUUAGUUCAACAACUAUUUUUCAGCAAAUUUUGGUGGAUGUUCGUGCAAGCGUUAGUUCAUCUUCUCUUGUUUGCGCAAAUGAGCUCUGCAAUAGUUGGGGUUUAGGUGUUUCUAGUUAGUUAACUAGCUGCUGCUUUUCUUUUUUUUUUUUUUCUGUUUGUAAACUUUGUAGCAGUUCUUCUGCUUUCUUUGAAUCAUUAAUGAAAAUUGAAUUAUCCAAAAAAAAAAAUUACUAAUUGGUUAGUUCAUGCAUUUGCACGUUAGCAUAAUUAGGACAACAGAAUCAGAAGCAACAGGUGACAGAUGAUGAUAACAUGGAUCCUACAGUAGGUUUUACCAAUUUCACUACAUCCUCUGCAGCUAAUGCUCAGCUUCCUUAUGGUAUAAAAGUAUUUAUGGAUGAUAGAUUCUAAAAAUAACCUUUGGUUGCAGCAAUACCUGAAGAACAGAAUAAAAAGCUUGGCACUGCUAAAGGAAUCUGGUUUGAAUCCGUACCUUCAUAAGUUUUUGGUUUCAAUGACUAUCGCUUAAUUUAUCGGCAAAUUCGGAAGCUUGAGCAUAGGUGAACAUGGUAAGAGCGCUGAAAUCUGCUUAGCAGGUAUUCAAGUAACUCAACACAUGAGUUGGCUUUAUUUUUAGGUUUUGUCUCUUAUUUGACUAUUCUGAUCAUGAUUACAAUCUUUUAAGGGAGAAUAAUGAACAAGAGAUCAUCAUCGUCAAAACUAUACUUUUAUGAUCUUUAUGGAAAUUGUGCUAAAAUUCAAGUGAUGGCAGAUGCAAGGUGCAUCUUUUUUUUUUUUUUUUUCUGUCUUGAAUUCCACCAGUGAUCUUCCGAGAUUGGUGUUACUAAGUUUCAAUUUUCGAAGGUCUUGUUGUCAUGGAUAUUGAAAUCAAGCUGCUUAUAAACUUCCUGUUUCAACUCACAUUAUUUGCUGUGGGAGAAUUGAGCUUUUUCUUGAAUUUGAUUCUGCUAGGCAUUCCAACAUGGAUGAAAAUGAGUUCUCUAAGUACAGCUUUGGCGUGAAACGAGGUGACAUAGUAGGGAUCUGUGGUUUCCCCGGUUAGUAUACAUCUAUGUUUAGUAGGAUUGCUCUUUUGUCUAUCGAAAAUUUUUUUUCCAUUGAAACCUACCAUUAACAUUUGGAAGAUUAAUCUGUUUCAUAUUCUGGACCAAAAUAUCAGAUUUUGUGGAAAUUUGAACUGGGAGAGUAUGCUGUAUCUUUAUUUAUUUUAUAAUCGUCUAGUCCCAAUUAAUGAGCUGGUCCAAAACUCCUUACUUAUAUUGAGCUGUUACAUUUGAUCUUAGCAAGCCCUGAAUGCAGAAAUUCAUCUUAAAAUGCUACCGGAAAGAGUCAAAGAGGGGAAUUAAGUAUUUUUCCUAAGUCACUCAUGGUACACACUCCAUGCCUUCACAUGCUACCAAGGAAUACAGUCACCUCCAAUAGUGACGAAGCACAGUCUAAGGUAAAAGCUCAGAAGGAAUUUUUAUGCUCUUUCUGUAUGUUUUUCAAAUGGUAGUUAGAUACUGAUGUCUCUAGAAGAAAACAACCAUGUAUGGACCCCUGGAAUGACAAGAAAUGCAGAAACUUACAUUCUAAUAGAUGAGGAAUGUAAUUCUGCUUUUUCAUUUUUCUUUCCUUGUCAUGUGUUCUCUUGAACUUGGCUUCUACUUUCUACUCCCAUGGUAUGUUUAUUGCUACUAUUUUGCUUUCUAAUGUUUCAAUCACUGACACCAGAUACUUGAAUUUGUCAAGUAAUGUGUCUUUCUUUGAGGCUUGAGCACUUGAUAAUAACUUACUUGAUUUUAGGAAACUCGAUAUCGUCAAUGUUAUCUAGACCUGAUGUUGAACCCGGAGGUUCAGCAAGUAUUCAAGAGCAGGGCCAAAAUGAUUUCUUUUUGCUGAAACUUCCUCAACAAUCGUGGAUUCAUAGGGGUUUGAAGCUAGUGCAGCAUGGUGAACUAACGUCUGAUAACAUGUUUUAAACUUGCCCUGGUGUUUAGUUUACUAUAAAUAUUCUAACCAUCCUCCUCAGGUGGAAUAGAAACUCCUGUGAUGACUAUGACUGUUGGAGGAGCUGCUGCCAGGCCAUUCGUUUCACAUCAUAAUGAAUUGGAUAUGAUGCUCUAUAUGCGUAUUUCCCUAGAACUGUAUCUCAAGAAACUGGUUGUGGGGGGACUUGAUCGUGUUUAUGAAAUUGAGAAAGUAUUUAGGAAUGAGGGAAUGGAUCUAACUCAUCUUCCAGAAUUCGCAAUGUGUGAAUUUUACAUGGCCUAUGCAGAUUAUAAUGACUUGAUGGACCUAACAGAGAAUUUGUUAUCUGGUAAGCUUCCAAUAGCAUUUAAUUCAGCUUGUUUUAUUUCAAACUCACCCCGUAGCACACUUAUUUAACUUGACAGGUGUUUAGUAUAGCCUCCUUGAUUUACUUUAAGCAUUGAUGCAACUGUAACUUUUCUGUUGGAUUUUGUGCAUACAUAUCUGUUAGGCAAGUCUUAAAGAGUGAAUGAUUUGCAAGAUUGUAAAUGUGCAUGUAUGGUGAAGGAGAUGACAGGGAGCCAUAAAAUAAAGUACCAUGCUAAUGGGUUUGACAGCGAACCUAUAGAGAUCGAUUUUACUCCACCUUUUUGGUAACUAAACGUACUAGUAUUUAAUAUCAGAUAGGUUAUCACUGAAAGUAUUAUCAGAUAUUGCUUUGAAGGGUCUAAUUACCAUUGUUUCCCUAACUUCUGUAGAAGGAUGGAUAUGAUAGAGGAGUUGGAGUCUAGGGCAAACCUCAGCAUACCUAAGGAUCUUUCUAGUGAAACUGCUAGUAAGUAUUUGUUGGGAGCUUGUGAAAACUUUGAUGUCCAUGCCCUCCUCCGCACACCAUAACUCGGUUGUUAGACAAGGUCAUUUCUUUCCCUAGUUGAUUAGCAAUUACCUUCUAUACGUAUAACAUCAAUUUUGAGAUUCAUAUAUCUAUUUGUUGCAAUGUCACAUCUGACAGCAAAUCAGAUUCCUGUUAACAUUAUUUAAAACUGCAAUAUAAUGUUAAUAUGUUAAAAUUGAUAAGCAACAGUUGAUUUUAAUUAGAUUUUACGCAAUUGAUUAUUUUCUUUUAGAAAACUGUUUGAAAAUUGUAAAUAAUAAUAAUAAUAAUUAAUUAAGGGCUAGUUUUCAAACGUUUGAUUUUACAGACUUUAUUCAAAGAUAAUGUCUGAUCUGGCCUACCCUCUGUUACUUAUCUUAAAACGUAAAUGCCCACCACUUCGUUCGUCCAUUGUUUUGUUUUUAUAUAUAAAACAGCCUAAACCUGCUUGCCAAGUCGCCAUAUUCUUUCUUUUUGUCCGAUCCCAGAUCUCCCACUUUUCUAUCAGAUAAGAGAGAGGGGAAAAAAUCUCCUUUGAUCACCAUGACACUUCACUCCACGAUUCAAGGUUCGUUUUUCAUAGAUGAAUUAAUUAUCGAAAGUUUCUCUGUUUUGUUUUGUUUUUUUUUUUUUAACUCUUUAUCGCCGUUUGAUCAUAAUUUUGCUCUUAAAUGACAUAAGGAAUAAUGAAUUUGAGUGCCCAAUUUGAUUUAACCAAGCAAUUACCAGUAAUUUUUAAGAAAAUUAAUAGUAACUAGCAAUUCCGUGCUUUUUUUGCUAAAAAGUUAGGAGCUUUACAUAUCAUUUCUGGAUAUUUUGCUCUAUUUAAAAAAAAAGUAAUAAUAAUUUCUAUUAGCUGUUUUCACCUAUGAGAUAUGCUAAGUUUUUGUUUGGUCAAAUAAAUUUCUGGCUUUGAUGUCUCACAGAUGAUGAAACUGACAAAAGUGCCAAGCCUUCUUAUUUUAACUUACCACCUUUGGAUGUUUCGGUUGCAUUCCCUCAAGCUACUCCUGCAUCUACUUUUCCUCCUUCUGGUACGAAUUUUAUUUAUUGUUCUCUGUUUUUAGCUCUGCUGCAUAUUUGUGUUGCUUAUAUUUAUGCAUCUAAACUUGUUCGAAUGUGAGGCAAGCUUGAUUUUUCUUUUUUUUUUUGGUGGAGAACAAUUAUUGGUUCUAGAGUGGUAGAUAGGUUUUUGACGGUUGUUGUUUUUGUUAUCUAAUGGGAAUUCUUGAUUUCUAAUUAUAUGUGUGUUUUUCUCUUGGAAAAAAAUACAGCUUCUGACUAUUAUCAAUUUGAUGAUCUAUUAAGUCCUGAGGAGCAGGCUCUCCGUAAGAAAGUACGAGAGUGUAUGGAAAAAGAAGUAGCUCCUAUAAUGGCAGAGGUAACGUUUUAAUGUUUUUCAUGAACUUUUUUCACAACGUGGAUUGAUGACUGCUAAAUGAUGUGAUUUUUAGGGUUUAAUUAUUUUUUCUUAAUGUAUAUGUUCAAAAUGAAAGCCACUGAUUUGCUAUUUUUCUCUCAGUACUGGGAGAAGGCAGAGUUUCCAUUCCAACUAGUUCCGAAACUUGGUGAUCUCCGUAUUGCUGGUGGUACUAUCAAGGUUAUUACCAUAAGGAUUUUGGUUUUAAAAUUGUUUCUUUCUUGAAGUGGAAAUCAAGUAUGAUGUUUGGUUACUUCUGACUUGCAGGGUUAUGGAUGCCCAGGUCUCUCCCUUACUGGAAGUGCUAUUGCAACUGCAGAGGUUGCUCGAGUUGAUGCAAGCUGUUCAACUUUUAUCUUGGUGCAUUCAUCUCUGGCCAUGCUUACCAUUGGUGGGAUAUAUGAAAUGACUUACAUUUUUCUCUAUAUAUUAUUUCUAAUUGCUGACAUCAUUUUUUUAUGAUUAAUUUUUCUUUAAAAAAAUUAUAUAAAUUAAUUAUGACUUUGCAUAACUUGUUUGGACCAUCAAGAAUAGCAUUAUGCGGGUCAGAGGAACAGAAGCAGAAGUAUUUACCUUCUUUGGCACAGUUAAAAACUAUAGCUUGUUGGGUAGGUUUUUUCUUUUUGGCGUUAACAUCUUGGGAGGUCUUUAGUGUCUUUUUUCCAACUAUAAUUGAAGAAAAUUUUUUAAAAAAUAAUUUUACUAUUAUUUUUAGGCCUUGACUGAACCUGACUAUGGAAGUGACGCUAGUUCUCUGAAGACAAUUGCAACAAAGGUCCACACUCAUCCUUGUAUAUUGGUUUUCACUUGUCUUAUUUUAGUAUAGCUAAUGACAAUCACUAUGCAGCAUUCUAAAUUUUAUGCUGUAUCAUGUUUGCUGUCAUCUCACAGGUAGAGGGAGGUUGGAUUCUUGAGGGGCAAAAACGUUGGAUAGGAAAUGGUACUUUUGCAGAUGUGUUGAUUAUUUUUGCCAGAAAUACCACAACGAACCAGAUAAACGGGUAGGUGAAAUAGCGUAUAAGACAUAGGAUGUAGCAUUUGGUCUUACACAAAACAAUCCAUCUGAUGCUUAAAAGAUAGACAUGCUUGUAUGUUCACUAGAAGCUAAAAAGUAUUAGCAAUCAUAGAAUGAGAACCCAAGAUUGAAUUUAUAUUCUAAACCACCAUAAAGGACUUAAUGAUCCUGAAGAAGUAGAAAUGCUCAGCCCUGAUAAUAAGUUUUAAAAAAUGGUAAGACAUAUAUUCAGAACCUUUUCCUUUACUGAAUUUACCAGUGGUUAGGAUUAUAAAGAACAAAGAUGGAACGAUAUACUACUGGUUGCAAACCUCAAGACUACCAUGGGCAUGAGCCAUAAUUUCCCAAGUUCAUGGAAAUUAUAAGCCAAAAGAAGCUGUAAGAUUGCUAAUAGAAAGGUAGCUAGAUUCAUGGAAUGCUGUUUUUCCUUAAACGUAGAAUGCUUCUACCUUCUGUUUCAGAUAUAUAGUUAAGAAGGAUGCCCCUGGAUUGACAGCUACAAAAAUAGCAAAUAAGAUUGGGUUACGAAUUGUUCAAAAUGGAGAUAUUCUCUUAAAGAAAGUCUUUGUUCCUGAUGAGGACAGGUUACCUGGUGUAAACUCUUUUCAAGAUACAAGCAAGGUUCAUUCUAAUGACCUUCCUCAAAUAAUGAUAUCUCAUCUCAAGUAUUUCUGCUUUCUAAUUGGUUGAUAAUCUCCAGUUAGUGGUUUGAAUUUCACCAUUUAUUUUAUAGUAAUAUUUUUUAAUAUAUCCUGCCGCUAAUAUGAAUUGCCACUAUGAGAGCGCAGGUACUGGCUGUUUCACGAGUAAUAGUUGCAUGGCAACCUAUUGGCAUUUCGAUGGGUGUCUAUGACAUGUGUCAGAGGUAUUGCAAUGGGCGCUGUUCUCCUAUUUGAGCAAUGACAUUUCAAGCUUUCAAGAUGACCUGUUUCUGAAUUUGCUAUGAUGUAGGUAUCUGAAGGAGAGGAAGCAGUUUGGAGCACCAUUGGCAGCCUUCCAAAUUAACCAGCAGAAACUUGCUCUCAUGCUUGGUAAUGUUCAAGCAAUGACCCUUGUUGGUUGGCGCCUUUGCAAAUUAUAUGAGAAGGGUAAAAUGACUCCCGGUCAAGCCAGCUUGGGAAAGGUAUAAACAUUUAAGAUACAUAAGCCCGUGGUUUCAUAUGAGAUUUCAUUCUGACUUCUUAAUCUUGACAAAACUUUUAUGAUCUUCAGUCAUGGAUUACCUUGAAGGCAAGAGAGACAGUUGCUCUUGGACGGGAGUUACUUGGUGGCAAUGGAAUUUUGUCUGAUUUUCUUGUUGCGAAGGUUUGCAUUCUCUGCUCUCAAGUCAAAAUCACUUUUUCACAUUUUCCUGCAAAAGGAUGCCAUUUGACCAGAAUGCAAUUUGGUAAACCUAAUGCAAACCUGAGAUCCAAAAAGUCCAUAGAGUACAAUGAAUAGCUGUUAGAUGUAUGCUUGUAGUGAAUUUGGCACACCUAAGAUUUGUUCCUAAUUGUCAUCCAAUUAGGUUUAUUGAGUAGUAACACGACCUGCGUUUGUUUUUAAAGAAAAAAUUCUUCUAGAAACCAUCGUGAGUUUUCUUGUUUUGGUCGCCAUGCAGGCAUUCUGUGAUUUGGAACCCAUUUACACUUACGAAGGCACUUAUGACAUCAACAGCUUGGUAACUGGUAGAGAAAUCACUGGUUUUGCCAGUUUUAAGCCGGCAGCAAUGAGCCAGCGAAGCCGCCUGUAGUGUAAACUUUCUUCCUGGACUCUGUGGGAGGAGAUUCCUUUAGUGAUGGAAAAAAAAAAUAGUAAGUUCUGUAUAUAGCCCGUUGCACAGUUGUAAUAAAAGAACAGCUUGCUUAAUGCUUAUGCGAAUCAGCCAUAUUAUUUGGGAAUUGAAUAAAUUUAUCGAAGUUACAAAUAUGUAAUAAGCUUCUUUAGAUUUUAAAUCGAGUACAGAUCGUGGUAGGUACCUCUGCUCCUAAGGCAAGUAAAUGCGCAUACAACAACGAAGGGGAAAUCAAAGGUAGAGUUCAAUUCAUCAGCCCGGGGCCAGUGACGACCUUAGUCCUGGCCGAAACUUUCCUGGACCCUAGUCCGUAGCCGUUGAAUACUUUGUCAAGUUGUCAAAAGCACCCCUAAACAAAUAAUUACAAAAGAUGUCAUAUACAAACUAUGCUCUAAAAACUAUCAUGAAUCACUGUUUCAUUCCUUCCUAUAUCUAUCAGCACCUUUUUGCAGCCCCCAAUUCCUAAGCUUAACCAACAACAGUGUCACCGCUGUCAAAAACCCUACAUUCUGCACUGGAUUCAAUGUCUCCAUAACCUUCAUUGCUAUGGUCAUCCUCAGCAAAUCAGCGGCUGCUACCACUUCCUCCACCGCGUUCCUCAAGAUGACCAGUGCUGCCUCCUCUUCUGCAUUCUCUAUAUUCAUCAGUCGUGCUCGUUUCCUGGCUAUCUCAAUCAAAGGCGGAGCAGCAAUGCUCUCUUGAACCCUCGCCAACUCGUCAUUAAGCGCCCUUUCUUCAUAUCUUGUCUCCUCGAUCAGUUUCUUUAUUCUUUCGCUUUGGUCUUGAGAUAGGUCAUGCACGGAGUUACAAACAAGCUUCAAUACAAAACCAGGCUUGAAACCUGAUAUCCAAAGCUAGGCACGCUCAAAGGAACAGAGCCAGUUUGGAGAAAGAACAAGGAAAAUAUUGCGCUUUGCUACUCGAGAUUUUUCUUCAAAGUACUGUUGGUAGUGGGAGAGUACUCGGGUGAUGAGGUCCUUGAGAUCAUCUUCUUGGGAUUCAUGACCACGUUGUUGAACAGAUAGUAGCUCGUCGAGGUACUGCUCUUGGCGCCCUAGCCAACCCUCGAAGAAUGUAUCAAAGGAGCCAGCAUUUUUCUUAGUGCCGGCGUUGGUUCCCGGAGUCAUAGCAGGCAAGUAAGCCAACAACAGGAAGAUAAAGAAAUAUCAAUAAAGAGAAGAGAAAAAAGUGAUAGGCGUGAAAAAGAAUAAAUAAAAGUGUUGUUUAUAUAGCAGGUGAUUCUGAAAGGUGGUUGUAGGAUUGAAGUAGGAUCAGAGUUUUUAUUGCUUGGUAGGAAAGAAUUCUCCUCUUUCGCCUAGAGAUGGUGCUUCAGGGUUCACGGGAGACGUGUAUUUUUGGCGUGAGAUAGAGAUAAAGAAGGCAGGGCCUAUAUUUAUUAUUAUUAUUAUUAUUGCAGUCUUGCUGUCUUGAAGUUUGUUAGAGUAGGAAAAGAGGGGAUGAAUAGAGGCGAUCUUUGGUGUUAAAGGCAACCGACACAACAGACAAAUUGAGAGGGCAAAAGAGGAGGCACUGGGUGAGAGAUUUGAUGAGUGUUGGAAGAGACAGGUUCGGUGAGUUUUGUCGUCAAGUGAGGAUGUUUAAGGAGCACUUUUUGCACAUGCUGAAAUUAGAAUUCAUGUGAACUGGUUACUAACCAUGGGAAGGUGAACAUGGAAAACCAAAGGACAGUUUUGUUUGAUGCGUAGUGGGAUUUGGCUGUAGCAGCCUUCCAGUUGCUUCAACGAGAAGAAAGACACGUUGUUGAAGCUGCAUACUUGAGGAACAAGAAGCCAAGCAAGUAGAUGCCCAACUCAUUACUCUGAUUUUUUACUCCUUUUUCUUUUUCCUUUUCAUAUGUGAAUGAAAGCCAAGGGAGGAGUUUGCUUGGGUUCUCGGGGUUCAAAGCUGGAUGGAACAGUACAGCGGCAAACGGAGCUUAAGGAGUUUUUGUUUCAUUUAUCACUUAAAUCAGAAAAUGGCUGUGGUUCCGUUGCUUCCAGGUCGAUGGUUGACUAGACAUCCACUGAAUUUACUCGACGAUAAUCCAAAUUGCUGGCUCCAUGCUACAUUUCGAGACCUUUUCGUCUUGUAAUAAAAGCCAAUAAGUAGACUGUUUGUGUUAAAUAGUAUAAAUAUUUAGCAGUAAUUCUUAAAUAAUAAAUUUUAAAUACAUCAGAAAUUUUCAAUUUGUAUCCUUUUUUUUUUUUUAAAUGAUUCGCUGAAUCCACAAUUGACAGAAGGCCAUAGUAGUUUACAACAGGCCACACAAGCGAGGCCUAGAACAGAAUUGCCUUCCAUUAGCUUUGACCAAAGCCAUAACUCCAGCAGUCACUCCAGCCCAGAAAACAGAAGAGACAUAAUGUUGUGCGCUUCGACCAGCUACAGAAGUUAAAGGAAAUAGUUUUGACACUUUUUAGUCACCACAGCAAUUCAAAAAUGUGUACAACCUUGUUUUGUUAAUCACAAUUCCAAACUAAUAGAGAAGUGAUACCUUGCUGAAUUGUGAAGGUUGUCAAUGUCAAACCUCCUACUAGCAAAGCUGAUGCCACAGGAAGAUACUGCAAAAUUUCAAGGUAUAAUAAUGAAAAAUAACCAUCCAAGAAGCAAUCUACAAAUAACAGAGAAGGGCAAGUCCUAAAGAUUCUUUGACAUGAAUAUUUAAUUAAACGCCAAUGGAAAUAUGAUGAUACAUACAGAAAAAGAUUCGAAACUAUUUAGCUGGAAUGGUGAAGGGUUGUUUCUGCUGACAGUAUAGCGACCACUUACAAGAUCCAAUGCAUCCUGAAAAACAUGAAACUUGUUUGAUAGAAUUUUCAAACAAUUUUAUUAUUUACAGUUAGGUCUCUCUCAUUUCAUUGAUUGACAAAGCUUAAGAGGCAGCUUACCUGCCGAAUUCCAUCGUGAAAAUUGUUCAAAUAGUAUCUUGAUACUGCACUCAUCCCAUCUUUGAUGAGUCCAGCUACUGUCUGUUUGCCAUAUCUGCAGAAUUAUUGUCAUCCAAAAACAAUCACAUAUUGGAUACGAAUAGAUACAUAUUCUUUUCAGAAAUUGACUCCCAAAUUCAUAUACCUAACAAGGUCCCCUUUCAGUGCAUGAGUCCCAGCAUAUUCAAGACUUAUCUCAUCGCCUUGCUCAGCCCACACUAGCAUAAGUGAGACAAGUGAGACAAGUAUUUAGCAUGAAUAAAAAGACAUUAUUAACUCAUAAAUUAAGAUGGAAAAUCAGCAAUGUAUGCAAAAUAACAUACGCGUUCUGAACUUUCCAUAAUCUUCAGCAAACAAUGGAAUGCACUCAGUAGACGUAAAUACCCCAAGCCUUUGCAAUUGGAUAUUUAAAGACUUCCGAGCAAGGUAACUCUAUUUAACAGAAUAAAUAAACAAACAAUAAAAAACAGAGCUUAAAAGAUCCUUUGAAGUAUUAUAGAAAUUAGAGCAUAUAAAGAUUAGCUGGUCAACAUGGAUAUUUUCAACUUCAAGCAGUUUAUAUCAUAACAAAGAAAAACACGAGUAUAUUUUCCACAAACCUGGGUCACAUUUGUUCGAUCAAGGCAAUCAAUGCAGUUAGAUCUAAUAAUGCCUUUUUGCUCCUCCAGGAUGUUGCCAUCUGUGUCUAUGAGAAAGUAUCUGCUCAGCUGGAAUAGUGAUAGUUAAAAAAAGUACUCUGGAUAGAUAGCACCAGGAUCAUGGCAUACUUUCAGGAUACAUAUUAUGUUAUACAUUAUAUUUGUUCUUCUUACCCUUGCUUUUCAAAAUCCUCAGAGAUUUGAUCAUAUAGAACUCCAAGGUUAUCAAAGUUUGAGUUCCCACAAACAUGAUGAAAGUCAAAUGAUACAUAUCUGCAGGACAGACAUGCAAAAGAUUAAGCUGUAACAAUCAAAGUUCCCUUAUUGGCUCUUCAGUUCCUGAAGGAAGCAAAUGAUCUUAAUUUAGGAAACAUGUGUAUCGCUUUCCAUAGAAUGCAAUUGACAUCAAGGGCAGAAAGAAGUUGCCUAAAAAGAAGGGCAAAGGUGGGGGGGGGGGGGGGGGGGGGGUGGGGCGCUUCACCAAGCUAUGUACCAUCAAAAGUAUACCAAGUGAAAGAAUCUUACAACAACAACAACAAACUAAGCAUUAUAUCCCAUAACUCUAGUGUCGAAUAUAUGUGAGGCUAAAAAAAGGAAUUAUGUUAGGUCAUAGUUUUGAAUCUUCUUGCACCACUCAUUUCUAUUAAAAAAAAAAAAAAACUGCUCAUCUACUUUCUUAACCCUCAUAUAAUUUCUUAUUACUUGCAUCCACAUCUUUUGUGGUCUACCUCUAGAAGUUUUGAUCUCUCCCAAAUCCAAAAGCUCAUUUCUCCUAACUGGUGCACAAAUAGACCUACGUUUCACAUGUCCAAACCAUUUCAAAUGACCUUUUCUCAUCUUUUCUUCAAUUCAGACUACACCUAAUUUUCAUCAAAUCUAUUCAUUUUUUAUUUUGUCUCUUCUAAUCUUACCACACAUCCAUCUAAGCAUUCUCCUCUUAGCUACACUCAUUUUUUUCUCACGUUGUUAAACUAAGUGAAAGAAUCUUCACAAUAAAAAAAUAGCUAAACUGAUACUCAAAGAAUCAAUGUUUAUUCAUGGAAAAUCAUGCUAAGGAAAGAUCAAAAAGGACAGCCAACAGUUAUCUAGAAGUAGCAACAAGCCAACAACUAAAAAAAAUCCUUUGCAAACUAAUAUAUUUAAAUACAUAGGAAUGUAGAAUGUCACCUAACAUUUGGAAGCUUUUGCAUCUCAGCUGAAUAUGCAGCACUUAGUUGACCUUCAUCACCAUGCUAAAAUAUCAAAAUAAAUGAAAGAUGAAAUAUUUGCUACUCAGGAGUACAAUGAAAUAUUGGAGCUUUACAUUAGACCUGGCAAUUCGUGUAUUUGUGUCGUGUAAAAAAUGGGAGCAUAUCACCUAAAAUACCUUUUACUAAAAUCCUACAAUUAUCCAAUCACAAUAAAGAAUUAUAUAGGGGUUCAUCUAUAAGUGUGGAUUCCACAUAAAAUUUUGAUAGAUCCCACACAAUUCUAAAUUGUGAUUGGUUAAUUGUACUACAAUGAUUAUAGAUGAAAUGCUCCCAUAAAAUACUAGCAAUUCAUGUAUUUGUGUCGUGUUUUACACGAAAAUUAUGUGUCACAAUUCGUGCUGACACGAAAACGUGAAAAACAUUUCUUUUAUUUUGUUAGGCCCAUAUAUAAUUUUUGCUAAAAUUUUAAACCAUGUUACAUUCGUUUCUUUUUUCAUAUCAUUUUCAUCUCAUAUCCCCGUAUCAUGUUUUACAUUGCCAGGUCUACUUUGCAUAAAAGAGUCAAAGCUUGUGUACAAAGUCAGUAAAUAGUAUAAAACUUCGCAGUCUGCUAUGCAUUUGAAACCAGCCAGGAAAAAUAAGUGGAUUAGCUUGCAAUUAUAUCCAGCAGCUCUUAACAACAAUUUUCCAAACAAGAUAUAUAAAGCCAUUUGCAAUCUCAUGCUCGAUUUUUGCUAGACAAUAAAGAGAAGAGAGAACAAGCACUUACUUUUUCUGUCAGAUCCAGUGCUAUAGUUUCUCCAUAUCUUUGAAAAAGAUCAUGGAAAUGGCGCUCCACAACUUGUGGCUGAAUGAAGAGUUGAAAGUGCAAUGUUAAAUCAUAAGCACCACUGUUCAGUGAGAAUGAUAAAAAAAGAAAAUGCUGUAUUUUCAAGAAAAAAUAUACUGUGUGCUCAUGGUUAAUAAUUCUAAGUCGUGGUUUAUAGCUUAAAUCAACAAUCUGCUCCCAAAGCAGUGGAAUAGAGCCUCGUAUCUGAGAUGGAAAAAAGCAAAUAACUUUACAAGUUGAAACAAAUCACUUUUUCUCCAUUGGUUAGAAAAAUAGAUUUCAUCAAAACAGAAAAUGAAAUAGCGAUGAGUUUUUCUGAAGUCACAAAGGACAGUAGACAUACCUGCAAUAAUGAACACCUGAAACCUUCAAGCUCCAACAACUGCUCGGUUUCAAUAAAGUUAGCAGUGUCUCCUUCCAGGUUUGCUCCCCUCCUCCACAUACGUGUCCCUGUGAUACCAUAUGACUGUAUUUUAAGGCUGCUCAGGUAUAGCAUCAUUCAUAAUUAAAAGCAUAGUUCAUCCAAAAACAUUUUACCUAGGCGCCGUGUACACCUCCUUGAAAGUAAUGUACAUGUGGUAGGUGAAUUCUUCAACUCUAGCUGAGCCAUUUGGAAACUUAAACCUAGGUUAAGUGGAAACAGCAAAAUAGGUUUUCAAAGGAAAUAUAAAAUAAAAUAAAGUCCUCAUGAAUAUACAUGAUAGGUACAAAGACUCAUCUCCUCAUUAGAUAUACAUGCAUAUGCACAAGCCACUCACUCGCAAAUCAGUUCAAAAGCAUGAGUAAACAGAAUUUUAAGGAUAUUUCCUUGUAGGAGAGGGAUAAUGAACUCGUCAAGCUGCCACAGCAAAAGUAAUUGUGUCAAAAAGGUGGAGAAAAGAAAGAGAUAUAGCAAUUUCAUGAUACGGUUGGAAAAGUUCACAUCACUUAUCAACAUUUUAGAGUUUUUCUUUCUUAGGACAAUAGUAGAAGUCACUUUGGUAUGGUUAACAAUGAAAUACUAACAACAUAAGAAGCUAAUAAUGUUAUAAUAUACAACGGGAAAAUAUCUAACCUUAUACUCAAUAAGUUCCUCCAAAAGAUGUUUAUUCCAAACAAAUCGAGGAUCAGCCUGAAAUACACGGAAAAUUGAAGUUAAAAAUCAUUUGCAUGUAUUGAAUAGCUAUAUGUUGUACUAUAUUUUACAUACAAGGUAAAAUUCCAUGCAGCCAAUAGUCAGCCUCCUACCAUGAGAAUAGUAAUCAUUUUUUCAGAACAGGAACUCAUUUUUGAAUCAUGAAAUUAAUAAUGGGCAAGUGAAUAUUUAUGCAUAAAAUAAAAGGAAAAGAACUCCCUCUUUUUUUUCUUAUCUUCUUCCUGAACUAGUUCAGAAAGAGAAAAUUGCAUAAAAAUGAGAUUAAGGUAGUUUGAGUGUUUGACUUGAACAGCAAAGAAUCUCCAGAAACUAGCAGCUAUAAAGAGUAAGCAUAUGAACCAUAUUCACGUGUUAAACAGCAAGACCUCACUUUGUAACAUUAACAAACCGAUAUCCACAGCCAGAAGAUUUAAAAAAACACCAGAAGUGGAUUUUUUUUAAAUUAAAAAAGUUUAACAAGCUUUCCACGAUGGUCCAAGUAUGGUAAAUAACCUGCUUCCAUAUUGGUUUGCUCAUCCACCCUUCCAUUAACUUGCAUCUUCUCUGCAAGCUGGUCCACACGAUCAAAUGCAUCUUAUAAACUUAAUACUUGAAAAACAUUCGUUACAUAACAAUUAAAACUCAGUGACCAUGUGGCUAACAGUGGUUUUCUACUUAAAAGCAUAUUGCAAGGGAAAAGAAUUUACUUCAAUGUUAUAUCUGUUUCAUAUGAAUAGUACAAUCCCGGAGUUGCUUCGACUGUUUUCAACAGAGUCAUGAAGUAAGCCUCAUCUCUUUUCUGCUCAAAAUAAAGCAUUACUUGUUUUGAUAUAGAAGGGUCAAACAAUAAGCAUCACAAUAGAUCAAACAUUUUAAAGACACGAAAAGGAAUCUUACUUCUUGAGAGUUGGAAAACCUCAAAGCCUCAUUGCAAGCCAGGAAUUUCAUAGACUCAACUCGGUACACAGGGAAACCUAGAAAACUUCCAACUUCCUUUCUCGAAGUUAUUACAAGCAAAUAUGUUCCUGUAUAAAGUGCAAGAAGAAUUUAUGACAACUGACUUCAGUUUUAUAAGAUACUAACACAAAAACAAAAAAAAGGUAAAUACUUUCAUUAAAUUUGGAUAAUAUUGUACCUGCGAGCAAUCUAAUGGUUCCAGCCACGCCAUAAAUGGCAGAGGUUUUGGAUGGUUUUUCAGAAGAAGAUGCAUCUGCAAAAACUUUAAAGUAUAUUAAACUCUCCAAUCCAAGUUAUGGAAAGUAAAUAUAAAAUGAAAUAUCGCUUUUAAUUAACCAUGGUUAAAAAAUUAAUCAUUUAUAUCCUGACGCAGAAAAUAGUUUAAUAACUCAUUUCAUUUACUCCAAAGAUUUCAUUCCCAAAUGCUAAUAUUUACAUUAUUGGUAAUUGAUAUUAUAAAAAAAAUUCAUUAUUCAAAAAUGGCGCGAUCAGGAUUCUUAAAGUAGAAGCCAUUCCAAACAAAGCUUAGAAUUUCAGCAAGGAAAAGGGAAAAAAAAAAAAAAAAACUUGCCAGAUAGUGUCUCGAUGUUUCCUUCACGACGGGAAAUCGAGAAGCCUUGAUCGGGAGAUUCGAGGGAUUUGACCACGAACUUAUCUUGAUAUUCCAGCAAUUCUAGUUGAUCGUAGAGCUUGAAAAUUUUAUCUGAAGAAGAUCCGAUUUCCAUCUUCAACAAGUAAUUGCUUUAAUUAUUCUUUUGGGCAAAUAUCAAUGAAUCGUUGAUGGGUUGAGGAUGAUGAUCAAGAAAUGAAGAGAUGUCAUAACAACCGAUUUGACCAACGAAUAAACAGAACAUUCGAUUUUUUACUUCUAAAACCAGCAUACUUUCUGGAAAAUGACAUUAGUAACCCUCAUUGAUCAGCGCAAACUGUAAUGUAAUUUUUUUUAAAAUUACAAUUAAAUAAUUAAAUAUUACCGACACAAUCACUAAAUUAUCAAACAAAUAAAUUAUUCAAUAAAUUAAAAUAUAAUUAUUUAAAUUUAAGAUAAAAUUAAAUUAAAAUCUUACAUAAUAAAAUUUUAAUAUUCGAAAACUUUCUUUUUAUCAUUAAGUCAAAAUUUUAUUGGCAACUUAAAUGUAGUGCUGGGAUUACUAUGGUAGUGGAUUACUAUAAUUUCCUAAUAAUUAAGGUUGUUUUGUCUGGAAAGAUCUGUGGCUUGACGUGGGGGCAAUGAUAAGGUAGUCGUAGCUAUACAAAGGAAUUUAGUAAGGGACCCGAAUAUGAUGAUUUAUUCUACUUCAACUUGUUAAGACUUAUAUUUAAUUGUAAAAUUUAAUAGUAUAUCAUUUCUAUUCAUUUUUAGCCACAAAAAAGAUAUGAGAAAUUGUUUUAUGACAAAUGGUAUGAGAAAGAUUUAUUUUCAAUUAAAUAGUGUCAAUGAAAUACAUAGAUUUGUCUUUGUUUAUAUAUAUAUUUUGGUAAAAAAAAUAUAAAGGUAGAUAAAUUUUUUAAUUUUUUAAAUUAGGAUAAAAUGUACGUGUAUUCGAAAUAAUCUUAAUAAAUAAUUAUCGAUAAAAUUCGAAUCUAAAAUUUUUUUAUCAAAAUAAAAUAAAUUUUAAUCAAUUAAAUCAAUCACUUGAUAAUAUAUAUAUAUAUAUAUUUAUAUACUUUAAAAAAUGUCAAUAGUUCUAUCAAAAUCAACAUAUUCUAAUAGAUGUUCAUGUUAUCAUGUUAACAUAUUUUAACAAUUUGAUACUUUCACAUUAUUUAUCAAUUAUAAAUACUUUACUACUUUGAUACUAAUCAUUGUUCUAUUUUUAAUCAGAAUACUAAUCAUUGUUCCACAUUCUAUAUAUUCUUUCUUCCGUUCUCUUUUUCCAGAUUAAUUCUUAAAACCGCAACCUUUUCUUCCACCUAAAUCUUAACACAUACUCCGAGGAGAUAAGCCUUCAUGCAUGUCCAUGGGCCGAAAUAGGGCCCAAAAAGUGGGUCCCUUAAUCCGGUCUGAGUCCCCUGCCUUGGGGUUGGACUUGAUCUUAGCCACAAGGCCGACAAAGGCCUGUUUCUCUUUUGGUUGUAUUAUCUUGUUUAUAUUGACACAGCAAUCACAAUUUAGAAGCAGAACUGAUGGGCCAACCGAGCAUGUCCUAUUUCAUCCCAUACUUUUUAUGAGAAAGUUCCCAUAGGACCAAAGCGCCAUGUAAUUCAUAACCUACACUUGAGAAAGGACACCAGGGGGAAUCAGAAAUGGAUUCAACAGAGGAUCAUGCAGAGAAUUUGCACUACAAUAGAUAAUGAUCCAGUGAUUGCUCCCAGGUUAUAAUAAUUGAUGAAACGUACAACUUAAAUUUAAGAUCCACAAUCUAUCAACGCAUAACCUGUAACUACAUGCAGUCUUACAAUCUGAUAACUGCUUCAAGGGAAGCUCAAAACCCACUACUUUUUAAACAAACCAGCAAGCUCACCCUUUUCAUACAUCGAGGUCAGGAUAUCACACCCUCCAACCAGUUCUCCAUUCACAAAAACUUGGGGGAAUGUGGGCCAGUUACUAUACUGCUUGAGUGUCUCCCUCAAUCCAGAAUUAUAUUCUUCAUCAAGCACAUCAACACUCUCAUAAUCCACUCCUUGGCUUUCAAGAAUGGCAAUCACUCUCUGAGAGAAUCCACACAUCGGGGCGCUUCUUGAUCCCUUAAUAAAGGCCACUACCUUGUUCUCCUUCACCAACUUAUCAAUGAGUUCCUCAAGUGGAACAGUCAAUUGGACAUGUUGACCAGGAGUAAGUCGGAGAUCUGCCUUCUUUUUUGGAGGCUGCCGAACCCAUGUGGUGUUCCCUGAUUCAUUUCCUGGAGGGACCUUUCCGGUGGUUUGUAUAUGUUCUUCCAUCCAUGACUUCCAAGCUUGAGUUAAAGCAGCUUUAUCAGGUUCAUUGACUACACUAACCUACAGAACGCUUAAAUUGACAUAAUAAAUAUCAGGCAAGUAAUAACUCUUUGAUUGUCUUCACUAGUAUCAACAAAGACACUAGCAGUUUUACCAUAACAUGAACUCUGAACAAAGUGGAUUAAGAAAAACGGCUAAACAAUAACCAAGCCAGGUUGACUUGGCUCAUCCAUCCAUGCCAAUGCCAAUUUGGUGUAUUUGAAUUCAGCUUGCUUGGUAAGAAUUGAAGCAUGUUCUUUAUUCAAAACUCUUGGAUGGUUGAUGAUGAAAUUUCUCAACCUACAAUUUGUAUACACCCACCUUGGUGGUACAUCAUUUGAGUUCCAAUUCAGUUUAGUCAUUGUCUAAUUGAUUUUCUAUGACGAAUUACACUGUGAUAAAGAUCAUUCACCUUAAAUGUCUGGUCAUUAAGCAAUCAAUUCUAGCACAUCCGAUAAUACCAGGCUACCAAAAUCAGUUUUGAGAUAUCAAGCCCGAUCCAAUGACAAAUAGCUAUUAGCCUUUUCGCAAAUAAACAGUAGAAUAAAACAAUCAAAUUUUUGAAUUUUAGUUACUAACAUUUUAUUCUUUUAAAUUUCUCUAAAGUUGUUAAAAUUGAGAAUAAGUCAAAGCAGGUGUUAAAGAUUGUUUCAGUUAAAGUUAUUUUACAGAAUAGGUGAUAAGAUUGAUUCAGUGAAUGUUAAUUUACGAAACAACUAUUCAAGGAACAAUUCCUUCAUGAAACAAAUGUUCUCAGAACAACUUCCUCAAUGAACAAAAGUAACACCUUUACUAAAAACUCUUGAAACACAAGUUGCUUUCCUAAGAGUUAUUCCACGAAAGAUAUUUCACCGGAUAUUACUUCAUUGAAAGAAGAAGUGAAAGUAACCUAAGAAUAUGGCAGGGUUCUUGGGUUAAUUCCACUAUUGAGAUGUUCCGAAAAAUUGUGGUGAAUCAGAUAUGGACAAAAUAGAGCUAAAAAUAUAUGUAAAUCUAAUUCAGCAUCAAAAUCUUGUACAAAACUUGGCACUUGGCAGACUUAAGACUAUUUAAAUUCAAUGAAUUUAUGGAUUUGGGGUUCCCUCAAGAAAACAAAAAGAAACCCAAAUUUUGUUUAAAUCGGAAACUUUAAAAAAUUUGACAAUUUCCAAGCAUUCAAUUUUACAAUCUUUAUUCUGUUAAAAUCCCAUUAAACUCGAAACUUCAAGCAUCACAUUGGUUCAAAAAUCCCCAUCCAUCAGCUCAGCUCGGUCAAUUAUUUCCGGUCACGUCUUAUUUAUUUCUUUCACUUUUUAAUUAAAUGUCUUGCAUUGAUUUACUCGUAAAUUCUUAAACUCAACAAUCAACAUCCCUAGAAACAAUAAUAAUUAUAAAAGCAAUAUUAUUAAAUGUACCUUAACGGAGCAGCAAAGCUCCGGCACUGAUUUUUUAUGAGUAAAAAGGCUGCCACCAAUGUUACGCGAGAUGCCGAUAAAUUGAAGCUCGUCGUUUCGAUCAAAGACAGCGUAGACUCCGGCAUCGGAUGGCAAUUUCGAGGUGAAUUCCUCGGGUGUGACCGGGAAAGGAACCGGUUCGACCUCCGAGAGGUUCUUGAUAGCUGAAGCGAUGAUUAAACAGCGAGGUUUUAUCGAGGUGUGGGGUCUUAGAGAAAUGGAAGGGAAAGAAAGAGAAGGGCCGAAGCGUGAAUAGAAGGAAAAGAUAGGUGUAUUUUGGGGAGUAUAAAAGGAGUGUCUAGGAAUUGAAGAAGAAGAGAUGGAGAGUGGAGAGACAUUGAUUGCGGCCAUUAGGAGGAACUGGUUUUGGAACAAAGCCAGAGAGGCUGUCCGAGAACGGGAUGUUUCACUUCUGUUUGGAAGUUGGAACUCGAAGGACAAAGAUUUUUCCGAUUUCCAAUUAUUAUUUUUUUCAUUUUGUUGGAAUGAAAUGGGCUUAGCUUUAAUUACCCAACUGACUUACAACUGAGUGUGGGCUCUGAUGCAAAAGCCCUUUCAGAAAUUCAUAUUUAGCCAUGUUGGAAUACUAUAAGAAGUAGUAAAAGCUUUAAAAAAAAAAAUAAUGUCAUUAUUUACCUUUAUACUAUAAUAAAAUAUUUAAUAUAAUAUCUUAAUUCUAAAAUAUUUUAAUAUAAUAUUUAAACUGUAAAUUAAUUAAUAUAUAUAUAAUUAUUUAUUUAUUACAUAUCAUAAUUUUAAAUUAAUUACAUCAAAAAUAUUAUUAUAUUAAUUAAUAGAUUCAUAAAUUAUAUAUUAUAUUAAAAAUUUUUAAAAUUUAAAUAUUAUAUUUUAUUAUAAUUUAAAAUUAUCCAUAAUAUUAACCCAAUAAAAAAAAUAUAUUACCGAACAAUGAAACAUGCACUUAAUCUUCCAACCAAAAUCCUGCCCAACCCAAAAAAUUUGUAAAAAAAUAAGAUAAAAUAAAUCCCCCACUCCCGCCCCCUAGAAAAAAAAACUCAUUCAACAAUUUUGCUAAGGUAAGGACGAUGGAUAUGACGUGUUAGUUCCUUGCUUUCUCUAACAGAAAUUAUUUUUGAAACGUCAAUAUAUUUGGCUAAGACCUGUCUAAUUCAUGAGAAUUUUAUGAUCAUUUGAAAAAGUGAGCAAGACAAAUAAAUUAUUUAUGCCUUCAUUCACCAAUCACAGCAUCAAUGCAAUUUCUUUUUUUUUUUUUUUUUAAUUUUUAUCAGAAUUUCACCAAAUUGGUUUUUUCACAACCACUACGGCAUUAUUGCCUUGCAACUUGCAAUAGCAAGUUGUAUGAUAAUAUUUCCUUAACCAUACUUAACGCUUUUCUUCAAAAUUCCGAAUGCACCCAACUCUCCUGUUCAAAAAAAAAAAAAAAAAAAACCAAUGGAACAUGUUGUCACUCAAUGUCGCGAGACAAAUUCUCCAUUUUUAGGACUGUUGUCAUUCAUGAUGUACAUGUAACGUAAAAUACCUGAAUUGGUUUAAUUCAUUUUCAAGCGACAGAGUCAUCUUUGAAAUCACCCAAAAUCUAAUUUUCAAGCGAUAUUAACAUCCACAGCCUGAAAAUUACCUAAGCAGAUGUCGAAGCUUGCUGGUUUACUCUAUGAUUUCUUUUUUCUAUGUGUUCUUCGUCGAUAACGAUACGAGGACCUUUGAUAUGUGAAAAUUUUAAUGCAUUUCAAUGGAUUCUUGGAAGAUCGGAUGAUCCAUUUAGGUUUAUCUUGAUGAUGAAGCAAUUGCAUUUUUGCAUUGGUUUUUGUGUCGAGAUCAAACAGUAAAAUCUGGGGUCGGAAGAAUUGAAAAUAGUUGCAUUUGAAGACGCAAUCAAGAUGGCAAAUUCUGUAUUAUUUUCCAGCUAAAAGCUGCGGUCCAUUAUUUGUUCUGCAAACCAUUAUUUUCCCAAACAGCUAAGCAUCUACAGCUCCAUGAUUUACCAGCUAAUGAACAGAUAUGGGAUUUUUUUUGUGUUGGGGGAGAUUUAGUGGUAAAAAAGGUAUUGUGAUUUUUUUUUGUUAUUAAAAGUUAUCAACAAAUAACUAGAGACAUUUUAGACAUUUAAGCUGUCCUGACUUGAAAUGUUUAAUGUCACGUCAAUUUGAUUACGUUAAUGUUAUUCUCCGUUGGUCCCUUACCUUUUACCUAUAAAUAUAAACAUCUAAGUAUUAUCAUUGGAAGCUCCAUCUUGUUUUAAUCCUUUAUAUUUUUCUCUUUCCAAUCUAUUUUAUUUUAAUCUCUGACUUGCGCAUUAAAAUGUAAACACAAGAAACACUUCCUACCUUUAUAUCUAACCGCUUUCUUCCUUCUCUUGUUCUCCUAAGAAUACCCGCAGGUUGAAAUUCGACAUAAACAUUCCCGCACUAGGUAGGGGUUUUUUCCAUUUAUCAGUUGAGCCAAAAGUUAUGCCGCCUAAGAAAAGAGUUUUUGAGGAAAGGGAGACGGCCAUCCCGGUCAGAAUGGAAAUGCAUAACAGUUAGCACACUUGCUUUAACGUAAGUUGGUCUAACCAUGGAGCAAUUCCAAGCUCUAACCGAGCAAAUACAAGCCCUCAAGCAAAUGCUACAAACAAUAAUCCCACCUCAGGCUUCAAAGGUAUCCGAUCUAGUCACCCCCGGUCAACAAGCUGUAGAAAGGCAAUCAAGCUAUGAAGAGGUAGAAACUUCCUAUACUUUAAAGGAAGAAGAGCAUGAUGUUUUGCCCAUUCACCGUUACCUUAGCCACAACUCAACACAUGCCACAACCCAAAAAUAAAAACAAACCAAUUUGGAACCCCAAUCGAGCAAGACCUGGAAGCUCAAAUGCAAGCUAUAGAGAAAGAAUUGAAAGGCACGGUGGUAACUUUCGAGGACGAGCUUAAGUUCUUGGAGACCUUGCCUUUCACUAAAGAAAUUGACAGAGCUAUGCCCCCAAAGAGGUUUAAAAUACUAACUUUGAAAAUUUAUGAUGAUACAUUUGACCUCUUUGACCAUUUAGAGCUUUAUAAACCUAAUAUGAUGGCGUAUGGUACAGAUGAAACUCUAAUGUGUAAGGGCUUGGCUACUACCCUUAAAAGUGCAACUCAAUAUUGGUAUAGCAGCUUAAAGCUAAGGUUAAUCAUGAUAUUUAAAGAGCUUAGUCACUCUUUUCUAUCUCGAUUUAUAAGUAGCUAAAGAACAAAGAAAAAAAACCUUGAGCAACCUAUCAAUUCAUCAAGGUAGAAAUGAAUCUUUGAAAAAUUAUGUUACACAUUUUAAUACGAAAACUUUACAGUUGAAAAACCUAAAGCAACUGAUCGUUGUAGUGGCCCUAACAAGUGGACUCAAUGAUAGAAAGUACAACCUCAAGUUGACCAUGUCUUUAGAGCCACCCAAAAUGUUGGUCGAUGUCCUGUUUUUAUUCGAUAAAGAUAUAAAUAUUGAAGCUACAAUGAGAAAUAACCUAGGUGAGAUAGGCUUAUCCCUCCUCCUCGAUAGUCGAGGUGAGAAAGGCUCAUAUCCCCUCCUCGAUCAUAAAAAAGUAAGACUUUCUAUGAUCUUCCACUAAGAAAAAGAUAACAUUAGGCUAAAAGCCCCAAUUGAGAGAGAAACUACACUGUAUUGAAUACCUCUCAAGAGAGGAUUUUAAUGCAAAUCAAAAGAAAUCCAAAGCUCAGGGGGUUUAAGCCACUUAGGCAAAACACAAAGAGGGAUUCAACCAAAAGAUGUACCUUCUAUAGAGAUAUAGGCCAUAACACUGAGGACUGUGUCAACCUAAAAAUUGAAAUUGAAGCUUUGAUCAAAAGAGGUCAUGUAGGAAGGUUUGUGGACCAACGGAGAUAAGGGCAUAAUAGGUUAGACUACAGAACAAACUGAAAAAGACCUAUAAGGGACAUGAAGGUAGGCCAAAGAAAAACAAGAAAGAAAAAGUUCAAAAAGAUGAGCAAAGAUAAGAUGAGGGCUAAGUUACUGAUAAUAGACCAAUUGCUUAAGUAAUCAAUAUGAUCACUAGAAAAAGUUCUACUUUGAUCAAAAAAAAUUUGAUCAAGGUAUAGUCAUGGCUAUCGAUUCUUCGGUAAAGAAAGAAAAAAAAUUGAAAAGAUGAAUCGAUCUCAUUCAGUUCGAAAGACUUAGAAGGAAUUCAAUACCCUUACGAUGUGCUAUAGUGAUCAUAGUUGUGGUGUACAACUAUGUUGUUAAGAAGAUUUUGUUUGAUAAUGGAAACUCAAUUGAUGUUUUAUACCACACCAUUAUAAAGAAAAUGAGAAUCAGGGAAAAACAAUUGCAACCAAAUACCACAACUCUAAUUGAAUUUAGAAAUGAAUAGGUACCAGUUAAAGGGACUAUUAAAUUACCAAUUUCUCUGGGGAUGAAAUCAAGGAUAGUUACGUCAAUCAUAGAAUUUAUGGUUGUAGAUGUUUCAUCUACUUAUAAUAUGAUAUUAGGCUAACCUAAUCAAUCUCUUAUGCAGCUCAUAAGCCUAGCUCCCUAUCUGAAAGUAAAGUUUCUAACACCUUAUGAAGUUGGAAAGGUAAGGAAAAACCAGUCUAUGGCACAACAAUGUUACGUUACAAUAAUGAAAGGAAUGACUAGGAAGCAUACUAACAGUUCGACUGAAGCUGAAAAGGUUAAGGAAGAAAAGUAGGCAACAUAAACCUAAGAGAAGCAAUAAAACAAGAGUACACACCCAUAAUAAUAAAAAAUUGACCUAAUAGAAGUGUGCUCUAAGCUUUUAAGCUUAAUUUCAUAAUAAAUAAGCUUUUAACAAAUUUUGUAACUUUUGAAUAGAUCUUGAAAGUGAUCAAGCCCGUAAGUUGGCAUGAACCUUUACAUGUUAAUAGGAUCGACCUAACACACUAGUCAAAAGGAAAAUUGAAAUGAAAUAUACAUAUAUUUUGUUCAGCUUUUACAUUCUGAUCAUUUAUCGAUAAUAUACUAACAUCAUAUUAGGAUCAAUCCCUGUAGAAAUGAUCCCGACCUAACUGAAUAGAAAAAAAAUAAUUGAUAAAAAAAUAAGGUAAAUGAGAACUGAUCUGAACAACAAAAGAACUUGUGUUUAUACCAUUUUAGAAGAACACCCUUUGAAAGUAUAUACAGAUUAAAAUUAACCUUAAACAUAAAGAGUAGUUAAU